AAACUCAGCCUCAAGCCAAUUGGCGUCAACACAUCCCAACCAACGCAGACAGACCAAACGACAAAAGAAGUAAACCAGUCAGUUCAAUAGAAUAAAAUCAGUUCUCCUAGGAAGACUAAGACUACUGAACCUACUAGUGCUUAUUUUUCGUAGCUCUGAUCGAGCUGUUGUUCAGGGUGGAACCCAAGCGUUACAGACAGUUAGCUUUAAUCCUUGGAAUUCAUGCAUGCUAGGUGCCGAGAGAUCCAUACAUGAGGAUAUGAGAGGUGCUAACUAACUGCUAAUUCUGACGAAUUGGCCCUAAUAUCUGUUCAUGCAGUUUGCAUGGCAAGUUAUGGCUGGAGCCCGGUGGAAGUGUUCUGCAAUUUGAUUUCGUACCUUUUAAUUUGAACUCCUUGUUCGUGUUCAGAGUGAGGAAACAAAUCCACAUACUGUUCUGUUUUUCCUUGAGCAUGUACCUCUUUCUUGGUUCAAAGAACAAACUGUAAUAGAACUUCUCAUGAAUUAACUCUUGAGGCACACAUGAACAGAUUGUAGAGGCUAGUAGAUGCUGAUCAAUAAUCUUAUAGAGACCCCCCACCCCCCCUAAUCUGUUAUGUUUCUUACAUAUUAGAAGUUGUACAGAACAACGUGUGAUUUACCAUAUAUCAUUGGUAAAAUAAAUUCGUAAAUAGAAUUCCUAUCUAACAAUGACCUAUUGUAAUGUUUUUUUUGUUUUAUCCAGGAUAUUGCAAUAUAGUGGAGCUCUUGCUUUCUAGAGGGGCUUCUGUUGAUGCAUUAUCUAAUCGUGGUACACCACUGCACCUUGCUGCUACUAAUGGUCAUCAUCAAACAGUGAAGAUUUUGUUGGACCACAACGCUGAUGUAUGGGAUUAAUGCCUUUUAGUUCCUCAAUGGUUGUGUGAUUUGAUGAAAUUCACAUUUUUAAGAUGCUCUUUUGUUUCUGCUCUUGCUCAUGUUCUGUUUGAUUCAGUAUUGCUGGGCUGAUUUGUGCUUUCAUUCCUGUUAUGCUCUUAUUUUUUAGACCAUUACGGGUUGAACUAAAACAUAAUUUUGAGCAUUUUCUGUUAACAUGUGCAUAUUUCCCUUUUUAAUGCUCUGAAGUCUCAAGUCUAUAUACCUACCAACCUACAUGACUCUUCUUUGGCUCCCCUAAUAAUUGUCAUUUAAGAAUAGAUGCUAAUUGGCUUUAUGUUUCUUUUCAGUGCAAUAAGAUUGUGAAUGGUGUCUACACACCUCUCCUUGUAUCUAUUUAUGCUCCGUCACUAAAAUGUGUGAAGCUACUAAUCCAGGUAUUGUGGGCCCUUUAGCUUUGGUAGUGUUCAACUGUUGAUGACAACUUGAUUAGUAUGUGAGGCUAUUACUGUUUAUAGUUAUUUCAGGUGGUGGACUCUGUCUACACCCCAAAGAGUCCUUUUUAACACUGUUUCUUCUACAUGAGCAUCUUUUGUUGGCUCCAUAGGAUAUCUUUGGGAGAGCUCCAAUGCCAAGAAUUCUUGAAGCUGGGUAUCCCUAGCUCCAAGAAAUUUGGGAUUUUGGAGGAACCGUGUCAAAGAUUCCCCUGUUUCUUUGAAGCCAAAUGUGCCAAUGGCCUGUAGCAACCAAUUAUUUGAACACCAUCUCAAUAGAGACGAGGGUUCCUCUUGUAGAUAACAGAUAUUCAAAUAUAGUAAUGGAACCUCAGCAAAUGUCAAAAGGUCCCAGUCUCCCUGCAGCUUUUGCUGACCUCACAAGCAAUUGUCUGAAUCCUCAAACUCUUCUUCAGAAACAUACUUCUUUCAAUGUGUUUGUAUUCCCAUUAAACAGCAUCCAAAGAAAUAUUUUCUGCUGCAACAUGCACUUGUUCCUCCAAAUGCAACUAUGAACAGAAUAAUUUUGCUGGUUCUGAAAGAAAACUUAAAAAGAGAUGAACUCCUCAGAAUUUCAUGAAUAAGACCAUAUGUAUCAUACCAAUGGACUAGCAUGUGUUCUUAACUUAUUGAAUUCAUUCUGGUUACAUGUUUAUACUGCCCAGUGGGAAAACCUAACAUUUAAUCUUGAUUAUUAACUGAUACUUUUUAUCACACGGAACUAGGAUACAAAUACGUUUAUGGCGUGUAAUUGUUGUGAUUUUGAACAGCACGUUAUGUCAGAAUAUCUGAGUGCUAUUUUUUGAGAAUUAAAACCAUGUAAAGAUAUGUCCAAAACAGCCUACAGGUGGAGUAGGAAAGAGCACAAAUUAUGACAUGUUUAAGAGGACGCGCAUGUAACAUUUUUUCAUAUAUAGGCUGGUGCUGAUGUAAAUGGUGUGGGUAAUAUAACCCCGUUAAUAGCUGCUGUUGGGUUAACUGAGUGCAUGAAGUGCUUAUUGGAAGCUGGUGCUGACCCAAACGUCCCUGAUGAAGUAUGUGUCUUCUCCUUUGUUUCCCCAUUUCUGCUAUUGUCGUCAGCAUCAUGCAGUUAUCUUUGUUACUUGUGAAGAUAUCUUAUUCAAUAAGAACUUGUUUUAGUCGGCCAUGUAUUAGUAAAGAAUUCCUACAACAAUGUAAUUUAACACAUCGGUUUGUCUAAGUUGUAGAAUUGCUUUAUUUUAUCUAGUUAAUUUAAAAAGCUUAGCAUAUAUUGGUGGAUAAUAGCCCAAUACAUCCGGGCUGUUACGCCUCAUUUGUUUUACUUUCCCUUUUUCUUUAGCAAAUUUCGUUUCUGGACUCAUGUUCUCUUUACCAUUAACAGUUUGGCAGGAUGCCAAUAGAGUUUGCGGCAAUAUGUGGUACACGAGAAGAUGUUGAGAUCCUAUUUCCUUUAACUUCUCGUAUUCCGUCUGUACGUGAUUGGAGUGUCAAUGGAAUAAUAUGUCACGCAUACUCAUUGCCAGGGCAAAAGGUAUGAUUGUAUGAGCUGGGCGAAAAGGCUAUAUUUAACUUUAGACUAAUAAUGCUAGUGUUCAAGUUGACUUAUGAUCAAGUUUUGGCUUAAAGAAACACCCUCCUGUUUUAUAGUUUAUUUUGCUCAUCAUUGAAAUGAAAUGUGCAAGUGCUGGAAUAAGCAUAUCCACAUGUUAUUUAUGAAUGGAAAUUUGAAACGGGUGCAGGGGAUAUUUUUUAAUUUUUAUAUGUGAAAGGACCAAUUCUUUCUGCAGGUAUAGAAAUGAUGAGCAAUUGUAUUUGGGACAUUUGUAUGCUAGCUUAGCUACAUUUCUUACUUUUCAGCUCAAUUUCAGGUACUUGCUUUGUGAUAUCCUUCUCCAUAAAUCUUUGUUCAAUACCUGUCUUUCUUGUUCAGUUCUAUGAGAGGGGGUUGGAAAGGGACACCACUAGUUUGAAAUUUCAAGGAAGAAAGGCACUCGAGAGAAAGGAUUAGCAUUCUGCAAUUGAACUAUACAUUAAGGUAUGAUAUCCCACAUUUUCGCCAUUGAUAAUUGAUUUUCCUUCCUAGGUUAUUUGGAGUGCUUUCAUAGCUUCAUAUUUUUCACUCCCAAGAUUCCUGUUCCCUAUUCACCUGUUAGUCACUGAUUAUACCUGGAAAUCUCAGAGACCCAGACACGUGUUUACUUGAACCUAUGAGUGUUCUGUUCAUAGAAUAUGUCAAAUUUUACUUUUAUCUGUGAUAAAUCUAUAGGUAAAACAAGAUCAUUCAGGAUCAGUCUUUGUAUCGCUCUUGUGUGUUAACGUAGGGACCCCAUAAAAGACAAACUUAUCAGUUAAACUAUGAUACACAUCGAAUUGGCAUGUUUGCAGCUGUGAAUUUUGCAUACAUUGGUUGGAUGUUUCCCAACUAAGAGCGCGUUUGGAAAUGUAGUAUUUUUGGUGUUUUGAAAUGUAUAAUGGUAGUUAUGACGGAGUGCAGCACCGGGGAAGACCGGCUUGACCAUAUUAUAGUCUUCCGCUUCCUCUUAAGGGAUGCGUGAACUUGAAUAAGGUUUAUUUAUUUUGUCUUACGUCGAUGCAGCCCCUAGGUAUGUACGCAUGGAGGUUAGUGAGGAUGAAGCAACCCCUGGGUCCGGCAAAUAGAGGGAACACUACGAGACAACCCCUGAGCUGACUACUUGGGGUUUCGCUUUGCGCAAUGCAACCCCUGAGUCUGGCUACAUAGGGAUAAGUUUGGUUUCAACACAUAAGUUUAUUCCAAGGGGUUCAUUUUUAGUUUUAGCAAUAAAAAACAGUAGAUAAAGGGAAUCACAAGGCUCUUUUUAUUGGGAUGUAUUUUCUUUCAAAAAACGUUUGAUCAAGCUAAACAAGUAUUCGAAAGCCUAAAAGGAAAUAACUUAAAGCAUAAAAAAGACGUAGCUAGGCAGCGUUCCACGUGUGUGGUGUAACCCUUCCAGUCUUCCCGUUGUGAAGCCUAUAGUCUCCAUCGCUGAGCACCUCGUGGAUGAUGUAAGGUCCCUCCCAAGGGGAGGAAAGCUUGUUCUUUGGUUUUUGGUUCAGACGCAACACUAGGUUGUCAAUGUAGAACUCGCAAGCCCCGACACACCGACCUCGAUACUGGCACAACUUUUGCUGGUACAAAGCCGUGUGUUUGAGGGCAAUCAAUUUAGCCUCCUCUUUGGCGUUGAUGUGGCUUUUUCGGGCUUCCUCUGCAGCAUCUUCGUCGUACCCCCGGAUGUGUGGUGAAUCAUACUUGAUAUCUCACGGGAGGACCGCCUUGGUCAUGUACACCAUUAAGAACGGUAUAUAUCCCGUUGACCAGUUUGGAGUUGUGCACAAGGUCUUGAGGAUGAAGGCAGCUCGUCCACCCACUUCCAACCGCCUGCUUAAUCGGGGUGAUGAGACGAGGCAUGAGGCCCUGCAUUAUGAGCCUGUUAGCCCGCUCUACAUGUACAUGGGACUGUUGGUGUGAUACCGAUGCAGCAGCAACAACAACAACAACAACAACAAAGCCUUUAGUCCCAAACAAGUUGGGGUAGGCUAGAGGUGAAACCCAUAAGAUCUCGCAACCAACUCAUGGCUCUGGCACAUGGAUAGCAAGCUUUCACGCAUCUCUGUCCAUAGCUAGCUCUUUGGUGAUACUCCAAUCCUUCAGGUCUCUCUUAACGGACUCCUCCCAUGUCAAAUUCGGUCUACCCUGCCCUCUCUUGACAUUCUCCGCGUGCUUUAGCUGUCCACUAUGCCUGGUGAGUCUGCCGACCCGUUAGCUUUUUCCCUGAAGGCUUGAGGGGCCUGCGAUUGGGAUAUUUGUGUGACAAGCAACGUCAAGCAUAAAGACAGAACAUUGGGCCAACAACGGAAACUCACCCAUUUGGGUUGGAUGGCUUGCGCACCCCCACCUUCGGUUGCUGGGAGGGAUGGGUGCAUUGCCCUGAGGCACUUCCGAGGUAGGCAUUCCAGAUCCUCUAUGGAAUAGCGAGAUCGGCUUCACCUGCGAUCUUCUUUGGGCUUCAAGCCUCUCAGCUCUCGUCUUGCAAGCUCCAUUGAGGUCUUCUGAGGUGUGCAACCUCUUCACAAGCAGCACAAGGCGGGGCACGACAACAGAUGUGCCAACGCUCCCUCCGGACUCUGCUCCUGAUACCAGACGCAUUAGUCACAACAACUCUGUAGGUGGCAGCUUACCGUGCUGUGGAGGCAGGGAUAUGAGAAGAACUUGAAAACUUGCAUGAGAGGUCGGAAUGUACAUAAGAUAGGUACAACCAAGGCAAGAAAUUUGUAAGGCCCAAAGAAGAUCGACCCUUACAUUGUUAGGCGAAGCCCAUGAUGGAAGGGCUCCACUGCAACCUCGAGGUAAUCUCAUCCAAAGGGACGUGCAUCACAAAAUGCAUGUGUGACUUAAGCUCAGAUUUCGAGACCUCCACGCGAUUCAGGCAAGGAUCGUUCGGUCCUUCGUAAUCAAACAUUGGAUGUACCCACGCUGCCAAAGGCUGGAAGUUUCUCUCCAGCUAAGUCUUCAGAAUCUGCAUCCCUCCAAGGCCGCCGUUCUUAAGCCAGAAGACCUCCUGAACGAGCAGACCAACUCCUUGAUAAGGUUUGUCUGCCUCCCAGGAUUCUAGUUCUCGAGGAGGUGAAUUUUCAAAGGGCGGCGGACAGUUACGUCUAUUCCUGCGGGAUGGUCCGGAGUGUAGAUCCAACCUCUUUUCCACUUCCUUGUCGCUGUAGGCACCGAGAUGUUGAAGUAAUCUAAAUCCGGGCAAGGUCGAAUGGCGACUCCUCCAGAGUCCGUCUCCAUCUUGAAGAAAUAGCACCAAAGCCCCAAGUGCAGCGAGAUCCCCAAGAGGCAUUCACACGGCGUAAUAAAGUAGUCAAGGUGUAGAACCCCGUUUGGUGUGAUGUGAUGCAAUUGGCAAUUGUAGAAGAGAAGGUUGAGCACAAAAUUAUGCAGGGGCAAGUAGAGGCCGUGGCAGAGAAAGGACGUGUGGAUAACUCUGUCCUAGCUAGUUGGAGUUGGAACAAUAUCCACUCUCUUGGCUGGCGUCCACAGAAGUACACGCUCCUAGGAGGGAGGAAUCCUUGCCUUACCAGAUCUGUCAGCUAAACGUAAGUAUUGGUGGAGAUGGACCACCUCCCCUCACCCUUGCUGACGGUCGACGCUCCGGUGGCCGACAUUGCAAUGCGGCUCGUGGUGUCCAUCGCCGCCGUGCCAUGACACUCUCCGCGAUUAGCACCCGGGGUGGUCCUCCUUGACAUGUCACCUCCGAAGGCGAUAGCUUCGGAUCCAGGCCUUCACCGUCAUUGGAGGACGAGAGGCGCAAGGAGGAAGAAAGAUGGAGGGGGCGGCGUGUAGGCUCUGUCAAAUGGCACGGGAUACGGAGUGAUGACCCUUUCCGUAAAGGCUGUGUCAAGAUUAGCUGACACGUGGGGCAUGAGCACGAGGGGCAAGACACUAUGUUGGCGAAAAUUCGGGCUCCUCGAUGGGCCUUGGACUACUUAGUGAGAUCCCGGCCUGGCCCAAGCAACUGGGAAGCGGAACCCCCGUCGACAUUCAACCUGAGCAGAGUCAAGACUUUCGAGGCCGGGUUUUUUGAAGAAUCGAAGAAGGAACCAACGGGCAUUGCAGUCCAUCGGAGGUCACAAAGGAGCCCGCCAGGAUGUCGCCUCAAGAACUCAAGAUCAACUACCAGUCAGGCAAGAAUUCUAGACGAGCUCGGGGCUACUGACGGUGUGCAGCACCUGGGGUGGCCUCUCGGAUGGCAAACCAUACCAUGUGCUGUGGGCCGACCUCAACGCCCAACGGGUCCGGGCGCCUUCCAGAGCCCCAGUCGUGCAAGAGCCCUCCCAUACGAAGAAACCUGCCUUGACAUGCAAGUCAAGGCUCUCCCACCGAUUGAAGUCCUAUGUCAGUUAGGAAACUUGUAAACCCUAGGCCUCGCUAUAAGACAAGGCUAGGGGUAGUUCGAGGGCCAUGGACAUCAGAGUCAUCUUCUCGGUAGCUAUGAUUACCUCAUACUUGUAACCCCCUCACACGAGGCGUUUCCCACCAUCAAUUAAAAUAAAGCAGGAGUAGGGUAUUACCUCGACCAUGAGGGCCUGAACCUGGGUAAAUUCCCUGUGUGCGAUCCCCUGUGGUACUUCCGGUCGCGCUCUCCGCAGUACUGACUGACGGUUUUCAGUAUCGUCAAGUUGCAGAAACUAGGCUGUUCAGUUUGGACAUAUAGGUGCAGCAAUUCAUUUGUGCUCCAGUGUAAUGUGUUUUAUGCAUUUGUGCUGUACAUUACAGCUGCAUGAUGUUUGGCGCGUUGGUCCAUUUUAUUACAAGUCUAAUUCCUCAGAAUGGUAUCAUAUCUGAGUCGUGUCAGGGUUAGUGUUUCCUCUUACCUCCCACCCAACUCCCUUCUCCAGCCACCAUUCACAACCAGAUUGUGUCCCUCUUAGUGGGAACGGCUAAAUUUCUGUUCCUCUUAGUGGUAACGGCUCAAUUUCUGCUGGUGAUCAGCUUGGAAUUUAAAAAAAUAUUUGGCAAUUUCGGUUGAAUACAACUGGUAACUGGCCCUUUUUUUCUCUUCCUUUUGAGGGAAACUAACCGGCCUGUUCUUGAUAAAAGACAGAGUCUUGUAUUUUACUCAUUUCUGCUUUUUCAAUCCUUCCUCGGUGGUAAUGUUGAAAUUGUUUUUAGGUGUUUCAGUCCAGUCAUUCAGUGCAUGUUUUAGCACUCAGUAAAUGCUAGUUUUAUUUGGUUGAGUGUAGGCAAUGGGCCUUGAUUAUGAGGAUGCGACCCUGUACUCAGAUAGGAGUGUCUGUUUUCUCCAAAUUGGCGAGGGAGACAAAGCCUUUGCGGAUGCUUAUACUUGUAGAAUGAUGCGCCCUGACUGGCCAAAGGCCUGCUAUCGGCAGGGAGCAUCUCUAAUGCUGAUGAAGGUGAGCUCAGCCGAACUGUUUUAUCUUAAAAUCAUUUUCAUAGAAAAACUUGUAACUUUGUAUACGUUCUUUUUUGUUUGUCCAGGAUUAUGAAAAGGCCUGUGGUGCCCUUUUUGAUGGUUUGAAAAUGGACCCACGGAAUCUUGAGAUUGAGAACGCUUUACGGCAUGCUAUAUCUUUCAUACAAUUUUACUGCACAUUGUAUUUUAUUCAAGAUGCCAACAGUGCUACACUAGCAGUCACCAGAGCUAAAAAUCUUUGAAACACGACCACCAAGGCCUUUUUUCAACUUGUUAAUAUCAUUUGGUUAGCAACUGCUGUGGAAGACAUGAAAAAACAGAGAUAAUUCAAAAAGUGGCAUACUCUCGAAUCAUCAAUCUCUAAAUAUGAACAGCGUUUCCGGUUCCCGGCGGCGGUAUUGGGCACCAGCUAUACCGCUGUGAUCUUGAACCCUGGUUGCGUGGUACUAGUACUUAUGACUGCUGUGUAAUAUGCAGGGAGGCUAUGGAUUCCUUGAGGAUAUCUCGGGGCGCUAAGAAGACUGUAUCGAAGUGCCCAUAGGAGCUUUGUUUACCGCCUGCCUGCAGUCUGCUUGCUUGUGCAUGAUUUUUUCUGAGCUCUGCCCAUAUUCUUUUAUAUUGUACUCCCUCCGUUCCUAAAUAUAAGUCUUUGGAAAGAUUUCACUAUGGACCACAUACGGAGCAAAAUGAGUGAAUUUAUACUCUAAAAUGCAUCUAGAUACAUCAAUCUCUACAAAGACUUAUAUUUAGGAACGGAGGGAGUAGACAGAGAAGCAGUUAGAAGCUUCAUUUUCUGAUCCCACCUUUGUCAUGCAGUCCCCAAAUUCCUUGCUUUUUACGGCAUGGUCUCUACCAGACCACUGCAGAAGGCAAAAUGGAUACAGGAGGGACCUCCAUUUGUGUUUGGUCUCAUUAUAAAGGGCUUGAAGUAAUGUGGAGUAACUUUUGCUUUAGAUCAAGAGAUACGUGAUUUACAUCUACUGCCAAUUUGCAACUUCUCUCUGUUAUGAUCGAUAUGGCGGAGAUAACCCCUUCACCCUACGACAAUAGCAAACGACCAAGGAUCCUAAUUAAAGUCCUAUACUAUAUGAAUUUCUUACUUCUUUUCGCCUGUUCGGCAUUGCCACAUGGGCGACAUAUGUGUGGAUGUCCUAGCCGAUGUGUACUAGCCAACCCACUCCACACGGGUUCUUGUUCAACAAGUGGAGCCGCUUUCUAUUAUACGGUUUGACCUUCAAGUUCAAGGUACCACGGCGGCCGCCAUGCCUGCUAUUUAGGCUUCGGCCUAACAAACAGUAAACCGUAACCCUUCAAAUUGCCUGCUAUUAUGUUUGAGCAUGUUGGAACUUCAGUAAUCAUUGUUAUUUCUUUGUGCUAUAUGAAAUGAGUAACAUAACGUAGAAAUUUGUUCUUAGUGUGCUCUAGUUUCUUCAUUGAUGCUUUGGUCAGUGAUUCCCUAAAUUAUCAAAGAAUAUUUAAUCUGAAUUACUCACUAGACGCAUUUAGAUUUCAAGGGGAGUAUGGAACAAUCAACUAAUUCCAGACUUUGAUUUCUUAUUUUAUUCUAAAUUACAGAGUAGGGCAUCUGGACCACUGUUCAAGAAAUCUUCCGAUUCACCAAUUAAUCUUCCGAUUUAUCGCUAAUCGGAGGGUGACCGAUAUGAUUAUGCCUUAUCUUUGCCGUUUAUCUUUUGGACCGAUUUAUCAUUCUGGCAAGCGAUUUAUCGGGAAUCUACCGAUAUAUUAGACCUAUUCAUCGCACUAUGUUGGUAAAAACUAUGUUUAUUUAUGUUUUGUGGACCUUGUUACGGAAUAUGUACUAUUGCCCUAUUUUUUUUGUCAUUUUAGGAGGAUUCAAAGGCUAGAAAUCAAGGUAACACUUCUGUAAAAUAUUGUUUUAGUGUUGAAUAUAGUGUAUUUUAGUGUUGGGAACCUGAUAUUUGCAAAAAAAAUAUCCGAUUAAUAGUCGAUCGAUAAAAUCAAUUAAUCGGUCGAUUUUCGAUGAAUCUCUAAUCCCUAGCUGACCGAGACGAUAACGAUACGCGAUAUCCUCAAUGUUGAUCUGGACUGCAAAAAAAUGAAGGUUGGAACAAAGCCAAAUAACAUGUAUCUCUGACAGUAUUUAUUGGAAAAUUUCUAUAGAACACUGCACCUGAUUAGCAUAUGCCAGACAACACAAGAUGAUGUUAUUGCCCAACCACAUUAUAAAGUUGUAGUCAUUUGCUGGGCACUUCUUAGAGGCGGAGCUAUGUGUACGGGCUGUUGCCCCAGCCUUGGAUCAUUUCUGAAGGAAUUUUUUGAGGAGGACUAAGGUUAGUUUUUCAGAGGAGGACUUUGAUCAGACUAUAAGGGUUGGAUGCGCUUUGCUGCUCAGUUGGUGUUGCUAGUUUCUUAAUAUAAAAAAAUUAGUCCCUCUGUUUAAAAAAUAUGAAAUGUAUUACUUUUUUUAAAAGUCAAAUGACCUUUUAAGUUUGAUCAAAUUUAUAAGAAAUAUAUCAAAAUCAAUCAUAUCAGAUCGGUAUGGUUAGAUUCAUCAUGAAAUGAAGUUUCAUAUUCUUUUUUAUUUAAUAUUAUGGAUCUUGAAAUUUUUUGCUUUGAACUUGAUCAAAAUUGAAGACAUUCGACUUUCCAAAAAAUAACACCCCUUAUAUUUUGGAACUGAUGGAAUAUUUAGUUUGGCGGGCGCGGAAGAUGAUGGAGUGCGUUUUAUUUUUAUUUACAAUGCGGUGAUUUGAUGGGCAUUCGUGGUGUGGUUCUGUGUUAUCCGCUAAUCAACAUAUAUUUAUGUGAAUUUUUUUCACAUUGAUGGCUGCAUGUACGAUCGGGGGAGAUGAUGGACUACUAUAUUGGUGCUACAAUAUCGCAUAGUGGUGCUUCUUUUUCUAGGUGGUGAUAGGGCGCGCGAGAUUGAUAUAUUUUAGGGCAUUCUUGCUGAUUGAUUUGAAAAAUCGUUGGCCCAGUCAAAACCGUAAACUAAAUCCAAAAUUAAAUACCUUAUAAUUGAAUAAAAGAGCUUCAAAAUCAGGGAACAUAGGGUCGAAAUUGGGUGUGGCCAAUUCUAAAUUGAAGACCCCAAUUAAUUGGGAGGCCUUAAAAAUUAGAAAUCACAGUGUGUAUAUAGUAGUACAAAAGAAAUGAACGAGAGAUAUUUGAGAAAUUGUUGACUCGGGUCAAAAUCGGGUGACACAAUUCUAAUUCGAAGACCUUAAUUGAAUUUGUGUUUUUUAAAACUAAAAGUAGGGAGCAUAAUGUUACCGGGGACAGUACGAGAAAAUGUUACCGGGGACAGUACGAGAAAUUGUUGGCUCCACCGUCAUGGCCACAGGCCACCGCUCGCUCCCCGUUUCCUCUGCUCUUCCUCUGCCGCCCCAAAACCCUACCAACUGCCGCCGAUNNNNNNNNNNNNNNNNNNNNNNNNNNNNNNNNNNNNNNNNNNNNNNNNNNNNNNNNNNNNNNNNNNNNNNNNNNNNNNNNNNNNNNNNNNNNNNNGCUAAACCGCGGGUGAGCCCUACCGCUGACACCCGACCCCUCUCCUCCCCCACCCUGCAGGUCCCGGCGCGCUGGAGCGGCGGCUUCUCCAGGCGGCGGCCGAAGGCAACCUCCAGCUCUUCAAGAGUGCGUGCUCGCGUCCCGCUCCGCCCGCGGAUUUUGGUCUCUGGGAGCUGGAUCGAGCGCCGAUUUUGACAGAUUUUUUCGGAUUUUGUUGGGUCCGUACAUGCAGGGACCGCCAGCGCGCUGGACGGCGGCAAGGGCCGCCUCAGGGACGCGGUGGAGGCCGUGACGCUCCAAGGGCGAGGCUCCGGGGCGCUGCACUUCGCCGCGCGCCGUGGGAGGAUGGCGGUGUGCGUGUACCUGGUCGAGGAGCUCCGCGUGGACGUCGACGCCACCGACGAGACAGGUGCGCACUUGCUCUCCCUCCCUCCUCGGUACGAAAGCAAGUCCCUUGUUUUCUUUCCCUCUAGAGUAGAUGAUUUGAGGUUGGUUGACCUGGCUGCCUUGGUGCUUAUAUAUAUAUAUAUAUAUAUAUAUAUAUAUAUAUAUAUAUAUAUAUAUAUAUAUAUAUAUAUAUGCCACUUUUACCUUGGCGAUUGCCUUGAAGUGGGACGGGAAUUGAACUAAUUUAUGCCAAAAAUGUUGUGCAUUUUUCGGACUUGAUUUAGCUUAUUUUGUUGAGAAAUCUAAGGCUUAUAACUUGUCAAUUGGCCCUGAGUUUCAAUCAUACAUCACAUUACUUUGUUUGCACUAAUCUCAUCAAGUUCAUUUAUUCCAGAUGCAGCGUGUACUGUUUUGACAGAGUUGUUUCAGUAGAAAGACUAUUAUUGCUCCUAGUUCCGACUUCUGAAUGUGCUGUUGUAUGUAAAAAGUUUGCAUGUGUAUUCUGGAAACAGAUGCAUGUUUAUAUUGCAAAACCUUUACAUGACUUUCUUCUAUUUCUUGGGUAAUUUUCUGUUGUUUCGUUUAUGAGUCUCUUAUUUAGUUUCUUCUACUUUGAUGUUCCUGAUAGGCUAUACACCUCUGGCUCAUGCAAUUAUUGCUGGCACUGUGGACACUUUCCAGUAUCUUCUUGAUCAUGGUGCUAAUCCAGAUAAACCUGAUGGACAAGGGUCUACGCCUCUCCAUUUGGCUGCUGCACGAGGUCUCUCCCUAUGUGUACUUAUCUUGUUCCUCUGUGUCUUGAAAUUCUUUGUUUGUGUGUUCUGGGGUGAUGUAAUGAAACUUGAAACGGAUCAUGUUAUAUACUCCCUUUGUAAACUAAUAUAAGAUCUUUUAGAUCACUAAAGUAGUUAUUUAGAAGAUCUUAUAUUAGUUUACAGAGGGAGUACAUUAUAAGUAAGAAGGUAGGAAAUGCACAUGUCCUAAUUGGUUGUGCAUGUGCAUAGAUAUGACAGUGUCAUCUGAGCAUUUAGAGCUUUCUCUGUGACAAAUGAGUUGUUUAUUAAUUGCUAUCUUUUAAGUCUAAAAAAUCCAUUUAUCAAUGUGCAUGUGUGUAUGUAUCAUGAAUUAUGUAGUCCUUGCCACAAAAUGAGCUGCAUUACAUAAAUUCAAUAUAGGUAAAUUCAGAAGUGAUAUAAUUUAUUGCAUGUCGGACAAAAAUAGUAAAAUAUGAAUUUAUUUCAAGCCACUAUUCAUACUUGUGAGGGUAGGCCUGGCGCAGUGGUGAAGUCCUCCCCACUUGUGCCAAGAGGUCCUGGGUUCGAAUCAGCCUCUCUGCAUUGCACUUCGCAGGGGUAAGACUAGGUUCCUAUAAUCCCUCCCCAGACCCCACCUUGUGUGGGAGCUUCUAUGCACUGGGUCUGUCCACUAUUCAUACUUGUGGGUAUUUCACUGACAUCUAUUCAAUUAUGUAAAUCCAGAAGUUACCUUGUUUAUACCCCUAUCAGCUUUAAGAUAGCAAAUAUGAACUUGUUUACAGCCACUGUUUGCAGUUACUGUUGCUGGUUAUACAUUUAUAAGUGAGUGAUGUCACAUUCAUAUAUUACCUUUUUUUAUUAGUUGGUUCUCAUUGCAAUAAUUUUCCCGAUGUUUGCAACGUAGUUAUUUUGCAGUUACUUCCUAAGGUAAAUGAAUACAUAUCCAAAUCUUAUGUUGCAUGAAAAACAUAAUAAAAUGAACCUCUUAACAUUGGAGGUGUAGUUCACACUAGAUUGUCUUCCGCAGAUUUCAAUGUUUACAUAUAGCAAACAAAUCUAGCAAAGAAGUGUGAGGCUAUGCACUCCUAUUUUCUCGAUAACUUGGUACCACGUGGGUUCCUAAAUUGUUUAAACACACUGUAGAAUUUAUACUCAUUAAUUUACUGCCUCUGUUUAUUUUUACUUGCGAUUUAGGACAUUGACACGGUCUUUGACAAACAUGUUUGGCCAUUACAUUUCAUAGCUAUUUGUUAGUAAGAGUUCAUAAAAGUUUGAUUACUUGAAAAUAUUUUCUGAUAAAUCCAUGGGUCAUUUUCAUGUGCCAAAUCAUAAUAAUUCUUUCUUAUCAUUUAAUCAUUUAGGUCAUCGACAUGGUUCCUGACAAACAUGUUUGGCUGUUACUUUCCAUAACUAUUUGUUAGUAAAAGUUCAUAAAAAAUUGAUGACGCGAAAGUUCUUGUCAUGACAAAUCCAUGGGUCAUUUUGAUGUGCUAGAUCCUAAUAGUUCCUUUUUGCUUAUCAUUUAGGAGAUUGACACGGUCUCUGUCAAACAUGUUUGGCCAUUACUUCUCAUAACUAUUUGGUAGUAUAAGUUCAUAGAAGUUUUGUUACAUGAAAGUAUUUUUCAUGAAAAAUCCAUGGUCAUUUUCAUGUGCAAAAUCCUAAUAAAUCUGCAGGUGGAGUAACUAUUUUCAUCUAUACCAUCACUUAUGUGCAACUUUCAUCUACAAAACCAGGUUGUGUCAAUGACAUGUAGGGUCUGGUCCUACAUGUCAUUGACAUAGGCUUGGUGGUAUAAAUGAGAAGUGUUUUUCCCCCCAAAGUUCACUGCACGCAUUCUAGCAUGUCAUUUAUUUGAGAACGGAGGUAGUAUUCCUAUACAACUAGCUAAUUGAACAUAUUGCUUUGAAAACUUUGAUCCCAUAUUGCUUUCACUAACAAAAGGAAAUUCACAAUAACAGCAGCAGCAGCAAUACCAAAUAACCUGUUGGAUAUUAUGUAUUAUGCAAAUUAUCUAUGGAAUUUCCACAUUGUUAUGAAUUAAAACCUGCUUUGUAUUUCUCAUUCAGGAAAUUGUGAAAUAGUAAAAGCCUUGCUUUCAAAAGGGGUCAUGUUGAUUCAUUGUGUGAUACUGGAACACCACUGCACACGGCUGCUUUCUGUAGGCAGGAUGGUGCUAUGAAGAUUUUGUUGGACCACCAUGCAGAUGUACGUCACUUGUUUGUGUACCCUUCCUUCUUGGGUUAACAGGGUCCACAUUAUUAAAUACAUGAUUGUUUUGUCUGGUACUACUUUGUCAACUGCCCAUAUACUAACAAAGAUAUCUUUUUUUAAUGAUAAAAAGAUCAAACAUGUUUGCCAACAUUCAUCAUGUAAGGGUACUGAUUUUCUUAAUAUUUCUUCUCAGUGUAACAAGAUAUUCAACACUGUCUAUUCACCUCUUAUUGCGGCUCUCAAUGUUGGCUCUCUCAAUGUUAGCCCGCUGAAAUGUGUGAAGCUUCUGAUUAAGGUAUGGUGCAUUCAUCUCAUUUCAUUGACAUCUUUUGAACUGUUGGUAAGUAUCACAUGAAAAAGGAAGGAGGACAAAUGAUGGCAUGCUUAUUUAGAAGGGUCUUUGCAACCUUUUCCGUGUUAGGCUGGCGCUGACGUGAAGGGUGUUGGCACUAUGUCCCCCUUAAUAAUUGCUGCCAACAAUGGCUUAACUGACUGUUACAAGUGCUUACUGGAGGCUGGUGCAGAUCCUGAUGUUGGUGAUGAUGUAAGUUUCAACUUUCACUCCAGCAACAUGGAGUGGCUUUUCACGCAUGGUAAUUAUGUUAAGAAACUAAUGUAAAACUGUGCUGUGUUAAGAAACUAAUGUAAAACUGUGCUGUGUUGUUAAGGCUAAGCAAUACUUAGUCGUCUAUUAUUUUCACCCUCAAACCCUAUCUAUGAAGUCCAUUAAUGAUUCCGGUUGGUCCUUGGUGACCAUGAAGGCAUGAAUUUACACCAUUAUUCUUAGAUGCACAAUCGAUCCAUAUGCCAUCAUACCCGAUGUUCCAAUUGAAGUGCAAUCCUUGUGGUUAAUAUUAUAUAUUUCUAUCAUUUACGAAUGAUGUGAAUCUGUACAAGAUGAUGUCGCUGGAGUGACUGACAAUAAUUUGGUGGAAUGAUAAGUGAGUUCUUGUUCAGUGCUUUGAAGCAUUAUCUUCUGAAGUUCUAGUCAGAUGUGUAAUUACUGCUUUAAGAUGUUGCUCUAUUAAAACUGAAGGGGUUUAUUUUUUCUUAUUUAUUUGAACCAUAGUGUUGAAUAUCUAAAUAUUUUUAUCAUAUACCUCGUGUUCAUACUUCAUUCCCUGGCCGUGCUUCUGUUGUAUUACCAUUCUGCAAAUGCUUCAGUGAAACUCAUGUUUGUUUUAUUUUCAACAGUUUGGCCACCUUCCAAUAGAAAUUGCUGCAUAUAAUAAUAGACGGGAAGAUGUUAAGAUCCUACUUCCAGUAACUUCACGUACUCCAUAUGUGCGAGACUGGAGCGUUGAUGGGAUAAUUCGUUGGGUGAAAUCAAUGCCAUCAGUGGAGGUAUAACUUGAGGCAUCGCUGCCAAUAUAAGUUGCUUUGUAUAGGUUCUUCAGCAUGUCCUUAACUUAAAAAUAGAUACUUAAUCCUUGUGGGAGGAUUUGAUGUGAAGCUUACUGUGGUAUGUGAAAGAAGUAGUUUAUUGUGCAGUCAUAUAAAUGAGUGAACUGGAUCAAUAAAAUGUUCAGAUCAUAAAUAUUUUGUCUUCUAAAAUCUUCUCAUGCCCUUCUGAUGUAGCUCAUGUAAGUAUGUAAGUCUUAUGUCCUUGCCACACAUCCUCAUUACUUGUGCCAAAUGAUUUGUUUGCUGUUUCAGAAUGAUCCCAUGAACCAAAUGAAUCCAGCUGAUCUCAAGUUAGAAGGAAGCAAGGCAUAUAAGAGAAAAGAUUAUGCUACUGCAGUCAAACUUUACUCUAUGGUAAAUUAUUGCACCAUAUCUUAGCCUACACUUGUUUUGCUGUUGUAUGAUAACUAAAACUUUAAAUUGAGAGUUGGUGUGCUUUGUAUUAUUUUGAAUCUCUAGUAAGAAUUUGGUAACACUAAAGUGUAUGUGCCUCCUUUAUUUGUUCUUUUGCUGUUUUAAUUUUCUUUCUAUAAGGAUUGCAUUUAUGUUUAGAAAGUCUAUUGAUGCAAAUUCCCUGCAUGGCUGUUACAGAGAACAAAUUUCUGCUGUGCCUAAGUACAAACGUUACUAAGUUUUUCUGCAUUAGUAACAGAAAACCCAGUAGGAUAUAAACACGGUAGAUUUACUGCAAAAUUUCAAUUGUAACUCUGGCAUCAAGCCAUCAAAUAGUAUAUCUGUUAGAAAAUUGCAAUUUCAAUUGUAACUCUGGCAUCACCAUCAAAUAGUAUAUCUGUUAUAGAAAAUUAUCAGUAGUUCAUCUUAUUAUAUUGGAUUGGAUAGAGGGGAGUAAAGCUUUGGUUUCGAUGGAUGGGUCUUAAUUUCAGCAUCCUAGCGUGUAUCGAUUAUUGUUUCUCAGGUAAUCAAUAGCUAGUUUCCGCUAGCCCCAGCAAUUUUCUUGUGUGCGUACCUGACAACAAUGCAGUAGUAUAUGUGGGUCGUAGCAAUAACCCAGUGUGCUAAUUUUUUGUUUGUUUGUUUGUUAAUGUAGGCAGCAGACCGCUGCCCUGAUGACGCAACACUGUACUCAAAUAGGAGCCUUUGCUGGCUUAAGAUGGGUGAAGGAGACCAAGCUUUGAUGGAUGCUGGAGUUUGCAAGAUUAGGCGCCCAGGUUGGGCAAAGGCCUGUUACCUGGAAGGAUCUGCUCAAAUGUUACUGAGGGUACCAUUUUUUGCUACUCAUGAGCGCAUUUGCUCGCUAUGUUAAAUGCUUUUUUAGUGAUGCAGCAACCUUUAUGCGUGCAGGACUAUGAGAAGGCGUGUGAUGCAUAUCUUGAUGGACUCAAACUGGAUCCAGCAAAUGUUGACAUCGAGAACUCAUUACGGUAGCGUACUUACCCUGGCAGUGUUGAUAAUCCUAUUCGUACAUCUCAUGCAUCUAUUUCUUUCAUGUUGAAACAUACAUGGUGACUUUGUCCAAUAGAUUAGAAUAACUCUUUUUAUGUGGUAAACAUUUGUUUCCUGUUUGAAUCAUCUAGAACAUCAUCAACGCAUCUGCAUUUCAAACGCUUUAGUAAUUGCUGUAAUUUGUUAUGCAGGGAGGCUGUAAAUUGCUUGAAGACAUCUCAUGCCCCGAAAAAGUUGUAAGAAUAGUCAACUAUCAGGGGAAACCUUGCUAUUCACAGGAGCAGCACGACUGAUGCCAGUUCCCUCGGUGCGUGUGCAACGGAGUGUUGAGUUUAAAACAUAACUUGCUGUUGUAAACUAGGGUGGUUUAAUUUUUGCCAAUGCUCGAUUAGGCCGGCCAUGAAGAAUUACCAUGUUUCUUGUUUGUGCCUAGUAUGUUUAGCCUAGAAAUGCUGGACACGCAUGUGGGUCACCACAUAACAUGCACUACGUACGACCUUACUUGGUGCCAUUGAAUGCUAGUCGAUCAGUGGCGAGCGAGAUUGGAAUGGAUGCUAGUUGAUGUUUGCAUGCCCGCCCACUGGUGUGGUUUAGCCGUUUCAUGGAAUGUGCAGUGUAGUUGUGCUUUAGGAACACCCGGUGGAUAUGGAUGUGAGGCUGCUUUUGCUAUUGAGCUUGGAUUCUUGAUACUAGUAUUGCCGAUACUUUUCUACUCCCUCCGGCUGGUGUCAAAAACGUUCUUAUAUUUUGCGGCAGAGGGAGUACUUUCGAGUAUUGGAGCCCUUGUGUUUGUCUGCCUCCUCGAGAUGAUAUCAUCAUCAGGGGUCUCUAGCGGAUACAAGAGCAAAUAAAUGUAUUAUUAGACUCAUUUUAACAACUUUGGGAGACAACGCAUCACAUGAGGUGGUUUGCGUUAUGCUUGGCUUGACCUAAUUAAUAGGCUGGCUGUUAUGCUUGGCUUGACCUAAUUAAUAGGCUGGCUGUACCAACUGCAAGCACAAUCAGCACGUGAAAUUUGUGAUUUUACAGGCAAAUCAUGUAUUAUGAUGAACAAUUGUAUCAUGUAAGGAGUAAAACUAGCUUAUUUUGCUUGAUUUAAUAGGUUGGAGGGUACAAAACCAAAAUCUGUAGAUUAGCGAAUAUUAAUUUUAUGGAAAAUCCAACAUGAUGGAAUGACUUUCAGUCGUGGUAGGCCUAUUUUUUUUUUUAGAACGAAGGUUCAAGAGAACCCGACUUUGAAUUAACAAAGUCAUCAACCGGCUAGGAUUACAACCACAUCAAUACAAACUCGAACAAGCAAAAGAAAACCCAGAAAACAAGGCAAGAUACAAGGGUGCUGGUAGGCAUCUCUCAAAACCUCACACCCUACCGCUAGUAAGAUAGUGAUAAGCACAAGUUGAAGCACGCAGAGGUCCUCGUCCACCCAAGGAUCUCCUGGGCUUCGGGAAGCGCCUGCCGUCGAGGAUAGGACAUGUUAGCACUCAGCACCAAACAACCAAGGCCCUGGAACAACAUCACCAUCAAUUCCCACUAUCGAAGGAGGCCCCUGGGCCUCCUCACCUGGCUCGAAAGGCGCCGAACCGUCGACAUAUGGGGUUGCUCACCCUAGAACAUGGACGAAGGAUGCAACCGGAGGCAACGAAGGAGUAGGAACAGAGCACACCCUACCCGACUAAGAAACUUCGCCAGAAACACCGCACCACCGCCGCCCACUGACGAUCAUAUGGAGAGGAGAAAGAUGCCGGCCAGACAACAACAGAGUGUCCAGGGAGGAAGGAGCAACGAGGAGGCAGGACCAAGGCCGAGGAUUGACGCUCCGGCUCUCACAACGCACUGCUGUAGCCGCCGGAGGAGGGGAACCCGAUCCCCUCCUGGCCAGUAGCCGUCGGACCAAACUGACACCAGAUGCACAUAGAGUACCAGCAGAAAACCUGACCACUGCCGGACCUGCAAAGCUGCUACCGCCGCCACUGGGGACAUGUUGUCGCCACCGCCCGACAACCACCACACCGCAAUGCCCACAGUCCAAGAAGCAUCCAAGACGACGACUUCAACAAGCAAACGACGCCAAGAGCACCGUCGCCACCCAACAAAGUUCGAGUUUUCACCCGAGAGGCUAGGGGAAGGGGAGGGUGGAGCAAAAGACCUGAAUGGCGCCUUCAAGAAGGGGAGCGGCGUCCAUGGACGUCGCCGCCAUGGAUUUCUCCCGGUCAAGGCUCCACACCACCAACACCCCAUCCAGCUCCAGGCACCGGAGAACCAAGUCAACCUGGUCCAGAUCUGAAGGGGUGGAGCACGCAGGGCAGCAGAAGGGGGAAGGGGCGGCCAGAUCUGGAGCCGCAAGAGGCCGGAAACCCCACCGCCGGCGCCGCGGAUCUCGUCCGCCGGAGAGCUUGCUGCCCGCGCAACCAAGUCAACUGGACCACACCCGCGCCACCAAACAACCGAGGAGAUGGCGNNNNNNNNNNNNNNNNNNNNNNNNNNNNNNNNNNNNNNNNNNNNNNNNNNNNNNNNNNNNNNNNNNNNNNNNNNNNNNNNNNNNNNNNNNNNNNNNNNNNNNNNNNNNNNNNNNNNNNNNNNNNNNNNNNNNNNNNNNNNNNNNNNNNNNNNNNNNNNNNNNNNNNNNNNNNNNNNNNNNNNNNNNNNNNNNNNNNNNNNNNNNNNNNNNNNNNNNNNNNNNNNNNNNNNNNNNNNNNNNNNNNNNNNNNNNNNNNNNNNNNNNNNNNNNNNNNNNNNNNNNNNNNNNNNNNNNNNNNNNNNNNNNNNNNNNNNNNNNNNNNNNNNNNNNNNNNNNNNNNNNNNNNNNNNNNNNNNNNNNNNNNNNNNNNNNNNNNNNNNNNNNNNNNNNNNNNNNNNNNNNNNNAUUUAUACGGUUUACCUGACCUUUUACAAGCUACUGUGUAAGUGUAACGUGACAAGGUUUGGGAGGGCGACUGAGCAAGGGUAUCAAGCUCUAGAAUGAAAGCGGCGAAAAGCAGCGGCGUAAAAAUUUGUAAGUCAUUAACUGAAAAAAAAACACGUCCCAGGAGAUGAAGGUGACGCCAAGCAAAAGCACGACCACUGGGCCAAGCAAGGAAUGGAAACAUGCCGGGCUAAGCUGACCAGUCCAGCUUUUAGUUCUUGAGCUUGGAAGCAUAGGCAUAGGCCUUCAAGGAGGGCCGGGAAGAGGAAGAAAGAGAUACUCUAAGAGCAGUAGGGAUGGGAACAUGAAGGAAAAUCUAUCCAUCCACACCUUCCUAUCAUUCUUAGGUGCUCCUUCCCCUCCCGCUUAGUUUACCACAUGCAGUUCUCUUAGUGUUGAAACGAAAAAGUACCCAUGUACUCCCUCCGUUCCUAAAUGUAAGUCUUUUUAGAGAUUCUAAUAAGUGACUACAUACGGAGCAAAAUGAGUGAAUCUAUACUCUAAAAUAUGUCUAUAUACAUCCGUAUGUAGUCCCUUGUUGGAAUCUCUAAAAAGACUUAUAUUUAGAAACGAAGGGAGUAUCAAUUAAGUGACGAGGCCACGGAGGGAGGCAAGAUUUAUUUUUGUGUUUUCCCAAUGUCUCCCAUGCCUAUUGUUCUUGUGUGCUCGUUCAUCUUUCUUUUAGCUAGCAUAACUAUCUUAACAAAUGUUAUGCACGUGGAUGAUGAGGAAGUAAAUGCAAGUAAGGAAGAGGAAGAAAAUGAGCACCUAAGAACAUUGGGCAUGGAAACAUAGAGGAAAGCCUAGAUUGGCGAUACCCUCAAUAAUUUGGUAGCAAUAUCUUUCCGAGUUUUCCCAAUGCCUCUCGUGCUCACUCUUCUUAUGCGUUCCUUCAUCUUCCCUUUGACUUGCAAAACAAAACAGUUAACCAAGUGUAAACAGACAACUUAGUGCCUUCAUCUUGGUAUCUAUGCUUGGUCCCACGAUGUCAAAAUGCAAUAGACAACUCCUAUUAAACCGGGUAAGAUGAUGAUUACUCUGAAAAAGUGUGACAAACAAUGAUUUAACUGGAUAUAUAACCUAAGAGCUACUAAGCAUAUACAUGAACAAUUGGUAUCAUGUCAAUUUGGCAACAAAUCAUGUCAUGUAUGGUGGAAAUCAACAACACAGAUGGUAGAGAAACUGAAGAAGCGCACUCAUGUAGGGAUCCGAUUAGCCGCUUUCUUUUGCCGCACUGAAUCAAGAUGGCGCACACCAAGCAUCCAUCCCUAAUGCGCGCUCCAUAGCCACAUCAAGCAACCGUCAUCAUGCAUACCCGCGCAUAGGACUCACUGGGCCGAGAGCCGAGCAAGUGGUAGCUGGCGGUGGUCAAACAUGCAUAGCGACCAAAUAAUAUUCCUUUUUCCUUUUUGAGGAAAUAAAAUUGUUAUUUUUGCUUUUCAGAGAUUUCUUUUCAUUGAGUUAUUCUUACUGUAUAGGGUUCUUGGGAUUUCAGAUACCCAUUGGGUUGCCCAAUUAUGGAGCAGGCUUCUGUCAAGAAAAACAAAAUGGAGUCAACUAUGGCUUUAUCCGUUAAAAAAUUGUGCUAUAGCCCCACUGGCUAUUGGCUAUGAUUGAAUAAAUCCGAGGCCACUGGCGAUCAUCCGAGGACCAAGCAAUCACAUUAGCACGACGCCGAGAUUUGUUAACGAGGUUCACCGAUAUGGCUACAUCCCCGGGCCUGACUAUGGGCGCUCCUCCUCAUGAUACCGCUACAAUACCGCACCCGGUCGCCCUGGACGCCGGCACAUGCCAUCGGCUUCCCCUGCGUUUCGGUGCUAUUAUGUUGGCAUAUGUUACAUCGUUGUCUAGCCCUGCAAUAUAUGAGAGGCCUAGGAUACAAGUGUCCUACCAGGACACGACUCCAUAUCCUAUCUAAACACAAUACAACUACAAGUCCAACUGUAACCUAUCUUGUACAUUAUAUUCGACACAACUCCAACAAACUCCACCUUGGCGAAUAUACUCCACCACCCUGGAUUUGUCCAUGCGUCAAACUUCCAUGUACAUUGGACUUGAGCUUAUCCCAUGAGUAUCACUGCUACUCCAAAGACUCCAUGUGACUCCACCUGCAACUUGUAGUCCCUUCUUUUUUUGACCACAGUCAACACUCGAGUAAAAUUAAGUUCCUUGUUACUCUAGUUUGUGCUCCCAACUUUCAGAGUAUCCGUCCAACGCCAUCACACACUGAUCACUGACCUGCGUGAUAGUGAACAACUCACUUAUUGGGUGUCACACAUAAGAGUUACCUGAACUCAACAUCACUGCUCCUUUCUUGACUGCCUGUCUGAAACUUGAAGAAAUUUCACCAUUGCUUGUAGUCAUCCCGAGUCAAAUUCGCAGUUGUCUCAUCACAUGUAUGACCACCAGAGCCCUGGCCCGUCUCCAUGCUCCCGUGCAUACCGCACGCCUCGCCGCUAUUACCGUGUCGAGCCUCCGCUGUCUCGGUCGAGUCUCAAGGGUCGCGAACCCACACCACUCAACCCCACUGCAGAGUACCACCAAUCAUCACCGACAGAUGAUGAGUUUCACGUUUCCAUCAGACCACCGGGCUCCAGUCCAAACUGCAUGUCACUCGCUUUUCCUCCCGUCCCCGCUGAAUAGGCUUCGACUCUCUGUGCACUUACGCCGUAGCCCCUCAAUCAGCACCGAGUGAAGUCUUCCCUCAGACCCCAGCUCCACCUUCAACAUGACUCCAUGGUAGAUGAUCAAUCCACCCUUGCGUCCCGUCGACUUCAAGAUCCGUGUGUAAACCACCUGGAAUCAACCCCGUGCCAUAGUCUUGUCGAAGUCACACAAGCCCUCGGACUUGCGCCACGUGUUUCCACGCCCCAGAAGUCGGCCACCAUCAGCAUCAUGCUUCUAUGUCGUCGUCGCCGAUCCCAUCACCGUCUUCUGUACCAACCGACCCGCGUCGAUCCGUCAGACUGCCUAGUCCGACCCAUCCGAACUCGUUCGACUGUACGACACACUCGAGGCUCUCAAAUCAUCUUCUGCGAAUCUCCAUCCAUCACUUGAUAAUUUCAUCUUAACUGACAUGACUUCCCGCAACGCCAUCAAGCAUCCCUAUUGUGCCAACAAAUCUCUCAUCCGUGUCUGCCAUAACCCAAGGUUUUUAGUUCCAUGAAUUUCUUCACCUCAAACCUGAUACCCGUUGGCGCCACACAGUUCUUUGUACGUCUGACCCUGCGAAAAGUUAUCCGAACUUUCCUCACAUAAUGCCCAAGUACAUGAGGUUGUACUAGUAGCUAAUUCCAACCAAAAAUCUUUCUGGUCUUCACGUCAUCACGUGUAGCGCUCCCUGGCACAAAAUUCCAAUGCUAAGCUUUGCUUCGCCUUCUGCCAUUUCCAAUGGAUGCCAACGUGAAUACGUGAUGGAUUUGUUUUUCCUCGCCGAAUCGAUCUGCCUCUCGCCGCGUCCACGAGGACUCGGUCCUCCUUUUUUUUCUUCAAACAAAUCUCGUACGUGUAACUUGCACCGCCCCUGCACACAGCUCCUCACCCAGCCUCGCCUGUGCGUGGUCUCAGGCAAACUCCACCGCGCGACCCCAUCUUGUCCGGGUGCGUCCGUUUGGGGUAAAACGAACGAAUAGCGCGUCCCAACGCGCGGCCUCAAAUGGACAAAUGUCCGGAAUCCGUCCGUUUUCGACCCAUCCCUGGCCUAAAGUUGCGCUCGGUUUGGGAUGAAACGAACGCGCGCGGACGGCCGCGACGCACGCCCUUGUCCCCCCGUUGCCCGCCUGUCGGGGACACUAGCAGUCCCUUCCUCCCAACGCUUCGACCCUCUCUCUCCCGCCCCGCCCCGCCGCCGACGCCGCCGCUAUUCUCCGGCCGCCUCCUCACCGCGCAGCCCCCGGCCGUCCAUACCAAACCACGUGUAGACAUGGUCGCCACCACGCCCGCGCUUUCGCCGUAGUUUUGGCCGUCGAUCGGAGGAGGUUCGGUCGUCGCCGUCUUUGCCGGUGGCAGAGGAGACACGACCGCCGGCGACGUACCACGGCGGCCGCGGUAGCUUCCGACGGCUCCAGAGCGGCUAGUAGCCGGCCGGCAACCACCCCUGCUGUGUCGAGGUGAUCAUCGCGGCCUCUUCGCCACCACGACCACAAGGUGUUCGACAUUUUGCCCACAAAAGGUAAGGACAGUGGAGACGAGUUCUUCUUCCACCACUUCCUUUGUUCAUCGGACGAUUCAUCGUCGGAUGAUGAAGAUCUUGUGGUGGCUGCACUGGUCGUUCAUGACCACAUUCAACGGCAGCUUCCUCGGUACAGGGGGUCAGUCCCUGGCCGUGCUCCCAACCUGAACCGCAACAGGGAGAGAGGCCACACGCUGCUCUAUGCCAAUUACUUUUCCAACAAACCGCUCUUCAAGCCGGAUAAAUUCCGUCGCCGUUUCGAAUGGCAAGGCAUUGGUUCAAUCGUAUCCGAGAGGGAGUGGUUGCUCAUGACCCAUACUUCGAGUGCAAGACGGAUGCCCUUGGCAAGCUUGGGUUCUCCUCUUACCAGAAAUGCACCACGGCCGUCCGCAUGCAUGCCUAUGGAAUUCCAGGCAAUCUGGUGGAUGAGUACGUGCGUAUGAGCGAGACAACAUGUCUGAUGUCAAUGUACAAGUUCUGUCAGGCUGUGAUCGGGGUGUUUGGCCCAGAGUACUUGAGGCAGCCAACUGCCGCUGAUACAGAGAGAUUGUUGGCGACCAACGCAACUAGAGGCUUUCCAGGCAUGCUUGGCAGCAUAGAUUGUAUGCACUAGGAGUGGAAGAACUGUCCAUUUGCUUGGCAGGGCCAAUACAACGGGCAUGUCAGCGAGUGCACUGUCAUAUUAGAAGCGGUGGCAUCGCAGAAUCUCUGGAUAUGGCAUUCUUUCUUCGGCAUGGCAGGUUCUCACAAUGAUAUCAACGUGCUGCAACGUUCUCCAGUCUUCGCGAGGCUUGCAGAAGGCCGCUCCCCACCUGUCAACUUUGAGACCAACGGCCACCAGUACAACAAAGGAUACUAUCUAGCUGAUGGUAUAUAUCCUCAGUGGUCAACUUUUGUGAAGACAAUCUCGAAGCCCCAAGGUGAGAAGAGAAAGAGAUUUGCCCAAAUGCAAGAGCGUGCUAGAAAGGAUGUGGAACGUGCUUUUGGUGUGCUUCAAUCCCGAUGGAGCAUCGUUCGAUACCCUGCACUGUCAUGGGAUGAAAGGAAGCUUUGGGAGGUGAUGACUGCAUGUGUGAUCAUGCACAACAUGAUCGUCGAGGACGAGCGUGAUGACAGUAUCUUCGACCAAGGAUUUGAUUUUCAAGGUGACAAUGUUGAGCCCCUGCACCAAGAACCGGCCACGUUUGAUCAGUUCUGUCAGUUCCAUCACGAGCUGCGUGAUUGGCACACUCAUAAGGCUCUUCAAAAUGACUUGGUUGAGCACGUGUGGGAUCAUAUUGGCAACCGAUAGAUGUAUUGGUUCGUUUUAUGUUCAUAAGUUCGAUUUGGUUGUAAAACUAUCUUUAUUAGAGACAAUUUUGAUUGGGUUGUAAAACUAUUUUAAUUUUCAAACAAUUAAUAUUUGGACGUGCAAACUUGUUUUCAUAUGAAAAUAUGGGCAUUUUAGGCCCUGGCGGACAAGAUGGGGUAAACGGAUGCGGCCGCUCGCUGGGCGCACGACCACCGCAUCCCAGGACAGACCCGGACAUGACCCCAUUGCCCUAUCCAAACGGACAGAAUCCGUACAAAAUGAACGUCCGUUUGGGGUCGCGUGGUGGAGUUGGCCUCACACCCUGCACUGCUACGCCUAGUCCACAGCCCGACCACGUGUAGCUCCAUGGGCCACCUGCCGUGCAGCGCUCCAAGGGCCUUGGGCCAGCACGCUUCCACGCAUCUGGCUUAGUAGAAUCUCGUCCGACUAGGCUUCCAACGCAUGUGCCUUGUGCUUCGGAUCGAAUCCGACCUCACUUCCAUGUCGAUACACGUCGCCGCCAUGUGCACACGACGCCUUACCAAAUCGCUGAAGUCUCCUGCAGUCCUGCUAUGACGCUGCCGCCGUAGUACGCUCGCCCGAUCUAUCUGAUCGCCGCACGUCUCGUCUGAUGCUGCCGCACAUACACGCGCCUUCCACUGAUAUGCUUUCUUCAAUCUUGCCGAGAAACACGCCGCAACCGGCUGCAUCUCGAACUCGAUACUUUCUCUGAAUCAACAAUCCACAACCUCCGAACAACCUAGCUCUGAUACCACUUGUUAGAAUAAAUCCGAGGCCACCGUCGAUCAUCCGAGGACCAAACAAUCACACAAGCACGACACCGGGAUUUGUUAACGAGGUUCACCGAUAUGGCUACAUUCCCGGGGCCUUACUAUGAGCGCUCCUCUCCAUGAUACCGCUACAAUACCACACCCGGUCGUCCUGAACGCCGGCACAUGCCAUCGGCUUCCCCUGCGUUCCGGUGCUAUUAUGUUGGCAUAGGUUACAUCGUGUGUCUAGCCCCGCUAUAUAUGAGUGGCCUAGGAUACAAGUGUCCUACUAAGACACGACUCCAUAUCCUAUCUAAACACAAUACAACUACAAAUUCAACUGUAACCUAUCUUGUACACUAUAUUCGACACAACUCCAACAGGCUAGUACACUACACUUUGUAGAUACUAAUUUCCAACGAAAUGAUCAGGCUGGCCGACUGAUAUGGAUGUAAACCAAAACGAUAUUCCCUAUAUCUACUACACUUUCUAAAUACUCAUUUUUAGUGAAAUGGCCAGGUUUAGAGGUAUUGUCCUCUCACGUAAACAAAACAAAAUACGUGGAGCUAAAAAGUUAUACCAAUCUUGCAGUUUGAUUGCAAGCUUAGCUUUAGGUACAUACCAUACACUCUUCAAGAGAUAAUUUCUCAAGUGUAGACCUUUAUGAUAUUAGAUUAUACUCCCUCCGUUCGGAAUUACUUGUCUCGAAAAUGGAUGUAUCUAGAACUAAAAUACAUCUAGAUACAUCNNNNNNNNNNNNNNNNNNNNNNNNNNNNNNNNNNNNNNNNNNNNNNNNNNNNNNNNNNNNNNNNNNNNNNNNNNNNNNNNNNNNNNNNNNNNNNNNNNNNNNNNNNNNNNNNNNNNNNNNNNNNNNNNNNNNNNNNNNNNNNNNNNNNNNNNNNNNNNNNNNNNNNNNNNNNNNNNNNNNNNNNNNNNNNNNNNNNNNNNNNNNNNNNNNNNNNNNNNNNNNNNNNNNNUGUUGUUCCUAACACUUACACACUCUCACGUUAAGCACCAUGGGAUAUAUAACCAUCUUUCGUUUGUGCAUGCCCUCAAUGCACCACCUCAUGUGAACUUCAUUGCUCACAACAUUGCACUAGGAUAAUGGAUGUCAGUAUGUGGUACACCGUACACCUAAUAUAUCUAUAUAUCGGUCGACGGUUCAGACUUCCAAAUCAGAAAAUCUUGUAGUCUUACACAAGGAGCACGAGUAGGGAAGAGGAAGAAGCGGGUCUAAGAGGUGUAGGAAUGGGAACAUGAAGAAAAUCAAUUGUAUUCCCUCCUCUGGUAUUGGAGGGGAGAAAUGGUCUGAUGUUUCUGAUGCCUCCCAUUCCUAUGGAUCUUAGAUUCUCCUUCCUCUUACUUUUUGCUCGUACAAUUCAGCUGGUAAACGAAACAAACAAUCCUCCCUCAAAAAAGAAAGAAAGAAAACAAAGAAUCCUACAUGGAUGGUCGUGAUGCGUCUUAAUAGUGAGUCGGAAAGAAGGGAAAAAUUAGAAUGAACGAACACAAGGAAAAUUACAAUUAUUUCUCUUCUUACAACUUACGGUUGAGAUAUAACAUUGUAUUUUUCCUAAUGCCUGUCGGUCAUAAUGUUCUUAAUUAGAUGCUCUUUCUCUUCAUUUUGGCUUGCAUAUAUACAUGCAUAACAUCUUUAAAUCUAUGCUAAGGCUAUUCAAUACAGGUUUUGUGUAGACCCAUGAAAAUCACAUGUAUGUAGCGUCCACCUUCCUUCAUUAAUUCCAAAAAUGAGCUACCAAACUAAAACAAAUUAACUACAAUUUCCACUUUGAACUCGAAAUGAUGACUCCGACCAUAUCUAAGCAGCAAAUUUCAUAUUGUUUUUAGAAGCUCUUAACUUCUUAUUUUGUCCUACACAUAUACAUGGACAACCUUUUUAAAUUUGUGGUAAGGGUGUCAAUAACAGUUUAAGUGAACUCGUGAAAAAUUUGUAAGUAGUGUUUUCCUUGCUUCAUUAGUUCCAAAUUGAGCCACAUUCUCAAAAUUAACUUACUGAGUUCUAACUAAAUGAAUGAGCUUAUCUACAUUCCAAUAAAUAGAAUAAUAUGCACUUGCGUGCUUUGGAUGCAGGGGCUAGGGUGUAGUAAAGAUCUUCCUUUUCCAAAAAAAUAAGAUAUACAUUGUUGUAAAGGAGAGCCAAGAACAUGGUUGAGAUGCUAUAUGACUUCACUGAACUCCCUACAUGUUGAAUACUUCCUUCACAACAUCCUUGAGCUGCAGAAAGGAAUACUGUGACACUCUACGUUCAUCAUGUUUUGUGCAAGUAGCAAACAUAUGUGUGAAAAAAUAAUUAAAUUAGGUGGCACCAGGAAGACAUAUCUGGCUCUUAUGUUCUUCCUACGGCCAAGUUUGUUAGAAAAAGAUGCCUAGCUUCAAGUAAGGCAACACAACAUGCUGAAUAGACAUGAAAGAGUUUAGCCUGGAUUAUACAGUUCAAGAAAUUUGUUUCCUCCAUGGGAUUGUAUUUGGACAUCAUACUUCCUGAUAGUACACUCUUCUUGUUUAUCUUGUUUUUUUCCUUUCCUGUUAAUGAGCGGGAAGGGUUAUGGUAAAGAAAUAUUGAGCAUUAUUGUUAUUGUUGUACAGGGGUAUUCGUCUUCCAUGUAUGACUGCGGUGUUUCAUAUCAAUAUGUAAUGAUAAUGGCAGUCACCUCAGUUGUGCCAAUUAAUAGUUCACUUAUAUGAUAAUUUUUCUCCUUUAUUAAAUUCCCACAUCAUGUCUGGACCAAAAUGUCGGGUUUUUGGAUACACUGAUAUAUAAGCAAUUGUAGAAGAUCAGCUCCCUACAACUACAAUGCUGGUCCAGAAUUACAAAGCUUGUUCAUUUGUCUCACGAACAAGGUACCCAGGUCCAUGUCCCCACUGUCACUUACCAUUGUGACCCGUAGUACACCAUGCAUUAGGUGUGUGAUUAACUCAUAUAAAGACCUACACCAACAACUCUGGACCUAUAUCUAUGUAUAUCCCAAUGCUAUCAUGCAAUAGCUCAAGAUGCUCUUCCGAGUUCUCAUGUUUCUGGAGUUAGUUGUGGAGUGUGGGCAAAUAAGAGGAAGAAUGAGAGGGUCCAAGAGUAGUAUGAAUGGGCACAUCGAGGAAAGCAUGAGAUUUCUAGAUUUCCUCUCCUAACAAAGGAGAAAUCUUGUUUUGUGUUUUUCCGAUGUCUCCCAUUCCUAUCGCUCUUGGGUGCUCCUUCCCCUUCCUUUUGGCUUGCAAAUUUUUCUUAAUACAAGGGAAGCAAACAAUCCAUGUAUAAAUUAGAUGGCAAGACCUUGACAGUAAGCUAGGAAGAGGAAGAAAAGAGUGUAUAAGAUCUGUAGGAGUGGAAUCAUGGAGGAACACACAAGAAAUUUAGUUCUUCUCUCUUAACACCCAGUGGAAACUUGGCUUCAAAAUUUCCCAAUGUCCCCCAUUCCUUUUCAUUUUUAGGCGCUCCUUCCUUUCACUUUUGCUUCAAAGUUCAAACUGUUGUGAUGUAUGCUGCAUCAUGCGUGUGCGAUAUGCAUUUUGCACUUCCCUCAAAGAGAACUGCAUCAAUUGUAGGUUUAUACACCAGAACAUUGCACCGCAGGUGUGUGUGUGUGUGUGUGUGUGUGUGUGUGUGUGUGUGUGCGUGCGUGCGUGUGCGUGGUUUUCUCAUAAACUAACAUAAAGGAACUCCCAGCUCUAAUUUCCCCUGUAGCGUUAGAAGUGGAGAUGGCUUGAUGUUUUCCUGCUGCUUCUCAUUCCUUGGAUUCUUAGAUGCUCCUUCAUCUUACUCUUGUCUUGCGCUAUACACAACUAAGAGCAUGCUUAUCAUUAUUUAGGUUCACUUUAAUUCAACGAGACACAAAUGAUGAGAUCCCGUUGAUAUAUAUUAAAAACAGAUUAGUUGUGUACAAUUAGUUUGGAAAAAGGAUGACAAUAGAACACAAUCGCACUGCCAUUGGGAAGUGUCCAAACUGAAAUUCAGUGAACGGUGCCUAUUAUGAAAUACUAGAUGACCUUGUUGCGCUAGUUGGCAUAGAGACCAACUGGAGNNNNNNNNNNNNNNNNNNNNNNNNNNNNNNNNNNNNNNNNNNNNNNNNNNNNNNNNNNNNNNNNNNNNNNNNNNNNNNNNNNNNNNNNNNNNNNNNNNNNNNNNNNNNNNNNNNNNNNNNNNNNNNNNNNNNNNNNNNNNNNNNNNNNNNNNNNNNNNNNNNNNNNNNNNNNNNNNNNNNNNNNNNNNNNNNNNNNNNNNNNNNNNNNNNNNNNNNNNNNNNNNNNNNNNNNNNNNNNNNNNNNNNNNNNNNNNNNNNNNNNNNNNNNNNNNNNNNNNNNNNNNNNNNNNNNNNNNNCUAAGUGUGUAGUUUCCUUGAUGAUGAUCAUUACCCAUAGCAGCUUUCUUUGGCGAUGCAUAGGCCAUUUGCUUGGGCAUGUGAUUGGACUAAGAUUUUUUUGUGAACCAGCCUUUCCCGGUCUCGUAAUUCUGAUGGAAAACAACCAAGAAAUUAGGUUAACCAUUUGAAGAAUGCAUGUAGUGAAUUGCUCGCAAGUGAUUAUAUUCCUAGAUUAUUUGUAAUUGUCUCACCAAAUGAAAUGCAAUGAUGAUCUUUUCCCAUGUGCUUCCUUGUUCGGCCAGAGGAACCCAACAACUGGUUCAAUACAAAGCCCGAACUCACCCUGACAAUAAAUGACCUAAACCAUCGGAACCGUGCACCCCCAGCAUAAACCACACAUGCAAAAGGAAGCCAAGCGAACCGACCAGAUGAUUCAAAUGCUAGGGUAGAGUGUGAUCAAUGAGAAUGCAUAGCCGUGUAUGCCAAUAGCAAGGCAGCAACGACCAAAGAUUCCAAAAACGCCAAUUGGGCCGACCACAACAUCCAAAAGUUGUUAUCGAUCUUUCUAUCUAGCAGCCAGUCAUCCUCCCCCCCUCUCUCUCUCUCUCCCACACUCAAACACCGACCCAUUCUCCCUCUCUUUUGUGUGGUUCAUCCUUCCAUACAGGACAGCUCUAGCCCCCUCUUUCACACACAGGAGUUGUGGGUAAUGUUGGGGAACGCAGUAAUUUCAAAAAAUUUCCUACGAUCAUGCAAGAUCUAUCUAGGUGAUGCAUAACAAUGAGAGGGGAGAGUGUGUCCACGUAGCCUCGUAGACCGAAAGUGGAAGCAUUUAGUUAACGCGGUUGAUGUAGUCGAACGUCUUCGCGAUCCAACCGAUCCAAGCACCGAACAUACGACACCUCCGCUUUCAGCACACGUUCAGCUCGAUGAUGUCCCUCGUACUCUUGAUCCAGUUGAGGCCGAGGGAGAGUUUCGUCAGCACGACAACGUGGUGAUGGUGAUGAUGAAGUUACCGGCGCAGGGCUUCGCCUUAGCACUAUGACGAUAUGAUCGAGGUGUGUAACUGUGGAGGGGGGCACCGCACAUGGCUAAAACAAUUGUCAACUUGUGUGUUCUAGGGUGCCCCCUGCCCUCGUAUAUAAAGGAGCAAGGGGGGAGGCCGGACGGCCCCUAUAGGGCACGCCCCAAGUAUGAUUCCUACUAGGAAUCCUAUUCCUAGUAGGUUUCCAACAAGGGGAAGAGAGGGGGAAGGAAGGAGAGGGAGAGAGGGAAGGCAAGGGGGGCACCGCCCCCCUUCCUUGUCCUAUUUGGACUCAGGGGAGGGGGCGUGAAGCCUGCCCUGGCCGUCCCCUCUCUCUCUCCACUAGGGCCCAUCGGGGCCCAUUAGUUCCUCGGGGGGUUCCGGUUACCCUCCGGCACUUCGUUUUAUUCAAAACUUCUCCGGAACACUUUCGGUGUCCGAAUAUAGUCGUCCAAUAUAUCAAUAUUUAUGUCUCGACCAUUUCGAGACUCCUCGUCAUUUCCGUGAUCACAUCCGGGACUCCGAACAAUCUUCGGUACAACAUAUCACAUAAACUCAUAAUACCAAUCGUCAUCGAACGUUAAGCGUGCGGACCCUACGGGUUCGAGAACUAUGUAGACAUGACUGAGACACGUCUCCGGUCAAUAACCAAUAGCUGAACCUGGAUGCUCAUAUUGGUUCCUACAUAUUCUACGAAUAUCUUUAUCGGUCAAACCGCAUAACAACAUACGUUGUUCCCUUUUUCAUCGGUAUGUUACUUGCUCGAGAUUCGAUCAUCGGUAUCUCAAUACCUAGUUCAAUCUAGUUACCGGCAAGUCUCUUUACUUGUUUCGUAAUACUUCAUCCUGCAACUAACUUAUUAGUCACAAUGCUUGCAAGGCUGAUAAUGAUGAGUAUUACCGAGAGGGACCAGAGAUACCUUUCCAAAACACGGAGUGACAAAUCCUAAUCUCGAUCUAUGCCAACCCAACAAACACCUUCGGAGACACCUGUAGAGCACCUUUAUAAUCACCCAUUUACGUUGUGACGUUUGGUAGCACACAAAGUGUUGUGUUCCUCCGAUAUUCGGGAUUUGCAUAAUCUCAUAGUCUGAGGAACUUGUAUAAGUCAUGAAGAAAGUAGUAGCAAUGAAACUAACACGAUCAUAAUGCUAAGCUAACAGAUGGGUCAUGUCCAUCACAUCAUUCUCCUAAUGAUGUGAUCCCGUUCAUCAAAUGAUAACACAUGUCUAUGGUUAGGAAAGAUAAUCAUCUUUGAUUAACGAGCUAGUCAAGUAGAGGCAUACUAGGGACUAUAUGUUUUGUCUAUGUAUUCGGACAUGUACUAAGUUUCCGGUUAAUACAAUUCUAGCAUGAAUAAUAAACAUUUAUCAUGAAUUAAGGAAAUAAAUAAUAACUUUAUUAUUGCCUCUAGGGCAUAUUUCCUUCAGUCUCCCACCUGCACUAGAGUCAAUAAUCUAGAUUACAUAGUAAUGAUUCUAACACCCAUGGAGUUUUGGUGCUGAUCAUGUUUUGCUCGUGGAAGAGGCUUAGUCAACGGGUCUGCAACAUUCAGAUCUGUGACUAUCUUGCAAAUCUCUAUGUCCCCUUUCGGCACUUGAUAACGGGUGGAAUUGAAGCGUCUCUUGAUGUGCUUGGUUCUCUUGUGAAAUCUGGAUUCCUUUGCCAAGGCAAUUUGAAAGCACAAGUGCUCCCUGGGUGAUUUUGGUAAUUAAUGUCAACAUAUCUCUUGUUGGACUAAUACUUUUAUCUAGUACUCCCUCCGUCCGGAAAUACUCGUUGAAGAAAUGCAUAAAAAUGAAUGUAUUUAGAACUAAAAUGCAUCUAGAUACAUUCAUUCCUCCAACGAGUAUUUCCGGACGGAGGGAGUAUAUUUCAGAUAAGUCCAACAGUGGAGUGGCAUGGACAAGAGGAUGUGGAACCCCUUCUAGAUGCUAAGGACAAAGGAUUGGCUCAAGCUCAAAGCUCGGGACUCUACAUUUUCUAUUUCAGUGAUCCAAGAUCACAUUGAGUCCAUAGGAAAGCCAAUACUAUUAAAAGGGGAUGAGGUGUUGCUUAAUGUCUUGCUUGCUCAAAGCUCUUAGUGAUAUGCUCCAAAAACCCUCAACCACUUUCUCAUAUCCACAUAUGUCCCAAUAAAACUCAAACUCGGCCCCACCGAUUUGAUCUAUCCGGCGCCACCGAGUUCAUUGGACAUAGCCACUGCCAGAAACCCUAAUCAAUUCGGACUCACCGAUGGGAUCUUGGUCUCACCGAUAUGGGCUUGCAAACUCCCUGUUGCCUAUUGCAAUAAUUUCGGUCUCACCGAGAAGAUGUAAUCGGUCCCACCGAGUUUGCUUGACCAACUCUCUAUUUUUCUUAUUACCAAAGUCGGUCCCAUCGAGUUUGUGUAAUCGGUCAGACCGAGAUGAGGAUUUACCCUAACCCUUGCACAUCGGUCCCACCGAGUUGAUCAUAUCAGUCCCACUGAAAUGCCUAACGGUCACAUUAUGAACUAAUUCGGUCUCACCGAGUUUUAUGUUUCAGUCCCACCGAGUUCGGUAAAUUGUGUGUAACGGUUAGAUUUUGUGUGGAGGCUAUAUAUACCCCUCAACCCUCUCCUCAUUCCCGGGGAAAGCCAUCAGAACAUGCCUACACUUCCAGCAUUCAUUUUCUGAGAGAGAACCACCUACUCAUGUGUUGAGGCCAAGAUAUUCCAAUCCAACCAUAUGAAUCUUGAUCGCCAGCCUUCCCCAAGUUGCUUUCCACUCAAAUCAUCUUUCCACCAAAUUCAAUCCUAUGAGAGAGAGUUGAUUGUUGGGGAGACUAUCAUUUGAAGCACAAGAGCAAGGAGUUCAUUAACAACACACCAUCUAUUACCUUUUGGAGAGUGGUGUCUCCUAGAUUGGUUAGGUGUCACUUGGGAGCCUCCGUCAAGAUUGUGGAGUUGAACCAAGGAGUUUGUACGAGCAAGGAGAUCGCCUACUUUGUGAAGAUCUACCCUACUGAGGCAAGUCCUUCGUGGGAGAUGGCCAUAGUGGGAUAGACAAGGUUGCUUCUUUGUGGACCCUUCGUGGGUGGAGCCCUCCGUGGACUCGCGCAACCGUUACCCUUUGUGGGUUGAAGUCUCCAUCAACGUGGAUGUAUGAUAGCACCACCUAUCGGAACCACGCCAAAAAUCUCCGUGUCUCCAAUUGCGUUUGCACACUCCAAUCCCAUCCCUUUACUUUCUUGCAAGUUGCAUGCUUUACUUUCCGCUGCUCAUAUAAUCUUUGCAUGCUUGCUCGAAUUGUAUUGUGUAUGCUUAAAAUUGUGUUAAUCUACCACCUCAACUUGAAAAACUUAAAAACUGCCAACUUUGUGUGUUGAGGGUCUAUUCACCCCCUCUAGACACCUCCUCUCGAUCCUUUCAAUUGGUAUCAGAGCUUUGGUCUCUAUUGCUUUGGUUUAAUCACCAUUGGAGGAAGAUGGAUGAGUCUACGUUGGGGAGUCUUAGACAUAGAGUGCCUAGACUUGAUGGAGAGUACUUUCAUGAGUGGAAAAAUGAGAUGCUUGAGAUUUUCAAUGAAUAUGAUUUGAGCAAGUACAUUACCAACCCUUGUGCGCCCAUUAUUGAUCCCUUGCAUCCCCCUCCCGAUGAGGAUCUUGACAUGAUUCGCAAUCUUAGAACUAUCAAUCUUAUCAUUAGAGGAUUGCUUAGAAAUUUGAUUGGUCACUUGCCUACUCUUGAUUGUGCUUAUACCAUAUGGAGAUUUCUUGAGGAGAGAUUUCCAAACUAUUCCUUGCAAAAUCUAGAUGAGAUUCUUCAUAAGUCAAUUGCCUUGAAUAAAAGUGAUCCUAGGUUUGAUGUUUGUUUGUUUGAGCUUCGUUACCUUAUGCGUGCCAAAGGAGAUGUUGGAAUCAUUAGCAAUAUUAUCUCCGAAGCCAUUAGAUUUCAUAAAGAUGAUUAUUGUCAUGAUCAUUUAUCUAAUGAAUCACCCUCUCUAGGAAUUGAUCCAUCACAUGACGAUGUUGAACAUGGAUACUGUGAUGAGGAUGAUGAUAGUGACUAUGAUCUUGAUGAUGCAAUGAGACACUUUGGUCUUAUGGCUAAUCUUCACAGCUACAUGGCAGGAGGAAAGGAAUGGGUCGUUGAUAGUGGAUGUACUGAUCACAUGACCGGAGAUAAAGAUAUGUUUCAUGAGCUUGCUGAAAACGACGGCCCUCGAAAGUAUGUCACUUUUGGUGACAACUCAAAGGGUAAGGUGGUUGGCCUCGGUAAGGUGGCCAUCUCACAUGAUAGCACCAUACAAAAUGUUAUGCUCUUUGAAUCUCUUGGCUAUAAUUUGCUUUCUGUAUGUAGACUUGCUGAUUUCGGUUUCAAUGUCCUAUUUACUAAAGUAGAUUGCCAAGUGUUUCAUAGAGAUAAUCAUAAAAUGGUCUUUACCAGUAUACGUAGAGGUGAUCUAUACAUUGUUGAUUUCACUAAAAAGGCUCAACCUAGAACUUGCUUCAUUGCUAAAUCUUCUAAAGGCUGGUUGUGGCAUAGACGGUUAGGUCAUGUGGGCAUGCGAAACCUUGACAAGCUUAUUAAAGGUGAUCAUAUCCUUGGUGUUAAAGAUGUCAUAUUUGAUAAGGAUAGACUUUGCAGCGCUUGCCAAGUAGGAAAACAGGUUGGAGGAAGCCACCCCGUGAAGAACAUCAUGAUCACGAGAAGACCGCUCGAGCUACUUCAUAUGGAUCUCUUUGGUCCCAAUGCCUACAAAAGUCUUGGUGGAAACUCAUUUGGUCUAGUUAUAGUCGAUGAUUUUUCAAUAUUUACGUGGGUGUUCUUUCUCGAUGAUAAAUCGUAGGUCGAAAAGAUCUUCAAGAACUUUGCUAGGAAGGCCCAAAAUCAAUUUGAAGUGAAGAUCAAGAAGGUUCGCAACGACAAUGGAACAGAGUUCAAGAACGCCAAUGUGGACACCUUUCUUGACGAAGAAGGUAUCUCACAUGAGUUCUCGGCUACGUACACACCUCAACAAAAUGGAGUUGUUGAGAGGAAGAAUCGGACACUCAUCGAAAUGGCUAGAAUGAUGCUUGACGAAUAGAAGACGCCAAAACACUUCUGGGCAGAAGCGGUUCAGAUAGCUUGUCAUGCAACAAAUCACUUGUAUCUUCACAAGCUACUCGGCAAGACGGCAUACGAGCUGCUCACUGAUAACAAACCCCAAGUUGGAUAGUGUUGAGUAUUCGGCUCAAAGUUCUACAUUCUUGAUAAGCAUCGUCGUUCUAAAUUUGCUCCCAAAUCUCAUGAAGGUUUCCUACUUGGUUAUGGCUCAAAUUCUCACACUUACCGUGUCUACAACAAUUUCACCCAAAAGGUUGAAGAGACGGUAGAUGUGAAGUUUGAUGAAUCUAACGGCUCGCAAGUAGAGCAAUUGCCAAUUGAUGUAGGAGAUAAAGACCCUUCGGAAGCAAUCCAAAAUUUGUCCAUUGGCAAGAUCCGUCCAACGGAGGUGAAGGAGAGUACCUCAUCUGUCCAAGUGGAAGCUUCUACCUCACGUCAAGGUGAACCAAGAGUUGAUAUGGAAGCAUCCACAAGUGGGACACACCAAGAUGAAGAAAAUGAGGAAGUACACCAAGAUGAACCUCAUCAACCUCCUUCACCACCACGACAAGAGGACGACAACAUCAACAAUGAAGAAGGCCAAGAAGAAGAACAAGAUUAUGAAGAAGAUGUUCCACCCCGACCAAAACAAAAGCUCUCACGAGUUCGAGCAAGAUUCGCCAAAGACCAUCCCGUCGAGCAAAUCUACAAUGAUAUCCAAACCGGGAGAAUCACUCGCUCUAAAACUCGUUUGGCUAACUUUUGUGAACAUUAUUCAUUCAUCUCUAGCAUUGAACCCAUGAACGUUGAAGAAGCAUUGGAAGAUCCGGAUUGGAUAAAUGCCAUGCAUGAAGAGCUACCCAACUUUGAGAGAAAUCAAGUGUGGACAUUGGUCGAGAAGCCCGACAACAAGCACAACAUCAUCGGUACCAAAUGGGUGUUUCGCAACAAGCAAGAUGAAGAUGGACAAGUAGUUCGCAUAAGAGCACGUCUCGUCGCCCAAGGCUACACUCAAGUCGAAGGUAUGGACUAUGGUGAGACAUAUGCCCCCGUUGCUAGACUUGAGUCCAUUCGCAUAUUGCUUGCCUAUGCUAAUCACCAUGAUAUCACCUUGUACCAAAUGGACAUUGAAAGUGCUUUUCUAAAUGGUGAAAUUGAGGAGGAAGUUUAUGUUAAACAACCUCCCGGCUUUGUUAAUCCUAAGAAACCCAAUCAUGUUUACAAACUUCACAAAGCUCUUUAUGGUCUUAAACAAGCUCCUAGAGCAUGGUAUAAAUGCUUGACCAAGUUCCUUAUCGAGAAAGGCUUUGAGAUUGGAAAAAUUGAUUCUACUCUUUUCACUAAAAGGGUUAAUGGAGAAUUAUUUGUGUGCCAAAUUUAUGUUGAUGAUAUUAUAUUUGGUUCAACUAACCCUCAUUUUAGUGAGAAGUUUGGGAAGCUUAUGUCGGAGAAGUUUGAGAUGUCUAUGAUGAGUGAACUCAAGUUCUUUCUUGGUUUGCAAAUCAAGCAAACUAAGGAGGGAACCUUUGUCUCUCAAACGAAGUAUACCAAGGACUUAUUCAAGAAGUUCAAUAUGCAAGAAUGCAAAGGUAUGAGUACACCCAUGCCUACUAGUGGACAUCUUGACUUGACUAAAGAUGGUGAACCCGUUGAUAAAAAAGUUUCCCGCUCUAUGAUUGGUUCAUUGUUAUAUCUAUGUGCCUCCCGUCCCGAUAUCAUGCUAAGUGUGCGCAUGUGUGCACGAUAUCAAGUAGCCCCCAAAGAGUGUCAUCUUAAGGAUGUGAAAAGGAUAGUGAGAUACUUAAUACAUACACCAAAUUUUGGCAUUUGGUAUCCAAAGAGGUCUUCUUUUGAUCUUGUUGGCUACUCCAACUUGGACUAUGCCGGUGACAAGGUUGAUAGAAAGUCCACUUCGGGUACUUGUAAAUUUCUUGGUAGAUCUCUUGUGUCUUGGUCCUCCAAGAAAUAAAACUCGGUAUACUUAUCCACCACCGAAGCGGAAUACAUUGCCGCCGGUUCAUGUUGUGCUCAAUUACUUUGGAUGACCCAAACUCUUAAAGAUUAUGGGAUAUAUGUGAAACAUGUUCCAUUGCUUUGUGACAAUGAAAGUGCUAUUAAGAUUGUUCACAAUCCCGUGCAACAUUCUCGAACUAAGCAUAUUGAGGUUCAUCAUCAUUUCAUUCGAGAUCAUGUUGCUAAAGGGGACAUUAAUCUUAAGCAUGUUCGUACCGAUAAGCAAUUGGCGGAUAUAUUCACCAAACCGCUUGAUGAGAAAGUAUUUUGCCGAUUGAGAGGUGAAUUGAAAAUCAUUGAUGCUUCAAACUUGGAGUAGGAACUCCAUUUGGAUACAUGCAAGGCAUGAGGCUAUGAAUAAUCCUUGAUAUUUCUCUUAUGAUGAUAAUCAUAUGUCUUGGAUAUAUUUGCACCCUUGCAUGUUAUCUAACCCUUGUAGGUACUUGGAUGGAUAUAAAUCUAUGAGAUUGCAACUCCCUCAUAUCUUGAGCAAUCUCUACAUCACAAAGUCUCUACAAAACAGUGGUUGACGAUAAGGAAGCAUGAAACCCUUCAAACAUAUCCUUUAACAAUUUAUAAAUAUCAAAUUCAUGAUUGUCACUUUGGAUACACAAGUGCUCCUCCUUGCAAAACUAAUUCAUGUAGUGCUACGUCUUGAGCUUGCGUUGGUUUUCCUUGAAGAGGAAAGGGUGAUGCAGCAAUAGUAGCGUAAGUAUUUCCCCUAGUUUUGAGAACCAAGGUAUCAAUCGAGUAGGAGGCUCCUCAAAAGUCCCACGCACCUACACAAACAAACAAAGAACUCGCAACCAACGCAAUAAAGGGGUUGUCAAUCCCUUCACGGCCACUUGCGAUAGUGAGAUCUAAUAGAGAUAGUAUGAUAAGAUAAAUAUAUUUUUGGUAUUUUAUAAGAUAGAUGCAAAAAUUAAAGAUGCAAAUAAAAGUAGAUUGGAAGCAAAUAUGAUAAGAGAUAGACCCGGGGGCCAUAGGUUUCACUAGUGGCUUCUCUCAAGAUAGCAUAAGUAUUACGGUGGGUGAACAAAUUACUGUCGAGCAAUUGAUAGAAAAGCGAAUAAUUAUGAGAUUAUCUAGGCAUGAUCAUGUAUAUAGGAAUCACGUCCGCAACAAGUAGACCGACUCCUGCCGGCAUCUACUACUAUUACUCCACACAUCGACCGACUCCUGCCUGCAUCUAGAGUAUUAAGUUCAUAAGAACAGAGUAACACAUUAAGCAAGAUGACAUGAUGUAGAGGGAUAAACUCAUGUAAUAUGAUAUAAACCCCAUCUUUUUAUCCUCGAUGGCAACAAUACAAUACGUGCCUUGCAACCCUUUUUGUCACUGGGUAAGGACACCGCAAGAUUGAACCCAAAGUUAAGCACUUCUCCCAUGGCAAGAAAGAUCAAUCUAGUAGGCCAAACCAAACUGAUAAUUCGAAGAGACUUGCAAAGACAACUCAAUCUUACAUAAAAGAAUUCAGAGGAGAUUCAAAUAUUUCUCAUAGAUAAACUUGAUCAUAAACUCACAAUUCGUCGGAUAUCGACAAACACACUGCAAAAAGAGUUUACAUCGAAUAGAUCUCCACAAGAGAGGGGGAGAACAUUGUAUUGAGAUCCAAAAAGAGAGAAGAAGCCAUCUAGCUAAUAACUAUGGACCCAAAGGUCUGUGGUAAACUACUCACAACUCAUCGGAGGGGCAAGGAUGUUGAUGUAGAAGCCUCCAUGGUUGAUCCCCCCUCCGAUCAAGCACCGACGAAGGCUCCAAGAUGGGAUGUCGUGGAUACAGAAGGUUACAGCGGUGGAAAUUGUGUUUCGUUGGCUCCCUGGAUGUUUUCGGGGUACAUAGGCUUAUAUAGGAGGAAGAAGUACGUCGGUGGCCGCUCGAUGGGCCCACAAGACAGGGGGGCGCGCCCUAUGGGGGGGGGCAUAAACAUCCAAAAGGGGUAAUAUAAUAGCAUGGAACAAUCAAAAAUUAUAGAUACGUUUGAGACGUAUCAUGUAGGUAGAUGAACUUCAAUUACAAGUGGUGCUCCAAAUGAACUACAUCAACCUUGAGCAUCCCACAAAAGUUCAACUACAUGAUCAAGAUCAACACCACCACCCAAGGUAUGUUAUUCCAUCUUAGAGAAGCUUUACCCCAAGUCAUGGGUGAAAGCAGCUCCACAAGAUGUGAACACAUCAAAAUGCUUAAACGAAAAAUGGCAACCCCACUUUGAGCUUAAAUGAUGAGUAUGACCUAUGAUCAAGUGAGACUUCACUUGACUCCUAAGUCAAUAUACUCUAACAUAGGUGACUUUGUCGCCGACCAAUUCUAGAUGAGUUUCUCUAGUGUUUCUCCUUGUUCUUGCAUUUGACUCAUGCAUAUUUGUUUCCCUUUUUCAAAAAAAAACUUCAUCUAGAUUUCUUUUCUUUUAUUUCUCUUCUGCAUUUCCUGCAUCCAAUUCAUUGCAAAUCCUUUAGUUAAUUCCCUGCAAAUCUUUGUGAGAUCUUAUUUUCUUAGUGAGCUGAGGUGACAAGUCCUUUAUCUCUGUAUCGAACUCGGACACACCGGUUUGUCUCCUUCGGUCAAACCGAAUUACCUUGGUGCCACCGAAGACAACAACUCGGUGUUACCAAUUUCAAAUGUAGAGGAGACACUUUGUCGUUUGCAUCCUGCUCAGUUUGUUCCAGCUCCACUCGAUGAUUCUAAUCCUCUACCAGCACCCUAUUCCCCCCUGCUAUUUUGCUAUGUGACCCAAGGACCAAACCUAUUUUGACUCAGACUCCAGAAGACCCUUCUUGGAAAUUGAUGUCAAAGGGGGAGAGAGAGUUCACAUCAAAGCUUAAUCAUAUCAAAAUGGGGAAAGAGAGAUAAAUAAUCACAUCAAAGAGAGACCCCAGUUGCUUGGUAUUCAAAGAGGAUAGAAGUCACAUGUCUUUAGAGGGGAAAGACAUGUUCAUGUUGUUUUUGUGUUUGCUUUGCUCUGAUUUUCUCUUCCCUAUCUUCUCCCAAUAUCCCAUAUAAGAUUCAGGGGGAGCAAGACAUCUAAGGGAAGGAAAUCUUCAAAUUCAUUGCAUAUCUUUACCUUUGGGGACAUGUCUAUACUCAAAUAGAGUACCCAAUACUCUCUCUCUACAUGUCAUCCCAAUCUUGGUACUUUUGUGGUUUGUUGCUUGCUCUUAUUAAGAUGUUUUUGUGUUGUCUAACCUUGUUUACUCAGGUUCAUCUCUUCCAAAGCUAGCUCAAGACCACAAGGUAAGUACAUGCAUCACACUCAUGUGCAUGAGGAUCUCUUGCUGACGUACAUAUUGUUUUCAAGAUGGACCCAUGAGCAUGAAGGUACAUUUCCUAUGUUCACAUCAUUUGCUCUGAUGCAUAUAGCCAAGAUACAUAUAACUCAUUCCUUGCUCUAUCAUGAUUAUGCACUCACAUGAUCUUAUGUUCCAUAUUUACACGAUUGCAUACAUGUAGGGGGGAGGGGGCUAUGCAUGUUACAUGCCCUUCCAAAGCUUUACCUACCUUUCUCUAUAUGUUUAUCUAAAGCUUUGAUGGAUGUUAUCAUCAAUUACCAAAAAGGGGGAGAUUGAAAGCACAAGAGCUCCCUGGGUGAUUUUGGUAAUUAAUGUCAACAUAUCUCUUGUUGGACUAAUACUUUUAUCUAGUAUAUUUUAGAUAAGUCCAACAGUGGAGUGGCAUGGACAAGAGGAUGUGGAACCCCUUCUAGAUGCUUAGGACAAAGGAUUGGCUGAAGCUCAAAGCUCGAGACUCUACAUUUUCUAUUUCAGUGAUCCAAGAUCACAUUGAGUCCAUAGGAAAGCCAAUAAUAUUAAAAGGGGAUGAGGUGUUGCUUAAUGGCUUGCUUGCUCAAAGUGCUUAGUGAUAUGCUCCAAAAACCCUCAACCACUUUCUCAUAUCCACAUAUGUCCCAAACCAAAAGUCAAACUCGGCCCCACCGAUUUGACCUAUCUGACGCCACCGAGUUCAUUUGACAUAGCCACUACCAGAAACCCUAAUCAAUUAGGUCUCACUAAUGGGAUCUCGGUCUCACCGAGAUGGGCUUGCAAACUCCCUGUUGCCUAUUGCAAUAACUUCAAUCUCACCGAGAACAUGUAAUCGGUCCCACCGAGUUUGCUUGACCAACUCUCUGUUUUGCUUAUUACCAAACUUGGUCCCACCGAGUUUGUGUAAUCGGUCAGACCGAGAUGAUGCUUUACCCUAACCCUUGCACAUCGGUCCCACCGAGUUGAUCAUAUCGGUCCCACCGAAAUGCCUAAUGGUCACAUUAUGAACUAAAUCGGUCUGACCGAGUUUUAUGAUUCGGUCCCAUCGAGUUUGGUAAAUUGUGUGUAACGGUUAGAUUUUGUGUGGAGGCUAUAUAUACCCUUCCACUGUCUCCUCAUUCGUGGGGAAAGCCACCAGAACAUGCCUACACUUUCAGCAUUCAUUUUCUGAGAGAGAACCACCUACUCAUGUGUUGACGCCAAGAUAUUCCAAUCCAACCAUAUGAAUCUUGAUCUCUAGCCUUCCCCAAGUUGCUUUCCACUCAAAUCAUCUUUCCACCAAAUCCAAUCCUAUGAGAGAGAGAGUUGGGUGUUGGGGAGACUAUCAUUUGAAGCACAAGAGCAAGGAGUUCAUCAACAACACACCAUUUAUUACCUUUUGGAGAGUGGUGUCUCCUAGAUUUGUUAGGUGUCACUUGGGAGCCUUUGUCAAGAUUGUGGAGUUGAACCAAGGAGUUUGUAUGGGCAAGGAGAUCGCCUACUUCGUGAAGAUCUACCCUAGUGAGGCAAGUCCUUCGUGGGCGAUGGCCAUGGUGGGAUUAGUCCUGACCAUGGGCAGCCUAGCCCGACCCAGCCCGGCCCAACGCUGCUCCUGGGCCGGGCCCGGGCCUAGAUUUUGAGCCCGAAGGCCAAGCCGGGCUGGGCCCCGAUCCAUCGUUUUCAUGUUUUCCUGAAGGAUGGGCCGGGCCGACCUGAAGCCCGAUGGGCUUUUACAUGUUCGGGCUGGGCUCGGGCCUAGAAAACAGGCCCGAUGGCCGGGCCGGGCCGGGCUCGGGCCUGGGUUUUUUGUGUUGGGCUUGGCUAGGCCCGGCCAGGCCCGAGGUAUGGCCAGGUAUAGGUGGGAUAGACAAGGUUGCUUCUUCGCGGACCCUUCGUGGGUGGAGCCCUCCGUGGACUCACGCAACCAUUACCCUUCGUGGGUUGAAGUCUCCAUCAACAUGGAUGUACGAUAGCACCACCUAUCGGAACCACGCCAAAAAUCUCCGUGUCUCCAAUUGUGUUUGCACACUCCAAUCCCAUCCCUUUACUUUCUUGCAAGUUGCAUGCUUUACUUUCUGCUGCUCAUAUACUCUUUGCAUGCUUGCUUGAAUUGUAUUGUGUAUGCUUGAAAUUGUGUUAAUCUACCACCUCAACUUGAAAAACUUAAAACUGCCAACUUUGUGUGUUGAUGGUCUAUUCACCCCCUCUAGACACCUCUUCUCGAUCCUUUCAAAAUUGCACCAGUAUUGUCACAAAAGAUUUUCAUUGGACCCGAUGCACUAGGUAUGACACCUAGAUCGGAUAUGAACUCCUUCAUCCAAACUCCUUCAUUUGCUGCUUCCCAAGCAGCAAUGUACUCCGCUUCACACGUAGAUCCCACCAUGAUGCUCUGCUUGGAACUGUACCAACUGACAGCUCCUCCAUUCAAUAAAAAUACAUAUCCGGUUUGCGACUUAGAGUCAUCCAGAUCAAUGUCAAGGCUUGCAUCGACGUAACCGUUUAUGACGAGCUCUUUUUCACCUUCAUAAACGAGGAACGUAUCCUUAGUCCUUUUCAGGUAUUUCAGGAUGUUCUUGACUGCUGUCCAGUGCUCCACUCCGGGAUUACUUUGGUACCUCCCUGUUAUGCUUAUAGCAAGACAUACAUCAGGUAUGGUACACAACAUUACAUACAUGAUAGAACCUAUGGGUGAAGCAUAGGGAAUGACUUUCAUUUUCUCUCUAUCUUCUGAAGUGGUCGAGCAUUGAGUCUGACUCAACUUCACACCUUGUAACACAUGCAAGAACCCUUUCUUUGACUGAUCCAUUUGAACUUCUUCAAAACUUUAUCAAGGCAUGUGCUUUGUGAAAGUCCAAUUAAGCGUCUUGAUCUAUCUCUAUAGAUCUUGAUGCCCAAUAUGUAAGCAGCUUCACUGAGGUCUUGCAUUGAAAAACUUUUAUUCAAAGAUCCCUUUGUGCUAUCUAGAAAUUCUAUAUCAUUUCCAAUCAACAAUAUGUCAUCUACAUAUAAUAUUAGAAAUGCUACAAAGCUUCCACUCACUUUCUUGUAAAUACAGGCUUCUCCAAAAGUCUGUAUAAAACCAUAUGCUUUGAUCACACUAUCAAAGCCUUUAUUCCAACUCCGAGAGGCUUGCACCAGUCCAUAAAUGGAUCACUGGAGCUUGCACACUUUGUAGCACCCUUUGGAUCGACAAAACCUUCCGAUUGCAUCAUAUACAAUUCUUCUUCUAGAAAUCCAUUCAGGAAUGCAGUUUCGACAUCCAUUUGCCAAAUUUCAUAAUCAUAAAAUGCAGCAAUUGAUAACAUGAUUCAGACAGACUUAAGCAUCGCUAUGGGUGAGAAAGUCUCAUCGUGGUCCACUCCUUGAACUUGUCGAAAACCUUUUGCAACAAGUCGAGCUUUGUAAACAGUAACAUUACGGUCUGCGUCGGUCUUCUUCUUAAAGAUCCAUUUAUUUUUUAUGGCUUGCUGAUCAUCAGGCAAGUCCACCAAAGUCCACACUUUGUUCUCAUACAUGGAUCCCAUCUCAGAUUUCAUGGCCUCAAGCCAUUUCACGGAAUCUGGGCUCAUCAUCGCUUCCGCAUAGUUCGUACAUUCAUCAUGGUCUAGUAACAUGACUUCCAGAACAGGAUUACCGUACCACUCUGGUGUGGAUCUUACUCUGGAAGACCUACGAGGUUCGGUAGUAACUUGAUCUGAAGCUUCAUGAUCAUCAUCAUUAGCUUCCUCACUAAUUGGUGUAGGAAUCACUGGAACUGAUUUCUGUGAUGAACUACUUUCCAAUAAGGGAGAAGGUACAGUUACUUCAUCAAGUUCUACUUUCCUCCCACUCACUUCUUUCGAGAGAAACUCCUUCUCUAGAAAGGAUCCAUUCUUAUUAGCAACAAAGAUUUUGCCUUCGGAUCUGUGAUAGAAGGUGUACCCAACAGUUUCCUUUGGGUAUCCUAUGAAGACGCACUUCUCCGAUUUGGGUUCGAGCUUAUCAGGUUGAAGCUUUUUCACAUAAGCAUCGCAGCCCCAAACUUUAAGAAACGACAACUUUGGUUUGUUGCCAAACCAUAGUUCAUAAGGCGUCGUCUCAACGGAUUUUGAUGGUGCCCUAUUUAAAGUGAAUGCAGCCGUCUCUAGAGCAUAACCCCAAAACGAUAGCGGUAAGUUAGUAAGAGACAUCAUAGAUCUCACCAUAUCUAAUAAAGUAUGGUUAUGACGUUCAGACACACCAUUUCGCUGUGGUGUUCCAGGUGGCGUUAAUUGCGAAACUAUCCCAUGUUGUUUCAAAUGAAGACCAAACUCGUAACUCAAAUAUUCUCCUCCACGAUCAGAUCGUAGAAACUUUAUUUUCUUGUUACGAUGAUUUUCCACCUCACUCUAAAAUUCUUUGAAUUUUCAAAUGUUUCAGACUUAUGCUUCAUUAAGUAGAUAUAACCAUAUCUGCUCAAAUCAUCUGUGAAGGUGAGAAAAUAACGAUACCCACCACAAGCAUCAAUACUCAUUGGACUGCACACAUCGAUAUGUAUUAUUUCCAAUAAGUCAGUAGCUCGUUCCAUUGUUACGGAGAAUGGAGUUUUUGUCAUCUUGCCCAUAAGGCACGAUUCGCAAGCACCAAGUGAUUCAUAAUCAAGUGAUUCCUAAAUUCCAUCAGCAUGGAGUUUCUUUAUGCACUUUAUACCGAUAUGACCCAAACGGUAGUGCCACAAAUAAGUUGCACUAUCAUUAUUAAACUUCAAUCUUUUGGCUUCAACACUAUGAAUAUGUGUAUCACUACUAUCGAGAUUCAAUAAAAAUAGACCACUCAGCAGGGGUGCAUGACCAUAAAAGAUAUUACUCAUAUAAAUAGAACAAUCAUUAUUCUUUGAUUUGAAUGAAUAACCUUCUUGCAUCAAACAAAAUCCAUAUAUAAUGUUCAUGCUCAACGCUGGCACCAAAUAACAAUUAUUCAGGUCUAAAACUAAUCCCGACAGUAGAUGUAGAGGUAGCGUGCCGACCGCGAUCACAUCGACUUUGGAACCAUUUCCCACGCGCAUCGUCACCUCGUCCUUAGCCAAUCUUCGCUUAAUCCGUAGCCCUUGUUUCGAGUUGCAAAUAUGAGCAAUAGAACCAGGAUCAAAUACCCAGGCGCUACUGCGAGCAUUAUUUAAGUACACAUCAAUAACAUGUAUAUAAAAUAUACCUUUCACUUUGCCAUCCUUCUUAUCCGUCAAAUACUUGGGGCAGUUCCGCUUCCGGUGACCAGUCCCUUUGCAGUAGAAGCACUCAGUUUCAGGCUUAGGUCUAGACUUGGGUUUCUUCUCUUGAGCAACAACCUUUUUGCCAUUCUUCUUGAAGUUCCCUUUCUUCCCUUUACCCUUUUUCUUGAAACUACUGGUCUUAUUGACCAUCAACACUUGAUGCUCCUUUUUGAUUUCUACCUCCGCGGCCUUUAGCAUCGCGAAGAGCUCAGGAAUCACUACAAAAAAAUACACUUCCGUGAUGAUACGUGUUUGUCACAGUAGGUCGCGUUUUUUGUCAUGCAUGUACAUCCAUGACGAUUUUAUGACAGAAUCAAGAUAGUCAUACCUGUGUUGUCGUAGAAGUGUUCCAUGACAUUACCAAAAUUAUCAUCACAGAAGUGUCCACUUCCAUGACGAUAAAUCGCGCGUCACAUAAGUGCUUUUGUCAAGGGUGACGGACACGUGGCAUCCACCGUAAUGGAACGCCGUUAAGCUAUCGGGUCGGGUUUUGGAUCCGAUAACCCGUUAACAGCCCCGACUAAUAGGGAUUUUCCACGUGUAAAAUCAUCAUUGGCUGGAGGAAACACGUGUCGGCUCAUCAUUGGGACAGAUGUCAUCCACUCAUUGGAUAGAAGGCGCCUAUGAUACGUCGACACGUGGCACGGCCCAACAGAGGCCCAUUCCUGUGAAAAGGCCGGCCCGUUUGACUUGGUCAAAAGGUGGCGGGCCGGCCCAUGGAAAGCCUGUUAACGGCCUGUUCGCAUAUAGCCCAUUUACAGCCCGCUAACCCAAGGCCCGUUACACACUAUCCGAAUUAGGCCCAGUAGCAUCAUCUGGGCUAUCCAAUAUGAUUCCAGCCUGUUUUCACUUCUGGCCCAUGUAUGGCCCAUGACGCCUUUCGGCCCAUAUGAGACCCUAUGCAACUCUUGGCCUAUUAACGGCCCGUGGUGAAACUGGCCCGCAAUGAACAGUGUAUCACUUUACACCCAUUAACAGCCCGUGGUGAAACUGGCCCGUAAUGAAAAGUGUAUCACUUUAUACCCAUUAACGGCCCGUUAUUUCGUUGGGCCGUUUCCAACCCAUGUUAUCUUUCGGCCUUCUCAGAGCCCAUUUAUUCUUGGGCUCAUUUCAAGCAUUCAUUUACUUACGACCUGUUACUGUCAUUUUCUGCUUGUGGGCCAAAUUCAGCCCGUGGUUACAGUCGGCCCGUUUGUGGUCCGUUAAUACGUCGGGCCGUUUUCAUAGUAUCAUCAAAUACGGCCUAUUAACGAUGGCCCGUUAUGGUCGGCCCAUGAACGGACGAUUCCAACUCUAGCCCGUUUACGGCCAUAAUGCGGCCUGUUAUUGGCCCAUGUUUGGCCAAUCGAUCAUACGGCCUGUAUAAGGCCCAUUGAUGAUACGGCUCGUAGAAGGCCCAAUGUUUCUACGGCCCGUAGAAGGCCCAAUGUUUCUACGGCCCGUAGAAGGCCCACUGUUUCUACGGCCCGUAGGAGGCCCGGUGUCACUACAGUAAAUAUUAGCCCAUGGUUAUUGUGGCCUAGUUUUAAAAAAUAGGUUAUUGCAGCCACUAGCAAACCGCAGAAAAAUAACUGCACUGACUACAAGCAAACAAAUAAACAAGACAACAAGGAAAUAAAUAAGCAAGCAACUGGCACUAGGCUAUCACGGCUAUUACACAUAUUACAUCCACUGGGCAUCAAAGUUCGCCACCAGUGCAAAUAUAGGGAACACAGUAGCAUAUAAACGCUGCAGCAAAACAAGUCCAGAACUGAAACCACUUCAGAAGAGCUCAAGAAACAAUAUCCUGGGUACCCAUAAUGCUGGCAAGAUGCUUAGCAAGCUUAUUAACUUUCUCUUGUUUGGCGCUUAAGUCCUCCAGCGCUUGCUGUUGCACCAGAAAGUAUGCAUCUAAAUUCUGCAGGGACUUCCUCAGUCCUUCGGCUUCCUGUCGCAUAACAUCUGAUCGAUGUCUUUCAAGUUAAAGUUGAGACUCAAGAAGCCGAACUGAUUCAGGCAACGAGUUCGAAGAGCUGGUGCCAGCAGUGGUAGCUAGUAACUCGAACACUACAUCAAGACAGGACUUUGGGGUUGUGUCAGUGUCCUCAAUAUAGUUUUUAUCAGCUUUCUUGGAGACCAACAGGGAUGUCUCACUAUCUUGAACCUUAUCUGCAUUACUUCCUUUACCAUUGCAUAACAGGGUACUCUUCUUCAAUAUUUUAUCCGCAUUCUAAAAGAGAAACAAACAAACACAUCUCAGGUUUACAAUGUAGUAUAUGAAACUCAUUUUGGUAAACCAGUUCAGUAGUAAGGUCUAUAUCAUUCUAGUUUAUGUUGCCAAAUCAAGAUAGAUACAGUUCGAAUCAUAUCUGUUUAAGACAAAGCAGCAUAGACAGAAUGUAAGAGUGGGAAACUACACAACAAUAACAACACUUUUAAUGUGCAUGGCAUGAGAACAUAACUGUUUAUUCAAUAGAAACUGAAAUCAACAUAGAGCAAGUUACAACAGCAAACAGCCAGGUUUAAAACAUACCAGUUGCACCAUUGGAGUUUCAAUUGCAUCCUUCAAAUUUGAAAUUGGUUGGUAUCAGUAAAUAGAGUGAUGCAAGAGCAAAGUAGUAUGAACCAUAGCUACGGAACCUGACCUGAGAACAAUUCUUCUUCUGCUUUAAGCGUUGACUUCGGGUUUGAAGUGGUGGUCCUCAUGAUUUAGGCACUGCAGUUGCCUUACUAACUGCUCAUGUUUGGGUGCUCUGUGGUGGAGACGGUGCUGUGUCAACGGGAACUAGGUGUCUAUCUGCUGGGGUUGGGGUUAGAAGGGGUGUAGCUGGUUGGUGUAUUGAAGACUUAUAGGUUAAGGGACUAAUGCAUUUGUGAGUGUACACAGGUCUAUAAGUCUAUGAGGAGUUUGAUAUUUACAGAGAAAGUCAACCCCUAAAAAUGAAGUUCUUCAACUGAAGACUUUGAUAUUCUGAAGACUUUCUGAAGACUUUGAAAGUGAAGAAAUUGGUGUGACCUUGAAGACUUGGUAUUCAUUUGUGGAACAUGAAGCGUGAAGACUUUUGUUUUCAUAGUUUCAUUUUCUCUUUCUUGAGUCAUAGGAAACACCGUACUAUUAAAGGGGGUCGAGGAAAUACUAAGGAAAAAUUUCCAUGUGAUGCUCAACUCAAAAUCCUACACCUACCAAUCCCUUCGAGUGAAGCCUUUGGAAAUCUCGUACAGUUCAGUCACUUUCUUCAGUGACAGAGACGAAGUUCUUCUGGUCGCUGAUGAAUUUGUUCUGACUGAGGAGUUAGGAAUUCGUCAGUGCGAAUUACCUACACAGUGAGGAACAUGAUAGCCCUGAGGAAUUUAAGAGUCAAAUUUCUGACCGUUGCUGUGCUGCGCGCCAGCUGUCCCAAAAUAUCUUAUCCACCUAACGGUCAUAUCAUUGAAGGGCAUUUAUGUCUUAUCAUGUCGGGCUGGUCCGUAGGCUAUAAAUAGCCGCCCCCUACAACCACUAGCUGGUUGGCUGCUCCGAGAGAAACUGACACUUGUCAUUUGAGAGCAACCCAUCCUCCGAGGACUUUGAGCGAAAAUCAUCGAGUGAGGAAAACCCAAAACCAAACCUCUACAAACCCAAAGUGAUUGAGCAUCACUGAAGAAAUUGAUCAUGCGUGGAUCCGACGCUUGUUACCUUUGAAGACCGUGCUUCUUCCAAACGGUUAGGCGUCAAGGUCUAGAGCAUCUAAGAGGAAUUGUGGAUCGCCGAGUGACCAAGUCUGUGAAGGUUUGGAAGUUGCCUGAAGACUUACCACGAGUGAUUGGACGAGGUCUGUGUGACCUUAGUUCAAGGAGAAUACGGUGAGGACUGGGUGUCCUGAGCUGCGUGCUCAGCGACUGGGUGUCCGGGACUGUGUGUCCUCGAGUUUAAAUACUCAGCCGCUCCAACCAGACGUACAACUGAGACGGCAGUUGGAACUGGUCUACCAAAUCAUUGUCUUCACCAACCUAACUGGUUCUAUUUCCUCAACCCUUUCAUUUCCUCAUUACUGUGUUGAGUGUUUGUUCAUAUCUGUGUUUGAAGACUUUGACUGAAGACUUUCUCAAUUUCCUCAGUUCAAUUUCUUCAGUCUGUUUGUCUUCAUCUUGUGUUAUCCUGUGAUUACGCUUUCUGUACUCUGUGCUAGUCUUCAUUUCAUCAUGAUGACCAUGCUUGUAUUCUGUUAUGCUUACUUCUGAGUACUUAUUCCGCUGCUAAUAGUUCUUUGCUAAGGAAUUUCCUCACCGGCAAAUUCCUCAGUGAAGAAUUCAUAAAAAUUGCCUAUUCACCCCCCUCUAGUCGACAUAACACACUUUCAAUUGGUAUCAGAGCAAGGUACUCCCUUGUUCUGUGUGAUUUUGGUUUAACCACCUAGAGUUUAGUUAUGUCAACCGCAAGUAUGAUCAAGGUCUUGGCUGGGUGUCCUACCUUUGAUGGGACGGACUACCCCUACUGGAAAAACAAGAUGCGAAUGCAUCUCGAGGCAAUUGACAACGAUCUCUGGUAUGUUGUGGAAAAUGGUGUUCCCUCUGUCUCACCCUCACUGAACGCUACCGAUGUGAAGAGAUUCAAGCAACUCGAUUCUCAAGCGAAGAAUAUCAUAUGUGGCCAUCUGAGUAAAGGACAGUAUGGAAGAGUGAGUGCUUUGGAAACUGCUAAGCUUAUCUGGGAUAGGCUGUCCAAAGUGAAUGAAGGAGUCUCAACUCAGCGUGACUCUCGAGUUGAUGUUCUUCGGAAUCUCUUCAACCACUUCAAAAGACUCGACAAUGAAAAUGUCCAACAAACCUUUGAUCGCCUCACUGACAUCUCAAAUGAGCUUCAAGCCCUCGGUGCCACUGACAUCACUGACCAUGAGGUGGUGAAGAAACUGUUGAGAUCACUUGAUUCCUCAUUUGAUACUCUGGGUCUGAUGAUACAAGAACGGGCUGACUACAAGUCUCUUGAUCCUGCCGAUAUCCUCGAAAGGCUAAAUACUCACGAGUUCUAGCUUGCUGAAAAGAGAGAUCUCUAUGGUUCGAGCUAUGGCAAACCACGUGCCCUGAAGGCCAAGGUUGUGUCUGAGUCUGAAUGUGAGGAUUCUGGUAGUAGCCUUGGUGAUCCUGAAGAAUUGAGCCAGGAGCUAGCACUGCUCGUGAAGAAAUUCCAGAAGUUCUCAAGACGUGGUCGCUUUGGAAAAUCCUCAAGAAGCAGUGAUUCCUCAUCAAGUGACUAUAAGAGAAGGCUGUGCCACAAAUGCAAGAAACCUGGUCAUUAUAUUCAAGAUUGUCCUUAGUGGGAAAAGGAAUUGAAGAAUAAGAAAUACAAGGAUUACAGUUCUGAUGAUGCGAAGAAGAAGAGGAAAUCGUCAAAAUCUUCGUCAUCAAAAUCCUUGAAGUCUUCAUCUCACAAGAAGAGCAGCUCCAAGAAGGCUCGGGCAUUCAUUGGCAAGGAAAUGGACUCUGAAGCUGAAUCUGAGGAACAUGAGGAAGAGGAGGCGUCUGAAGAAUCCGAAUCUGGUGUGGCGAGUCUGGCCUUUGCUACUGCUUUCGUUAGCAAGUCCAUCUUCAACACUGAAGAAAUUGACCCCACCGACAAGCCUGAUGAAGAUAAUGAUGACUAUGCUCCCACCUAUUGCUUCAUGGCAAAAGGUGCAAAGUUACUCAAAUACACCUCCUCUGAAUCUAGUGAAAAUGAAUCUGAUGAGGAUCUCAAGCCCAGCUACUCUAAACUUGCUAAGACUGCUGUAAAACAACAAAGGGCUUUUGAAAAGGUUCAAAACAUGCUAGACAAAAGUGAUGAUAUGUUAGGUGAAGAAAUGGAUCGCACUAAAGCCCUGACUGAAAAUCUUCAGAGACUUCAGUCUAGGUUUGAUAACCUUCAAAGUCAUCAUAACACUCUCUUAUCUGAUCAUGAGAAACUUUCUUAUGAAUUUCUUCAAAGAAAGCAAGAUCUUGAGAAGCUAAGAGUGAGUUAUGAAGAUCUUUAGAAGGAGCGCGAUUCAUUACUAGCUCAACAAAUCAGCGCUUCUCAGGAAGAAUUUGUUCCUCCAUGCUUAAAGUGCAUUGAACGUGAAUCUACUUAUUCUUCACCUGAAUGUUCAAAUGCUUCAACUGUUACAAAUUCUUCUCCUGCCUCUGCUAUCACUAAUUCCUCAUCUGAGGACAUUGCUAGUAUCAGUGACGAUGCAGGGCUGAAGGAAUUGUACAUGACAGGCAUGUACAAAAGCCUCAAAGGGCAUCAGACUCUUUGUGAUGUGCUUAAAAAGCAGAUCCUCAACAGAAACCCUAGGAAAGAGGGUAUCGCCUUUGAGAGGAAACUUAAUGCUGAUGGAACAUAUUGGAAGCCUGAGCAGUACCCCAAAACCUCAUGGGUUGCUGCAAAGGGACCUCCAGUUGAUCCAUCUAACUUAUCUGGCUUUACAUGUGAAUCUCCUCAUCCUUCUGAUGAGUCAUUUGACUCCAACUAUAAACUGUUCAAAAAUCAGAAUGGUGAAGUAUUUGCUAGAUAUGUUGGCACUAACUGCAGGAAUGGUUCUCCUAUGAAGAAAAUAUGGGUUCCCAAGAAGUGCCUUGAAAGUCUUCAGGUGAAUGUCCUCAUGACACCACCAGUGAAGAACAGGAACCCCAGAUCAAAUUCUUCAUAUGGAUCAAAUUCCUCAAAUGGAUCAAAGUCCUCAUAUGAUUAUCAUCGUGCUAACAACUCUGUUUCGCAGGGCAGAGCUAAGGGCUAUGAAUAUGUGCAUUAUUCUUCAAACCAUUAUGUUCAUAAGUCCUCGAAGAAUUUCUCUGCUUAUUCAUAUGCUUACACUAACCCCUCUUAUGUGAAACGAAAUGGUUUGGCUUCUAUGCCACCAUUCUCAUGUGGUGCUCGCAGAGUGAUGAACUCUUUACCACCCCUUCAGAUGUGGGUGGUGAAGAAAAAGAACUAAUCUCUUCUGCAGGGUCAGGUCUCCAGACGCGCCUUAACGUCUGAAGAAUUUGCUGGGGACCUGACAAAAUUGCCUGAAAGGACGCAGGCGAAUCAUGAUGAAAUAAACUUUCACACGUCCUCCUACUGCUAUAUCUGUUUACUGCUUGAUGAAACUCAUCUGAUGAACUUGAUAUCAUAUUCUUCAUUGAUGAAGCAUAUGAGAUUGUAAGUUACACUAAUUCAUCUGCAGGAUGAUCAACCCAAAACCACUGAAUGGGUCCUUGAUAGUGGAUGUACAAAUCACAUGACUGGUGACAAGAAUCUUUUGAUGGAUGCUCCCUUAUCACCAUCACAUCUGAAGCAUAUCAUCUUUGCUGACAAAGGCAAAAGUCAGGUAUUGGGUCUUGGUAAGGUUGCGAUCUCUAAGGAUAAACACAUGGACAAAGUCAUGCUUGUUGAGUCCUUGGGAUACAACCUCAUGUCAGUCUCAAUGCUUUGUGAUCUUGAUAUGGUUGUUGUCUUUGGCAAGUAUCGCUGUGUUGUGAUUAUGGAAGCUGACAAUUCCAAAGUCUUCGAAGGCUUUAGGAGAGGAGAUUUGUAUAUUGUUGAUUUCUCUACAGGACCACAACCAGCCGUGUGUCUACUUGCAAAAGCUUCAGAAGGCUGGCUAUGGCAUCAACAACUUGGUCACGCAGGCGUGAGGAAUUUGCACACGCUUGCGAAGAAGAAGCAUGUCAUUGGUAUUGAGAAUGUCAAAUUCCUCAAGGAUCACUUAUGCGGAGCCUGUGAAGCUGGAAAAAUGACCAAGGCCAAGCAUCCAGCGAAGACUAUCUUGACCACUACUCGUCCAUUCGAAUUGCUUCACAUGGACCUCUUCGGACCUAAUCAUUACUCAACAAUCACUAAUGAUGCAUCUCUAUAUGGUUUUGUCAUUGUUGAUGAUUACUCUCGAUAUACAUGGGUACACAUUGUUACUUACAAACAUGAAGUGCAGGAAGUCUUCAAACGUUUUUCCUCGAGGGCUUCAACCAACUUUGGUGUGAAGAUCAAGCACAUCAGAAGUGACAAUGGAACUGAGUUCAAGAAUUCCGGUCUUGAUGACUAUCUUGAUGAACUUGGUAUUACUCAUGAGUUAUCUGCUCCCUAUACUCCUCAGCAAAAUGGCGUCGUGGAGCGCAAGAACGGAACUCUUGUUGAGAUGGCUCGCACUAUGCUUGAUGAAUACAAAAUACCUCAUCGUUUUUGGAUUGAUGCAAUUGAUACUGCGUACCACAUCAUCAACAGAGUAUAUCUUCACAAAUUCUUCAAGAAGACGGCCUAUGAACUCCUCACUGACAAGAAACCCAAUGUGAGUUAUUUCAAAGUCUUCGAUGCUAAAUGUUGGAUUAGAGAUCCUCACCACAAUUCUAAAUUUGCACCGAAAGCACAUGAAGGUUUUAUGCUUGGUUACGGAAAGGACUCGCACACCUACAAAGUCUUCAACAUUGUUCUUCACAAGAUUGUUGACACUGUAGAUGUGCGGUUCGAUGAAACUAGUGGCUCGCAAAGAGAGCACCUACCUUCUGUGUUAGAUGAACCAGCACCUGAGGAUUCUAUCAAGUUCAAGGCAACUGAGGAUGUCAUUCCUACUGAAGAAUUUGCUGAAGAAUUCAUUCCAGUUCAUGAAGAACAUCAAGCUGAUACACCUGAAGAAAAUGCUGAGGAAAAUGGUGUUGAAGAAAAUGCUGAUCAAACUCCUCAGCGACAACCAGCUCAUCCUCGCGUUGCAAAAGAAGUGCAAGUGGAGAAGAUCAUCGAUGACAUUAGAGCACCAGGUCCUCUCACAUGCUCAAAAGCUUCACAUUUAUCUAACUUUUGUGGGCACUAUGCUUUUGUCUCUAUCACAGAGCCCACUAAGGUAGAUGAAGCAUUUCUGGAGCCGGAGUGGAUUCAGGCUAUGCAAGAAGAAUUACAUCAGUUCGAGUUCAACAAUGUCUGGGAACUGGUCAGACGUCCAGAUCCUUGCAAGCAUAAUAUCAUUGGCACAAAGUGGAUCUACCGCAACAAGCAAGAUGAAAAUGGCCUUGUGGUGAGGAAUAAGGCACGACUGGUAGCUCAAGGCUACACACAGGUUGAAGGAAUUGAUUUCGAUGAAACUUUUGCACCUGUUGCUAGACUUGAGGCUAUUUGCAUAUUACUUGCUUAUGCUAACCAUCAUGAUAUCAUCUUAUAUCAAAUGGAUGUGAAAAGUGCAUUCCUCAAUGGUAAGCUUGAGGAAGAAGUAUAUGUUGCUCAACCCCCAGGUUUUGAAGAUCCAAAGAAUCUUGACAAAGUCUCUAGACUUAAUAAGGCCCUCUAUGGCCUCAAGCAAGCCCCUCGAGCGUGGUAUGAUACAUUGAAGGAAUUCUUCGUGAAGAAUGGAUUCACACCCGGUUCACUCGACCCUACUCUCUUUACUAAAUCUUAUGAUGGUGAACUGUUUGUGUGCCAAAUAUAUGUUGAUGAUAUUAUCUUUGGCUGUACUGACCAACGUUAUAGUGAUGAAUUUGCCUAUAUGAUGAGUGAAGAAUAUCAAAUGUCUAUGAUGGGAGAGUUGAAAUUCUUCUUAGGUCUUCAAAUUCGUCAACAGCGCAAUGGCAUAUUCAUAUCUCAGGAGAAAUACCUCAAAGAUGUACUGAGGAAAUUCGGCAUGCAAGAUUGCAAAGGCGUCAAAAUUCCUAUGCCCACAAAUGGCCAUCUAUGCACUGAUGAAAAUGGUAUUGACUUUGAUCACAAGGUAUACCGCUCCAUGUUUGGUUCUUUAUUGUACUUAUGUGCAUCUAGGCCAGAUAUAAUGCUUAGUGUUUGCAUGUGUGCCCGAUUUCAAGCUGCACCGAAGGAAUCACACCAUAAGGCUGUGAAGCAUAUUCUUAGAUAUCUAGCUCACACACCAACACUAGGAUUAUGGUACCCCAAGGGCUCUACUUUUGAUCUCAUUGGAUAUUCUGACUCUGACUAUGCUGGUGAUUGUGUGGACCGCAAGUCAACUUCUGGCACUUGUCAUUUCCUCGGACGAUCUUCGGUCUGUUGGUCCUCGAAGAAACAGAACUGCGUAUCACUGUCCACUGCGGAAGCUGAAUACAUUGCUGCUGGCUCUUGCUGUGCUCAACUGCUUUGGAUGAAGCAAACACUCAAGGACUAUGGCGUCAACGUGAAGAAUGUGCCUCUCCUCUGCGAUAAUGAGAGUGCCAUCAAGAUUGCUCACAACCCAGUUCAGCACUCGAAGACAGAGCACAUUCAGAUUCGUCAUCAUUUUCUUCAUGAUCAUGUGUUGAAGGGCGACAUCUCCAUCGAGCACGUGAAGACUGAAGAACAGCUAGCUGAUAUCUUCACUAAGCCCUUGGAUGAGAAGAGAUUUAGCAAGUUGCGGUGUGAGCUAAAUAUCUUAGAAUCUUCGAAUGUUAUUUGAAAAGGACACACAUCCUAACACUUAUGCAAAAUUGAUGACUUAGUUGUGCAACACAUGAAGAAACGUUUUUCUUCAAUCAAUGAAGAAUAACACUCUAAGUGUGAAGAAAUUAAUGAAGAAUUUGAUUCUCAGAACCCUACGACAAUUGUACGCGGUGUCUGAAAUCAUCAUUCUUAUACGGUGGGUCACGCCACCACAAAAAGUUGAAAAUCUUCAAUUUGAGUUUUUCCUCAGUUUUGAAAUUCUUCAGUUUUUCAAAUUCUUCAACUUUUCAAAAUCUUCACUAUUUCCUUCGUUUUUCUUCAUUGGCUAUAUAUAUAUGAGUUUAUGUCCUCUACAACAUUCACUUAUAGCUAUUUCUUCAAGUUGCUUUUUCUGCUAAGUGAAUGUGAUCGGACCCUUCCCCCUCUAUGCUAUACUCAACCCAAUCUAUUCACAAAUUCUUCAUAUGCGUUCUAUUUGAAACUCGUUCAAAAUCUUCACUGUGUCCUUGUCAGCUGAAGAAAUUGCGAACGAAACUUUAAAACAAAUCUUAUCCAAAUUUUCGGUUUUGCCGCUCAAACCGUUCCGCAUCCCAUGAUGCAUUAUUUUACUCACCCACGAUCGUACACGAUCUCCACUACACAGUACGUGGGUGACACAUGUCGUGAGAAGGAGAAUGGUCAGGGGCACGUUCAUCCCAAAUCUUCGGGCGAACAGUUUUUCACCAUGUCUAUAAAUACCCCUCUCCCCUUCCUCACUUCAUUUACUCCGCUCGAUCGCUACUCUCUCACUCGAGCUCCUCAAACCCUAGCGCCGCCGCUACUCCAUCGUCGCCGGUGAGGAAGAGCUUCGCUGCCUCGACCUCGUCGUCAUCGUACUCACGCCGACCGCGGAAAUCUUCACUCCGCCGCCGCCGUAGCUGUCUUCCUCUGCCAAGUUAGGGCGUGGGAGAUCUAACCUGACGAGCUUCACAUCUGUUCUUCUUAGUUCGUCGUGUUCUUCACUUCGAGUAAUUAAAAGUUACUUUUAUUACUCACUUUGAUUCUCAAACUUUCUUGAAAAUCUUCAAAGGUGUUUAUUCUUCAAAUCUUCACACAUAUGAACACCUCACAUCAUAUGAUCUUGAACUGUUUCUCUAAGCAAUCAGUUUCUUCAAGAUUCCCUAAUUGUGUGGAUCUUCGAUCUGUACAACUCUGGAACCUAAGACAAGAACGCUUAGUGAAAUUCCUCAAGGUUCAUCUGGUCAAAUUCCUCAAAACUUGUUCUUUUCGAAAAACCUCCUCAGAACGCAUAUGACCUCUCCGAAUUCCUCGCACCUGUACUCUAUUCAUAGGUACUCAUGUCUGCUGCUGAAUCACUAGGUUCUCAUCAACUUAACUCAUUUGCAGCAUUCCUCAAAGAAAAACUGCAUACUUCUUCAGAGAACUCGAUAGUUCAAAAUUCCUCAACUGAAGAAUAUGGCAGACGGUAAGAAGCCGCAGAAAGGAGGAAAGAAACCUGAGGUUAUGACUACGUUUGAAAUCCCUGAGGAAAUUUAUGCUGACUAUCGCACACCUGAUGAAGCAAAAUUUGGCAAAGAAAACAAAAAUCAGCGCAAGGUGCGCAUUCAGAGGAUUGAACGGAGAUGGGCAAUGGAAUGGAGGGAAUACAGAUAUGUGACUCCAAAGUACAUGAGGAAAUUUUCCCUCAAUCCUCCAUGCCCAAGAGCUCCAUUGGCACCUGGCCAAGUAGCUGACCCCACAAGCAUCAAACGUGGUGAGGACUUUCCUGAAGAAUGGGCUAAGCGCCAAGCUAAAUUGGCAAGACAAGCCAAGGAGGCAGUGAAGAAAUUCAAUGAGGAUUCUGCCACUGCUACUGCUACUGAGGCCUCGGUGAAACCGAGGAAAUCCAUGCCAAAGAAGCCUACUCGUAAGCCAAGUGCUUCACCAACAGUGCCCUCACGGCAAAUUCCUCACACUGCUACAGCUCCACCAAAGUCCUCAACAGCUCCUUCAAAGUCCUCAGCUCCUGUGCAUCUGGAUACAUGUCAAAGGACUGCUGGUUUCUCGAUUGCCUCUGGUGUUUCAGCAAGUUCCUCAGCUGCACAAAUUUCCUCAUCAGGCCCCAUACUAUUGAAGACCAAAGCAACAGUUGGACGAGGUCCUCGGCAAAGUCCAAAGAAGAAACAGGUCGCAUUCCAUGUGCCCUCUGAUGAUGAAGCUUCUGAUGAUGAACUUGCAGAAAUCAUUAGAGACAGACAGGUGAAGGCCGCUAGAGCCAAAGGCACAUCUGUGCCACUGCUUUUGGAUCCAAGAAAAAUCCUCGAUUACAUUGAUCUCUGGCACAAGGAUCCUAACACCCCUAUGCCUGAUUUUCAUCUGACCCCUGGGCAAAGUCAUAUGUUGACCCAUUUCAUCACUGAAGAGAAAUGGAAGUUUGAAAAGGCAAGAGAGAUCAGGAAAGCUCAAUACAGAAAGGAGAAGCUCCUGAAGAAAAACAUUGUCAGAAUGACACCUGAGGAACUUCUCCAGCCUCAGUCUGAAAUUCAAGCCCUCAGCAAAGACUUUGAUGCCUACUAUGCUGAUUGGCAAGGAGCUAAAGUAAGAUUCGUCAAUCUGACGAAGAAAUUCACAAAUGUUGCAGCCCCAUCGCAACAAGAAAAUCUUCAGGUUGCAGACUCUUCUCAGGCUGCUGAAGAACAUGCCAGCACCGUUGAUGACUUUCAGCCUGCUGAAGAAAAUGCUCGUUCCAGGGCUGGUGAAGAAAUUCCAGCCACUGAAGAAAUUGCCAGGCCAUCCACUAGUGGCGCGCCUGAAGAAACUGAAGAGAUCGGAGCAACUGCAUCAGUUGCACCUGAAGAAAAUGAACCAGAUUCCUCAGCUCCUCCCGCACCCACACCAACUCCAAUUCUUCCAUCUGCUUCUGAUGUGAAGAAGACCAAGGCUGCAGAGCGAGCUGCAGUGAAGAAAAGGAAGGCAUCAGCUGCGUCAAACUCUUCGGCUGCAAAGAAAAUGAUUCCAAUGACCAGCUCACUCGAAAAUCCAAUUGACGCUGUUCCGAUUUCCUCCAUGCCAUCAAAGGACCUUGUUCCUUUUGGAGAAGACUAUGAGAUCCCAAGUGGAUCUGAUGAAGAAAAUCAUUCUGCUGCUUCGUCAGAGCAGAUUGAUGAAGAAAUUGAAGUGGAAGCAAUCCCUUCAACCCCAAUCAUUUCCUCACCUAUGCCUCAGUUCACAGCUGAAGAGGCCGGUGUUGAGGAACUUGAAGAAGAUGUGGAUAUUGGAAGGACAACGCCAGUGAUGAACGAUGACUUUUGGGAAAGUCAGCAUCCAAAUUCUCCACUCUUCACCCCAAUCCAACAGAUACCUCAGUCCCUUGCUCCAACUGUUCAAAUGGGCUCUGAAGAAACUCAUCCCACUUCAUCUGUCCAUGAAGAAAUUCCAGCCACUAGUGCUGAUGAACCUGCUGCUGCUGAUUCUCAGACUGCACCUGUUGAGGAACAAGAAAUUCCUCAGCCUGAAGAACCUGAGCUCGCGAUUCCUGAGGUGGUGAUGCAACUCACUAACACCCCUCUGCCAAAGCCAAAGAAUCCGUUCUCAAGCAUACAGAAGUUCAAGGCUGAAGAUUUCUUUGCCGAGCACGUAUUCUUCACUGAUUAUAAUCCAUAUGAUUCUGCUCGCAUAAGGAAGAGGCGUUUCUGGACUGCCAGCCAAGCCAAUUUCUAUUCCUCAGUGCUCUUCAACAAAGACAAAGUCUUCGAUCAUGCACAUAUUCCUCAUGUGGACAUGUAGUCUCUGCCCGGCUUUGAGCCAGUCCUCAGUGUUCUUCACGACGCAGGACUUCUGAAUUUCUGCAUUGAUAUCUGUGAGUGGAAUGAAGAACUCAUUCUUCAAUUCUAUGCAACUCGGCACAUCACCGGAGAUGCUGAAGACGUGAACUCAUGGGUAUUAGACUGGAUGUCUGAAAAUACUCACUACAAGGCACCAGCAACUGAAUUGCUUCGUGCUCUACCACUCAGUCCUCCACUUGAUGAUGCUCAUUGUAUCUACAAUGAACCAGAACUUUCAAAUCACUAUAUGCAAGUGCUGAUGAAGCCUUUGAAGCCAAGGCAGGCCCCACGAACCAAAUUCCUCGUCAAGAAAUUACUCUAUGUGCCUCGGACUGUCUAUCGAAUUCUGACGAAGACAAUGAGUCCCAUCAAAGGCCACGACUCAAAUGAUGAAGAAGUCGUUGGCAUCAUGAAGAAUAUGCUUUUCAACAUCAUUCAUGGCGUUCCCGUCAACUUCCAUGAUUUCUUCAUGAGGACUCUGGCAAAUAUUGCUAUGUCACCAUUCGAGCUGAAGCCCUAUGCUCCUUGGAUUAUGAGAUUCAUCAGGGCAAGAUCUUCACUGAAUUACAAAGCUGACACUCUAAACCACGGUAGCUACUUGCCUCCCAUUGAAGUCCUCAAACGGACAGUUUCAUCAGCUGAUGAUAAAGGCAAGGCCGCUGCUGUGAUCGAUGAAGGCAUUCGUCCAUUGGAUGGUCAAUUUUGCAAGGCUGCAUCUUACUCUACCAAUGACGAUUCUGCCACAUAUGACUCUGCCAAAAAUACCUCAGCCAAGCAAAAUCCUCAAGCCACAGCACCCAGGGUGAUGACUGACCGUGAGUUACUCCUCAGUCUUCAUCAGAAGGUUGAUCACAAUCACAAAUGGGUAAAGCGUCAGUUUGGUGCACUUCUUCACAAUAUGACCUCAACACCCAAUGCAGUGAAGAAGAACCAAUACUACCUUCAUGAAACAUUCAACCGCACCUGGGCUGUCCUCACUCAUGUCUAUAGCACUGAAGAACUGAAGACUAUGGGUCUCAAAGAAGAAUUUGACUGGUCUGCACCUCCUCCGAAGAAAUUCAAGAGGGUCAAAAUUCUUCCACUGGUGGCCAGCUCUUAUUCUUCAUCGCGUGACACUGAUGAGUAUGAAGAUUUGGACGACACUGCGGCAGGCCCUGCUACAACAAACAACCUCAACAAUGCUGGCGCUCCUCCAUCGACUUGAAAUUCUUCAGGGCGUUAGUCCUCAGUUUCACUCCUUUUGGUCAUUUGAUGACAAAGGGGGAGAAAUCUGAGUUAGUCUUCAAGCGGGUCUAUAUUAAGGGCAUUUUUUAAGUUACAACUCUCGUUCUUCUGAAACUUUUAUUUGGAUCGAGUUGUAAUCUUAAACCCGAUGGUGCGCUGAUACUUUUGUUGCAUUAUGCUUUGCAUGCUUAUUCCUCGUUAAUGACAUUGCACGCAUGCUGAAUCUCAUCAGGCACCAUAUUUCAUCAUGCAUUUCAAAUUCUUCAUAUUAUAUAUAUCAAAUGCGUGUAUGAAUUACAAGAUAUAGGGGGAGAUCUCCAUUAUUCAACUCUUCAAAUGUGCAUUGCCUCGAAAGCAAAUUCCUCACUAUGCACAUCUUCAGGGGGAGUUCUUCUAUAUCUUGUAAUCAAAUUCCUCAAUAUCAGUGUAUACACUUCAUAUGUUUAUCCCCAUUGAAAACUUAACCUAUGUUGUCAUCAAUCACCAAAAAGGGGGAGAUUGUAAGUGCAUCUAGUGCCCCUUAGUGAUUUUGGUGUAUUGAAGACUUAUAGGUUAAGGGACUAAUGCGUUUGUGAGUGUACACAGGUCUAUAAGUCUAUGAGGAGUUUGAUAUUUACAGAGAAAGUCAACCCCUAAAAAUGAAGUUCUUCAACUGAAGACUUUGAUAUUCUGAAGACUUUCUGAAGACUUUGAAAGUGAAGAAAUUGGUGUGACCUUGAAGACUUGGUAUUCAUUUGUGGAACAUGAGGCGUGAAGACUUUUGUUUUCAUAGUUUCAUUUUCUCUUUCUUGAGUCAUAGGAAACACCGUACUGUUAAAGGGGGUCGAGGAAAUACUAAGGAAAAAUUUCCAUGUGAUGCUCAACUCAAAAUCCUACACCUACCAAUCCCUUCGAGUGAAGCCUUUGGAAAUCUCAUACAGUUUAGUCACUUUCUUCAGUGAUAGAGACGAAGUUCUUCUGGUCGCUGAUGAAUUUGUUCUGACUGAGGAGUUAGGAAUUCGUCAGUGCGAAUUACCUACACAGUGAGGAACAUGAUAGCCCUGAGGAAUUUGAGAGUCAAAUUUCCGACCGUUGCUGUGCUACGCGCCAGCUGUCCCAAAAUAUCUUAUCCACCUAACGGUCAUAUCAUUGAAGGGCAUUUAUGUCUUAUCAUGUCGGGCUGCUCCCUAGGCUAUAAAUAGCCGCCCCCUACAACCACUAGCUGGUUGGCUGCUCCGAGAGAAACUAACACUUGUCAUUUGAGAGCAACCCAUCCUCCGAGGACUUUGAGAGAAAAUCAUCGAGUGAGGAAAACCCAAAACCAAACCUCUACAAACCCAAAGUGAUUGAGCAUCACUGAAGAAAUUGAUCCUGCGUGGAUCCGACGCUUGUUACCUUUGAAGACUGUGCUUCUUCCAGACGGUUAGGCGUCAAGGUCUAGAGCAUCCAAGAGGAAUUGUGGAUCGCCGAGUGACCAAGUCUGUGAAGGUUUGGAAGUCGCCUGAAGACUUACCACGAGUGAUUGGACGAGGUCUGUGUGACCUUAGUUCAAGGAGAAUACGGUGAGGACUGGGUGUCCUGAGCUGCAUGCUCAGCGACUAGGUGUCCGGGACUGUGUGUCCUCGAGUUUAAAUACUCGGCCGCUCCAACCAGACGUACAACUGAGACAUCAGUUGGAACUGGUCUACCAAAUCAUUGUCUUCACCAACCUAACUGGUUCUAUUUCCUCAACCCUUUCAUUUCCUCAUUACUGUGUUGAGUGUUUGUUCAUAUCUAUGUUUGAAGACUUUGACUGAAGACUUUCUCAAUUUCCUCAGUUCAAUUUCUUCAGUCUGUUUGUCUUCAUCUUGUGUUAUCCUGUGAUUACGCUUUCUGUACUCUGUGCUAGUCUUCAUUUCAUCAUGAUGACCAUGCUUGUAUUCUGUUAUGCUUACUUCUGAGUACUUAUUCCGCUGCUAAUAGUUCUUCGCUAAGGAAUUUCCUCACCGGCAAAUUCCUCAGUGAAGAAUUCAUAAAAAUCGCCUAUUCACCCCCCCUCUAGUCGACAUAACGCACUUUCAAUCUCUUAGUCUUGUGCUUGAUGAAUAGGAAUAUGAAAAGGAGGAGAAGUGGAAAUUAGAAUUCCUACGGUGUUUCUUUCAAGGAGACACUAAAGGAACAAAUCCUAUAGUUUUCCUUUGCUCCAUUCCUUUGCACCAAAUUCAUGAAAAGUAGUACCAUAGGAAAAUUUCCAAUUCCUAUGUUUUUCAUUCACUUUUCCUUUCAAGCACUGGCGAUUCUAGUAGGCAGUCUUGAGAAAGGAAAAUCCUACACUAAAAAAAUGUUUUUGUGCUACUUCUAUUACUUUGGACCCAGGCCACUGCCAUACUAGCUCAACUCCCAGGCCCAUCGACAAAUGCACAGCUCAAACGCGCAAAGAUAAAUAAUGAUGGCGUUCAAGAGAGUCCAUCACGGAUAGCUAAGUUGCCUGGUACCUCACUGCUUGUCAUAUAGUAGGAUAAAAUAAUCGUAUUUCCCGUUACUACGAGUGCUCAGUGGACAAUAUAUAUAGCAUGUAGAGUAAAAAAGAGAUGCAACAAGUGUACAACCUCUUUGGCGAAGCCAUGUCGAUCUCAGCGUGAUUGGGUUGGCCGCUGAGGAUGCUCCGGCUGAGUUUGCUGUCGGAGGAGGGGAAGAAGAUCUUAGGCGUCUGGAGAUGGAGCCCGAGGUACUGCUCCGCUGUGAUGGAGGGUUUCGUCGUUGGAGCAGCUCCGGUGAGUUGUACGACGCCGAGGCUGAAGCAUGACAAGAGAGACAACAAACAACGUUAACUUGAGUGGAAUUCUAAUAGCAUCUCCAAUACAUGACGUAAAAUACAUAACCACAAAGUGCUAGAUGUAAAAUACAUCAGCCGCUCAUCUCUGAACUUAAUUAUCGAAACUGAACUUAGCUGUCGAAACUAAACUUAACUGUCGAAACUGAACCUAACUGUCGAAAUUGAAUUUUGCUGUCGAAACUGAAUUUUGCUGUCGAAACUGAACGCACUAGCAAGGUGAGGCUACACGUCGGUCGACUGACUUUUUGAUCUCUGGUCAGUCAAUCUUGCAGCCGUUGGAUACGAAAUCAAGGGUCUGUAGUUCAUCUUCAACCUCCACCCCCCUGAGCCGCCAGCCACCACCGGCCAAACAGCAGCCCCCCGCCGCCCGCGGCUGGCGGUGCGCCACCCCGCCCACCCCAAAAACACUCCCCACUGCUGGUCCGCCGCCGCCCCGUCCAUCCCUCUAGGCCCCCCCGUGCCGAGCUUUUUCUCCGGCGAUCCCCACGCCACCGCCCCGCCACCGCCGGUGACCACGCCCCAUCUUGAACCCUAAGAUAGAUAGUGGGGUACCUCUCCUGCGAGCCCCCCUCCCCGCUGUGGCUGGUUCUUCCUUCACCCCGGCGAGCCCAACCCUUGAAAAUCGACUGACCGAAAAGUUGAUUCAGUCGACUGAAGAGUAGCCAAAUCGGAGCAGCAUCGCAAGCAAGAGCAAGAGCGAGAGCAGCAGCGCGAGCAAGAGCAAUAGCAAGAGCAGACCAGACAGGGGACCAAGAGCAAGAGCAGAGCAGCAGCGCGAGCGAGAGCUAAACCAGCAGCAGCUCCUACUGAUGUGGACGUCACCGCUGAGGGAGCGACCCCGUGGAGGAAGUGGCCGGCGAUGCCGCCGUGGAUGGAGCCCCGCCGUGUCGGCUUGGUACCGAGCGUCGGCAGCACCGUGAGAUCGAAUCAAGAAGAAAAUACAGCGAUUAGUGUACAAGCUCUUUGGUGGCACCGAUUAGGCCGCAACUUCAUCCGAGGAAACGGUGAUGAUGCUCUUUCGGUGGUGCAGGUGAAGACGGCGGUGUGGGAAUGGAGGUGGCGCGAAAGACGAGGGGAACGUCGGGGCAGCUCUUUGGAGGUGGAGGACGGGGUGGCUGAACCGGCGGGACGAUGAGAUCGAUGACGGAUCCUCAUCCGGUAUGGUGGAUGAGGGACGUUGAGGUGUUGCUGUGGACGACGUCGUCAGGGAAGAGGCUCCGGCUGGGUGGCGGAUGAUACGUCUCCAACAUAUCUAUAAUUUAUGAAGCAUUCAUGCUAUUUUAUUAUCUGUUUAGAAUGAUUACGGGCUUUAUUAUACACUUUUAUAUUACUUUUGGGACUAAACUAUUAACCGGAGGCCCAGCCCAUAUUGUUGUUUUAUUGCCUGUUUCAGUAUUUCGAAGAAAAGGAAUAUCAAAUGAAGUCCAAACAGAAUGAAACCUUCGACAACGUGAUUUUUUUGGAAGAAUAUGAUCCUGGAGACUUGGAGUUCAUGUCAGAAGAUCCUUGAGGCAGCCAUGAGAUAGGAGGGCGCCCCCCCUAUAGGGCGCGCCCCCUGUCUCGUGGGCCCCGCGAGCACCUCCCGACCGACUUCUUUCGCCUAUAUAAGCCUACGUACCCUAAAAACAUCGAAAAUCAAGAUAGAUCAAGGGUUCCGCUGCCGCAAGCCUCUGUAGCCACCAAAAACCUCUCGGGAGCCCGUUCCGGCACCCCGUCGGAGGGGGAACCCAUCACCGGUGGCCAUCUUUAUCAUCCCGGUGCUAUCCAUGACGAGUAGGGAGUAGUUCACCCUCGGGGCUGAGGGUAUGUACCAGUAGCUAUGUGUUUGAUCUCUCUCUCUCUCUCUCUCGUGUUCUCUCUAUGGCAUGAUCUUGAUGUAUCGCGAGCUUUGCUAUUAUAGUUGGAUCUUAUGAUGUUUCUCCCCCCUCUACUCUCUUGUGAUGAAUUGAGUUUCCCUCUUGAAGUUAUCUUAUCGGAUUGAGUCUUUGAUUUGAGAACACUUGAUGUAUGUCUUGCCGUGUUUAUCUAUGGUGACAAUGGGAUAUCACGUGCCACUUGAUGUAUGUUUUGGUGACCAACUUGCGGGUUUCGCCCAUGAACCUAUGCAUAGGGGUUGGCACACGUUUUCUUGACUCUCUAGUAGAAACUUUGGGGCACUCUUGGAAGUACUUUGUGUUGGUUGGAUGAAUCUGAGAUUGUAUGAUGCAUAUCGUAUAAUCAUGCCCACGGAUACUUGAGGUGACAAUGGAGUAUCUAGGUGACAUUAGGGUUUUGGUUGAUUUGUGUCUUAAGGUGUUAUUCUAGUACGAACUCUUGAAUAGAUUGAACGGAAAGGAUAACUUUGAGGUGGUUUCGUAACCUACCAUAAUCUCUUCGUUUGUUCUCUGCUAUUAGUGGCUUUGGAGUGACUCUGUGUUGCAUGUUGAGGGAUUGUCAUAUGAUCUAUCUAUGUUAUUAUUGUUGAGAGAACUUGCACUAGCGAAAGUAUGAACCCUAGGCCUUGUUUCCUAUCAUUGCAAUACCGUUUACGCUCACUUUUAUCGCUUGCUACCUUGCUGUUUUUAUAAUUUCAAUUUACAAUUACCUUUAUCUACUAUCUAUUUUGCACUUGUAUCACCAUCUCUUCGCCGAACUAGUGCACCUAUACAAUUUAGCAUUGUAAUGGGUGUGUUGGGGACACAAGAGACUCUUUGUUAUUUGGUUGCAGGGUUUUUUGAGAGAGACCAUCUUCAUCCUACGGCUCCUACGGAUUGAUAAACCUUAGGUCAUCUUCUUGAGGGAAAUUUCCUACUGUCCUACAAACCUGUCCACUUGCAGGCCCAACAACAUCUACAAGAAGAAGGUUGUGUAAGGACAAAGAGGAUGUGGAACCCCUUCUAGAUGCUAAGGACAAAAGGAUUUGCUGAAGCUCACAGCUCGGGACUCUACAUUUUCUAUUUCAUUGAUCCAAGAUCACAUUGAGUCCAUAGGAAAGCCAAUAUUAUUAAAAGGGGAUGAAGUGUUGCUUAAUGGCUUGCUUGCUCAAGGUGCUUAGUGAUAUGCUCCAAAAACCCUCAACCACUUUCUCAUAUCCACAUAUGUCCCAAACCAAAAGUCAAACUCGGCCCCACCGAUUUGAUCUAUCCGGCGCCAUCGAGUUCAUUUGACAUAGCCACUGCCAGAAACCCUAAUCAAUUAGGUCUCACUGAUGGGAUCUCGGUCUCACCGAGAUGGUCUUGCAAACUCCCUGUUGCCUAUUGCAAUAACUUCAAUCUCAGCGAGAAGAUGUAAUCGGUCCCACCGAGUUUGCUUGACCAACUCUCUGUUUUGCUUAUUACCAAACUUGGUCCCACCGAGUUUGUGUAAUCGGUCAGACUGAGAUGAGGUUUUACCCUAAUCCUUGCACAUCGGUCCCACCGAGUUGAUCAUAUCGGUCCCACCAAAAUGCCUAACGGUCACAUUAUGAACUAAAUUGGUCUGACCGAGUUUUAUGAUUCGGUCCCAUCAAGUUUGGUAAAUUGUGUGUAACGGUUAGAUUUUGUGUGGAGGCUAUAUAUACCCUUCCACCGUCUCCUCAUUCAUGGGGAAAUCCACCAGAACAUGCCUACACUUUCAGCAUUCAUUUUUUGAGAGAGAACCACCUACUCAUGUGUUGACGCCAAGAUAUUCCAAUCCAACCAUAUGAAUCUUGAUCUCUAGCCUUCCCCAAGUUGCUUUCCACUCAAAUCAUCCUUCCACCAAAUCCAAUCCUAUGAGAGAGAGUUGGGUGUUGGGGAGACUAUCAUUUGAAGCACAAGAGCAAGGAGUUCAUCAACAACACACCAUUUAUUACCUUUUGGAGAGUGGUGUCUCCUAGAUUGGUUAGGUGUCACUUGGGAGCCUUUGUCAAGAUUGUGGAGUUGAACCAAGGAGUUUGUAUGGGCAAGUAGAUUGCAUACUUCGUGAAGAUCUACCCUAGUGAGGAAAGUCCUUCGUGGGCGAUGGCCAUGGUGGGAUUAGUCCUGGCCAUGAGCAGCCUAGCCCGACCCAGCCCGGCCCAACGCUGCUCCUGGGCCGGGCCCGGGCCUAGAUUUUGAGCCCGAAGGCCGAGCCGGGCUGGGCCCCGGCCCAUCGUUUUCACGCUUUCCUGAAGGAUGGGCCGGUCCGACCUGAAGCCCUAUGGGCUUUUACAUGUUCGGGCCGGGCUCGGGCCCAGAAAACAGGCCCGAUGGCCGGGCCGGGCCGGGCUCGGGCCUGGGUUUUUUGUGUUGGGCUUGGCUAGGCCCGGCCCGGCCGGCCAGGUAUAGGUGGGAUAGACAAGGUUGCUUCUUCACGGACCCUUCGUGGGUGGAGCCCUCCGUGGACUCACGCAACCAUUACCCUUCGUGGGUUGAAGUCUCCAUCAACAUGGAUGUACAAUAGCACCACCUAUCGGAACCACGCCAAAAAUCUCCGUGUCUCCAAUUGUGUUUGCACACUCCAAUCCCAUCCCUUUACUUUCUAGCAAGUUGCAUGCUUUACUUUCUGCUGCUCAUAUACUCUUUGCAUGCUUGCUUGAAUUCUAUUGUGUAUGCUUGAAAUUGUGUUAAUCUACCACCGCAACUUGAAAAACUUAAAACUGCCAACUUUGUGUGUUGAUGGUCUAUUCACCCCCUCUAGACACCUCUUCUCGAUCCUUUCACAAUUGCACCAGUAUUGUCACAACAGAUUUUCAUUGGACCCGAUGCACUAGGUAUGACACCUAGAUCGGAUAUGAACUCCUUCAUCCAAACUCCUUCAUUUGCUGCUUCCCAAGCAGCAAUGUACUCCGCUUCACACGUAGAUCCCACCACGACGCUCUGCUUGGAACUGUACCAACUGACAGCUCCUCCAUUCAAUAAAAAUACAUAUCCGGUUUGCGACUUAGAGUCAUCCAGAUCAAUGUCAAGGCUUGCAUCGACGUAACCGUUUAUGACGAGCUCUUUUUCACCUUCAUAAACGAGGAACAUAUCCUUAGUCCUUUUCAGGUAUUUCAGGAUGUUCUUGACUGCUGUCCAGUGCUCCACUCCGGGAUUACUUUGGUACCUCCCUGUUAUGCUUAUAGCAAGACAUACAUCAGGUCUGGUACACAACAUUGCAUACAUGAUAGAACCUAUGGCUGAAGCAUAGGGAAUGACUUUCAUUUUCUCUCUAUCUUCUAAAGUGGUCGAGCAUUGAGUCUGACUCAACUUCACACCUUGUAACACAGGCAAGAACCCUUUCUUUGACUGAUCCAUUUGAACUUCUUCAAAACUUUAUCAAGGUAUGUGUUUUGUGAAAGUCCAAUUAAGCGUCUUGAUCUAUCUCUAUAGAUCUUGAUGCCCAAUAUGUAAGCAGCUUCACUGAGGUCUUGCAUUGAAAAACUUUUAUUCAAAGAUCCCUUUGUGCUAUCCAGAAAUUCUAUAUCAUUUCCAAUCAAAAAUAUGUCAUCUACAUAUAAUAUUAGAAAUGCUACAAAGCUCCCACUCACUUUCUUGUAAAUACAUGCUUCUCCAAAAGUCUGUAUAAAACCAUAUGCUUUGAUCACACUAUCAAAGCGUUUAUUCCAACUCCGAGAGGCUUGCACUAGUCCAUAAAUGGAUCGCUGGAGCUUGCACACUUUGUUAGCACCCUUUGGAUCGACAAAACCUUCCGAUUGCAUCAUAUACAAUUCUUCUUCUAGAAAUCCAUUCAGGAAUGCAGUUUCGACAUCCAUUUGCCAAAUUUCAUAAUCAUAAAAUGCAGCAAUUGAUAACAUGAUUCAGACAGACUUAAGCAUUGCUAUGGGUGAGAAAGUCUCAUCGUGGUCAACUCCUUGAACUUGUCGAAAACCUUUUGCAACAAGUCAAGCUUUGUAAACAGUAACAUUACCAUCUGCGUCGGUCUUCUUCUUAAAGAUCCAUUUAUUUUUUAUGGCUUGCUGAUCAUCGGGCAAGUCCACCAAAGUCCACACUUUGUUCUCAUACAUGGAUCCCAUCUCAUAUUUCAUGGCCUCAAGCCAUUUCAAGAAUCUGGGCUCAUCAUCGCUUCCGCAUAGUUCGUACGUUCAUCAUGGUCUAGUAACAUGACUUCCAGAACAGGAUUACCGUACCACUCUAGUGCGGAUCUUACUCUGGAAGACCUACGAGGUUCGGUAGUAACUUGAUCUGAAGCUUCAUGAUCAUCAUCAUUAGCUUCCUCACUAGUUGGUGUAGGAAUCACUGGAAUUGAUUUCUGUGAUGAAGUACUUUCCAAUAAGGGAGAAGGUACAGUUACUUCAUCAAGUUGUACUUUCCUCCCACUCACUUCUUUCGAGAGAAACUCCUUCUCGAGAAAGGAUCCAUUCUUAGCAACAAAGAUUUUGCCUUCGGCUCUGUGAUAGAAGGUGUACCCAACAGUUUCCUUUGGGUAUCCUAUGAAGACGCACUUCUCCGAUUUGGGUUCGAGCUUAUCAGGUUGAAGCUUUUCCACAUAAGCAUCGCAACCCCAAACUUUAAGAAACGACAACUUUGGUUUCUUGCCAAACCAUAGUUCAUAAGGCGUCGUCUCAAUGGAUUUUGAUGGUGCCCUAUUUAAAGUGAAUGCAGCCGUCUCUAGAGCAUAACCCCAAAACGAUAGCGGUAAGUUAGUAAGAGACAUCAUAGAUCGCACCAUAUCUAAUAAAGUACGGUGAUGACGUUCAGACACACCAUUUCACUGUGGUGUUCGAGGUGGCGUUAAUUGCGAAACUAUCCCAUGUUGUUUCAAAUGAAGACCAAACUCGUAACUCAAAUAUUCUCCUCCACGAUCAGAUCGUAGAAACUUUAUUUUCUUGUUACGAUGAUUUUCCACUUCACUCUGAAAUUCUUUGAAUUUUCAAAUGUUUCAGACUUAUGCUUCAUUAAGUAGAUAUAACCAUAUCUGCUCAAAUCAUCUGUGAAGGUGAGAAAAUAACGAUACCCACCACAAGCAUCAAUACUCAUUGGACUGCACACAUCGAUAUGUAUUAUUUCCAAUAAGUCAGUAGCUCGUUCCAUUGUUCCGGAGAACGGAUUUUUUGUCAUCUUUCCCAUAAGGCACGGUUCGCAAGCACCAAGUGAUUCAUAAUCAAGUGAUUCCUAAAGUCCAUCAGCAUGGAGUUUCUUUAUGCGAUUUAUACCGAUAUGACCCAAAUGGUAGUGCCACAAAUAAGUUGCACUAUCAUUAUUAAACUUCAAUCUUUUGGCUUCAACACUAUGAAUACGUGUAUCACUAAUAUCGAGAUUCAAUAAAAAUAGACCACUCAGCAGGGGUGCAUGACCAUAAAAGAUAUUACUCAUAUAAAUAGAACAACCAUUAUUCUUUGAUUUGAAUGAAUAACCGUCUUGCAUCAAACAAGAUCCAUAUAUAAUGUUCAUGCUCAACGCUGGCACCAAAUAACAAUUAUUCAGGUCUAAAGCUAAUCCCGACGGUAGAUGUAGAGGCAGCGUGCCGACCGCGAUCACAUCGACUUUGGAACCAUUUCCCACGCGCAUCGUCACCUCAUCCUUAGCCAAUCUUUGCUUAAUCCGUAGCCCUUGUUUCGAGUUGCAAAUAUGAGCAAUAGAACCAGGAUCAAAUACCCAGGCGCUACUGCGAGCAUUAUUUAAGUACACAUCAAUAACAUGUAUAUCAAAUAUACCUUUCACUUUGCCAUCCUUCUUAUCCGCCAAAUACUUGGGGCAGUUCCGCUUCUGGUGACCAGUCCCUUUGCAGUAGAAGCACUCAGUUUCAGGCUUAGGUCUAGACUUGGGUUUCUUCUCUUGAGCAGCAACCUUUUUGCCGUUCUUCUUGAAGUACCCUUUCUUCCGUUUACCCUUUUUCUUGAAACUACUGGUCUUAUUGACCAUCAACACUUGAUGCUCCUUUUUGAUUUCUACCUCCGCGGCCUUUAGCAUCGCGAAGAGCUCAUGAAUCACUACAAAAAAAUACACUUCCGUGAUGAUAUGUGUUUGUCACAGUAGGUCGCGUUUUUUGUCAUGCAUGUACAUCCAUGACGAUUUUAUGACAGAAUCAAGAUAGUCAUACCUGUGCUGUCGUAGAAGUGUUCCAUGACAUUACCAAAAUUAUCAUCACGGAAGUGUCCACUUCCAUGACGAUAAAUCACGCGUCACAGAAGUGCUUUCGUCAAGGGAGACGGACACAUGGCAUCCACCGUAACGGAACGCCGUUAAGCUAUCAGGUCGGGUUUUGGAUCCGAUAACCCGUUAACAGCCCCGACCAAUGGGGAUUUUCCACGUGUAAAAUCAUCAUGGGCUGGAGGAAACACGUGUCAGCUCAUCGUUGGGACAGAUGUCAUCCACUCAUUGGACAGAAGGCGCCUAUGAUACGUCGACACGUGGCACGACCCAACAGAGGCCCAUUCCUGUGAAAAUGCCGGCCCGUUUGACUUGGUCAAAAGGUGGCGGGCCGGCCCAUGGAAAGCAUGCUAACGGCCUAUUCGCAUAUAGCCCAUUUACAACCCGCUAACCCAAGGCCCGUUACGCACUAUCCGAAUUAGGCCCAGUAGUGUCAUCUGGGCCAUCUAAUAUGAUUCCAGCCUGUUUUCACUUCUGGCGCAUGUAUGGCCCAUGACGCCUUUCGGCCCAUAUGAGGCCCUAUGCAACUCUUGGUCUAUUAACGGCCCGUGGUGAAACUGGCCCGCAAUGAACAGUGUAUCACUUUACACCCAUUAACGGCCCGUGGUGAAACUGGCCCGUAAUGAAAAGUGUAUCACUUUAUACCCAUUAACGGCCUGUUAUUCCAUUGGGCCGUUUCCAGCCCAUGUUAUCUUUCGGCCUUCUGAGAGCCCAUUUAUUCUUGGGCUCAUUUCAAGCAUUCGUUUACUUACGGCCCGUUACUGUCAUUUUCUGCUUGUGGGCCAAAUUCAGCCCGUGGUUACAGUCGGCCCGUUUGUGGUCCGUUAAUACAUUGGGCCGUUUUCAUAGUAUCAUCAAAUACGGCCUAUUAACGAUGGCCCGUUAUGGUCGGCCCAUGAACGGACGAUUCCAACUCUAGCCCGUUUAUGGCCAUAAUGCGGCUUGUUAUUGGCCCAUGUUUGGCCAAUCGAUCAUACGACCCGUAUAAGGCCCAUUGAUGAUACGGCUUGUAGAAGGCCCAAUGUUUCUACGGCCCGUAGAAGGCCCAAUGUUUCUACGGCCCGUAGAAGGCCUACUGUUUCUACGGCCCGUAGAAGGCCCACUGUUUCUACGGCCCGUAGGAGGCCCAGUGUCACUACAGUAAAUAUUAGCCCAUGGUUAUUGUGGCCUAGCUUUAAAAAAUAGGUUAUUGCAGCCACUAGCAAACCGCAGAAAAAUAACUGCACUGACUACAAGCAAACAAAUAAACAAGACAACAAGGAAAUAAAUAAGCAAGCAACUGGCACUAGGCUAUCAUGGCUAUUACACAUAUUACAUCCACUGGGCAUCAAAGUUCGCCACCAGUGCAAAUGUAGGGAACACAACAACAUAUAAACGCUGCAGCAAAACAAGUCCAGAACUGAAACCACUUUAGAAGAGCUCAAGAAACUAUAUCCUGGGUACCCAUAAUGCUGGCAAGAUGCUUAGCAAGCUUAUUAACUUUCUCUUGUUUGGCGCUUAAGUCCUCCAUCGCUUGCUGUUGCACCAGAAAGUAUGCAUCUGAAUUCUGCAAGGACUUCCUCAGUCCUUCGGCUUCCUGUCGCAUAACAUCUGAUCGAUGUUUUUCAACUUGAAGUUGAGACUCAAGAAGCCGAACUGAUUCAGGCAACGAGUUCGAAGAGUUGGUGCCAGCAAUCAUAGCCAGUAACUCGAACACUACAUCAAGACAGGGCUUUGGGGUUGUCUCAGUGUCCUAAAAAUAGUUUUUAUCAGCUUUCUUGGAGACCAACAGGGAUGUCUCACUAUCUUGAACCUUAUCUACAUUACUUCCUUUACCAUUGCAUAACAGGGUACUCUUCUUCAAUAUUUUAUCCGCAUUCUAAAAGAGAAACAAACAAAGACAUCUCAGGUUUACAAUGUAGUAUAUGAAACUCAUUUUGGUAAACUAGUUCAGUAGUAAGGGGACAUGAUAACAGCAUGAAACAAACAUAUAUCUAUGUAGUAUGGUCACUGUAUGGUCUAUAUCAUUCUAGUUUAUGUUGCCAAAUCAAGAUAGAUACAGUUCGAAUCAUAUCUGUUUAAGACAAAGCAGCAUAGACAGAAUAUAAGAGUGGGAAACUACACAGCAAUAACAACACUUGUAAUGUGCAUGGCAUGAGAACAUAACUGUUAUUCAAUAGAAACUGAAAUCAACAUAGAGCAAGUUACAACAGCAAACAGCCAAACACGUUGAAGAAAUAGGUUUAAAACAUACCCGUUGCGCCAUUGGAGUUUCAAUUGCAUCCUACAAAUUUGAAAUUGGUUGGUAUCAGUAAAUAGAGUGAUGCAAGAGCAAAGUAGUAUGAACCAUAGCUACGGAACCUGACCUGAGAACAAUUCUUCUUCUGCUUUAAGCGUUGACUUCGGGUUUGAAGUGGUGGUCCUCAUUAUUUGGGCACUGCAGUUGCCUUACUAACUGCUCAUGUUUGGGUGCUCUGUGGUGGAGAUGGUGCUGUGUCAACGGGAACUAGGUGUCUAUCUGCUGGGGUUGGGGUUAGAAGGGGUGUAGCUGGUUCUCUGUCCAAUUGGGUAGGGGUACAAUCUGCAUGAGUGCGGGUUAUGUGUGGUGGGGCUAAUUCUUGGGCAAGUACAACCGUGGUUCUAUCUGCAUCGACAGGUAGCACGAUCUUUUCUGAAGACCGUGUUUUUACUCCCACAGAUACUGCCAUCACUCCCUCCAAUUGAAAUGGCUGAUAAACAAGAAAAAUAAUUGAAUGUACAGACAUUGUAAGAUAGACAGGUGCAAUGGAUAGUAGGGAAGAAAACAGGGCAUGAAAUAAUUCACAUUUAUGUUGUCUAAUCAAACGGAAUAGCAGGACAUAAUUUCAUAUAUAUGAUGGCUAAUUAAAUAGGAUAGCAUGACACAAUUUCACAUGUAUGAUGGCUAACUAAAUAGGAUAGAAUGACAUACUUCAAAAUAUGAUGACUAUGUAAACAGGAUGACAUGAUAUAACUAUACGAUGUGUCUAUUAAAGUGGUUGGCAUGCCAUAAAUCACAAACAUGCCGUCGAUGGAAACAUGAUGGCAUGAUAUAAUUCACGGAUAGAAUGACAUAAUUUAAAAUAUGAUGACUAUGUAAACAGGAUGAGAUGAUAUAACUAUAUUAUGUCUUUAGAAAAUGGGUUGGCAUGCCAUAAUUCAGAUACAUGUUGUCUAUGUAAACAUCAUGGCAUGACAUAAUUCAAAUAUAUGAUAUAUAUACUAAGGAAGUGAGCAGAGGGCAAUCACAUAUAUGAUGUGUCAACUAAGGAGAUGGCAUUCAAUAUUGUGUAUAUGAUGUAAAAACUAAGCAUUGCAAUACAACAUAUGCAUUAUAUGAGUAAUAUAACCCUGCCAAGUUUGAGCAUACACCUUAGGGGGAUAAUAGGACUGGUCAUCUGCCUAUGAAUCCUCCUCUGAAGAGCUAUCUGUAACCAGCAAGAUAUUUGCUUCAUCAGGUAGCAUUGUCUGCUCUGAAGACCUUGUUUUCACUCCAGAUUUCUCCAUCACCAAUUCAAAUGGCUGAUGCACAGGAAGAGCAGUUGAAUAUACAAACAUUGUCGACAAAAGCAAUGAGAAAUACAAAAAAAGGAUGGCAUGAUAUAAUUCACAUAUAUGACGCUUGCCUAAACAGGGCAUUGCAUAAUUCACAUACAUAAUGCCUUGCAACAAGAUAACAUUGCAUAAUUCACAUAUAUAAUGUCUUGCAACAAGAUGGCAUUGCAUAAUUCACAUAUAUGGUAAUUAGACACUAAACAGGUGGCAUUCACACAAAGCAUGUCUAAACUAAGCAAAUGACAUAGCAAUGCAAGAUACCAUACGCAUGAUAUGAGUAACAUAACCCUGCCAAGUUAGGGAAUGCACCUCGGGGUGCGGGGAAUAUGACUGGUCAUCUGUCACUGAAUCCUCCUCUGAGGAGCUAUCGUAACCAGCAAGACAUGCACUUCGUCAGAUAUCAUUGUCUGCUCUGAAGACCUUGUUUGCACUCCAGAUUUUUCCAUGACCGUGCCGAAUGGCUGAUGCACAGGAAGAGUAAUUGAAUGUACUAAAAUUGUUGACAAAUUUAACACAUAAUAAAAAAAUGAUGGCAUGAUAUAAUUCACAUAUAAGAUGACUGGCUAACCAGGGUGGCAUUGCAAAAUUCACAUAUAUGAUGCCUGGCUAGACAAGAUGGCAUUGCAUGAUUCACAUAUACAAUAAAGAAACUAAACAGAUGGCAUUGACACAAAGCAUGUCUAAACUAAGCAGAUGACAUCUUUAAUGUAUACAGUAAGCAAUGCAAGGCACCAUAUGCAUGAUAUUACCAACAUCAGCAUGCCAAGUUAGAGCAAAGACCUCAUGGGGUAAAUAGGAGUGGUCUUCUCCUUCUGAACCCCCCUCAAAACAGUUAUCUUCCUCUUGAUUACGAUCCGAAAUGGGUGGAGGGGGGGGGGCUGCCUUUGCGCCCACCAUGGAACAACGUCUGCAUGAAAUUUUAUUGCCACACAAGGCUCGUCUCUUUUGCUCUACAUGAUCAGUUCCAUUGUGUACAAUAACUGGCAUGCAUAGGAAUAAAACAUAGUGAGAUUAUGUAAGGAGUGCAUGCACAAAUCCAGAGUGAUGGUAGCAAACUGUGGAUAGACCCAAAACCAAUGAUAGCAGGCAGAUAAUAGCUUUAGUUAAAAAAUACAGAUGAUGGCUCCUUUAAUGUUUGUUUGCACCCAACAUGAAACUCAUAGUAGACACCGGAGAUUAACCAGAUAGUAGACAUAUAGUACUGAUUGCUGCCCCAAUAUGUACCCCACAACCAUUUAAAAACUCAAGUUUCAGCAUUAGUUUGGACCUGACUUGGAGUCUAAUAGGUGAACACGACGAUAAUGUAGCAUGUCAUCAUAUUAAGCGACGCAUAACGUAAGCAGACAUGGAAGAGUGCGACCUCUCUUGUGUACCCGUGUAGUCCUCAAGGUCAUCUGUUCAGUUGAUGAUGGUAAUGCAGUUGUCGUGGCUGCCGACUGCGGGGAAGAAUAUCUGAGGUGGCGAAAGGCAGUCUGGAGAGCGGACCCCUGCUGUGGUGAACCCUUCCGUCGUUGAAGCAGCUGAGUCGGGGUGGAACACAAUGCCGCGGGAGCAGGACAAACCACACAAGGUUUUCUUUGACACAUAUCUGUAACAGAAGUAAUUGAGUACUUGUUGGAAUUUGAGGAUUCUAACAAUGCAGGGAUAGGAAAUAGACAGGAACAGGAUAGGAAUGCACGUGCAAAACAGAGAAUUUAAAAACACAGGAUUUCUGCCAAUCUGGGUGUUUGAUUCACAACAAUUGGAAGAUCACAGGAUGCAAAAAAGCAUGGUGAGAUUAAGUCAAACCACAAGAAAGUGUGCGGUUAUAAUGCUAUUAUGCUACUAUCUCUUAGUCUUGUGCUUGAUGAAUAGGAAUAUGAAAAGGAGGAGAAGUGGAAAUUACAAUUCCUACGGUUUUUCUUUCAAGGAGACACUAAAGGAACAAAUCCUACAGUUUUCCUUUGCUCCAAAAUCUUGAAAAGUAGUACCAUAGGAAACUUUCCAAUUGCUAUGUUUUUCAUUCACUUUUCCUUUCAAGCACUGACGAUUCUAGUAGGCAGGCUUGAGCAAGGAAAAUCCUACACUAAAAAAAUGUUUUUGUGCUACUUCUAUUACUUUGGACCCAGGCCACUGCCAUACUAGCUCAACUCCCAGGCCCAUCGACAAAUGCACAGCUCAAACGCGCAAAGAUAAAUAAUGAUGGCGUUCAAGAGAGUCCAUCACGGAUAGCUAAGUUGCCUGGUACCUCACUGCUUGUCAUAUAGUAGGAUAAAAUAAUCGUAUUUCCCGUUACUACGAGUGCUCAGUGGACAAUAUAUAUAGCAUGUAGAGUAAAAAAGAGAUGCAACAAGUGUACAACCUCUUUGGCGAAGCCAUGUCGAUCUCAGCGUGAUUGGGUUGGCCGCUGAGGAUGCUCCGGCUGAGUUUGCUGUCGGAGGAGGGGAAGAAGAUCUUAGGCGUCUGGAGAUGGAGCCCGAGGUACUGCUCCGCUGUGAUGGAGGGUUUCGUCGUUGGAGCAGCUCCGGUGAGUUGUACGACGCCGAGGCUGAAGCAUGACAAGAGAGACAAUGAACAACGCUAACCUGAGUGGAAUUCUAAUAGCAUCUCCAAUACAUGACGUAAAAUACAUAACCACAAAGCGCUAGAUGUAAAAUACAUCAGCCGCUCAUCUCUGAACUUAACUAUCCAAACUGAACUUAACUGUUGAAACUGAACUUAACUGUCGAAACUAAACCUAGCUGUCAAAACUGAAUUUUGCUGUCGAAACUGAAUUUUGCUGUCGAAAGUGAACGCACUAGCAGGGUGAGGCUAGACGUCGGUCCACUGACUUUUUCAUCUCUGGUCAGUCAAUUUUGCAGCCGUUGGAUACAAAAUCAAGGGCAUGCAGUUCAUCUUCAACCUCCACCUUGCUGAGCCGCCAGCCACCACCGGCCAACAGCAGCNNNNNNNNNNNNNNNNNNNNNNNNNNNNNNNNNNNNNNNNNNNNNNNNNNNNNNNNNNNNNNNNNNNNNNNNNNNNNNNNNNNNNNNNNNNNNNNNNNNNNNNNNNNNNNNNNNNNNNNNNNNNNNNNNNNNNNNNNNNNNNNNNNNNNNNNNNNNNNNNNNNNNNNNNNNNNNNNNNNNNNNNNNNNNNNNNNNNNNNNNNNNNNNNNNNNNNNNNNNNNNNNNNNNNNNNNNNNNNNNNNNNNNNNNNNNNNNNNNNNNNNNNNNNNNNNNNNNNNNNNNNNNNNNNNNNNNNNNNNNNNNNNNNNNNNNNNNNNNNNNNNNNNNNNNNNNNNNNNNNNNNNNNNNNNNNNNNNNNNNNNNNNNNNNNNNNNNNNNNNNNNNNNNNNNNNNNNNNNNNNNNNNCCCGCCAACGCCUCGCCACCGCCGGCGACCACCGCCCCCAUCCUGAACCCUAAGAUAGAUAGUGGGGUACCUCUCCUGCGAGCCCCCCUCCCCGCUGCGGCUGGUUCUUCCGUCACCCCGGCGAGCCCACCCCUUGAAAAUCGACUGACCCAAAAGUUGAUUCAGUCGACUGAAGUGUAGCCAAAUCGGAGCAGCAUCACAAGCAAGAGCAAGAGUGAGAGCAGUAGCGCGAGCAAGAGCAAUAGCAAGAGCAGACCAGGCAGGGGACCGAGAGCAAGAGCAGAGCAGCAGCGCGAGCGAGAGCUAAACCAGCAGCAGCUGCUACUGAUGUGGACGUCGCCGCCGAGGGAGCGACGCCGUGGAGGAAGUGGCCGGCGAUGCCGCCGUGGAUGGAGCCCCGCCGUGUCGGCUCGGGACCGAGCGUCGGCAGCACCGUGAGAUCGAAUCAAGAAGAAAAUACAGCGAUUAGUGUACAAGCUCUUUGGUGGCACCGAUUAGGCCGCAACUUCAUCCGAGGAAACGGUGAUGAUGCUCUUUCGGUGGUGCAGGUGAAGACGGCGGUGUGGGAAUGGAGGUGGCGCGAAAGACGAGGGGAACGUCGGGGCAGCUCUUUGGAGGUGGAGGACGGGGUGGCUGAACUGGCGGGACGAUGAGAUCGAUGACGGAUCCUCAUCCGGUAUGGUGGAUGAGGGACGUUGAGGUGUUGCUGUGGAUGACGUCGUCAGGGAAGAGGCUCCGGCUGGGUGGCGGAUGAUACGUCUCCAACAUAUCUAUAAUUUAUGAAGCAUUCAUGCUAUUUUAUUAUCUGUUUAGAAUGAUUACGGGCUUUAUUAUACACUUUUAUAUUACUUUUGGGACUAAACUAUUAACCGGAGGCCCAGCCCAUAUUGUUGUUUUAUUGCGUGUUUCAGUAUUUCGAAGAAAAGGAAUAUCAAACGGAGUCCAAAUGGAAUGAAACCUUCGGCAGCGUGAUUUUUUGGAAGAAUAUGAUCCUGGAGACUUGGAGUUCACGUCAGAAGAUCCUUGAGGCAGCCACGAGAUAGCAGGGCGCCCCCCUGUAGGGCGCGCCCCUGUCUCGUGGGCCCCUCGAGCACCUCCCGACCGACUUCUUUCGCCUAUAUAAGCCUACGUACCCUAAAAACAUCGAAAAUCAAGAUAGAUCAAGGGUUCCGCUGCCGCAAGCCUUUGUAGCCACCAAAAACCUCUCGGGAGCCCGUUCCGGCAUCCUGUCAGAGCGGGAACCCAUCACCGCUGGCCAUCUUUAUCAUCCCUGCGCUAUCCAUGACGAGGAGGGAAUAGUUCACCAUCGGGGCUGAGGGUAUGAACCAGUAGCUAUGUGUUUGAUCUCUCUCUCUCUCGUGUUCUCUCUAUGGCACGAUCUUGAUGUAUCGUGAGCUUUGCUAUUAUAGUUGGAUCUUAUGAUGUUUCUCCCUCCUCUACUCUCUUGUGAUGAAUUGAGUUUCCCUCUUGAAGUUAUCUUAUCAGAUUGAGUCUUUGAUUUGAGAACACUUGAUGUAUGUCUUGCCGUGUUUAUCUAUGGUGACAAUGGGAUAUCACGUGCCACUUGAUGUAUGUUUUGGUGACCAACUUGCGGGUUCCGCCCAUGAACCUAUGCAUAGGGGUUGGCACACGUUUUCUUGACUCUCCAGUAGAAACUUUGGGGAACUCUUGGAAGUACUUUGUGUUGGUUGGAUGAAUCUAAGAUUGUGUGAGGCAUAUCGUAUAAUCAUGCCCACGGAUACUUGAGGUGACAAUGGAGUAUCUAGGUGACAUUAGGGUUUUGGUUGAUUUGUGUCUUAAGGUGUUAUUCUAGUACGAACUCUUGAAUAGAUUGAAAGGAAAGGAUAACUUUGAGGUGGUUUCGUACCCUACCAUAAUCUCUUCAUUUGUUCUCCACUAUUAGUGGCUUUGGAGUGACUCUUUGUUGCAUGUUGAGGGAUUGUUAUAUGAUCUAUCUAUGUUAUUAUUGUUGAGAGAACUUGCACUAGUGAAAGUAUGAACCCUAUGCCUUGUUUCCUAUCAUUGCAAUACCGUUUGUGCUCACUUUUAUCAUUAGUUACCUUGCUGUUUUAGUAAUUUCAGAUUACAAAAACAUUUAUCUACUAUCCAUAUUGCACUUGUAUCACCAUCUCUUCGCCGAACUAGUGCACCUAUACAACUUACCAUUGUAUUGGGUGUGUUGGGGACACAAGAGACUCUUUGUUAUUUGGUUGCAGGGUUGUUUGAGAGAGACCAUCUUCAUCCUACACCUCCUACGGAUUGAUAAACCUUAGGUCAUCCACUUGAGGGAAAUUUGCUACUGUCCUACAAACCUGUCCACUUGCAGGCCCAACAACAUCUACAAGAAGAAGGUUGUGUAGUAGACAUCAAGCUCUUUUCUGGUGCCGUUGCCGGGGAGGUUAGCGUUUGAAGGUAUAUCUUUAGAUCUUGCAAUCGAAUCUUUUUGUUUCUUGUUUUAUCACUAGUUUAGUUUAUAAAAAGAAAACUACACAAAAAAUGGAGUUAAGUUUGUCUCACACGCUUCACCUUUUUAAUAUCUUUCGUGAGUAUGAUGGAAAAGAAAAUUGUGCUCAAGUGCUAGAAGAAGAAUGCAUUAAAAUGCUUGGUACUAAAUCUUUGAAUGAUGAGCAUGAUUGCAAUGUUGUUAGUAUGAACUCCUUGAAUAUCCAUGAUGCUAAUGAAAUGCAAAGCCACAAGCUUGGGGAAGCUAUGUUUGAUGAAUAUGAUAUAUUUUGUCCCCCAAGCUUUGAUGAGCAAAUUUAUUUUGAUGAUAGCAUGCCUCCUAUUUAUGAUGAUUAUAUUGAUGAAAGUGGAUUUGGAAGAGUGUCAACUUUAUUUAGUGAUGAUUCCACUAUUUCGGAAGAGGUUCCAAUUGAUUAUGAGAACAAAGUUGCUAUCUAUGAUGAUUAUUGUGAUGACUUGUAUGCUAUUAAGAAUAAUGAUAAGCAUGAAACUUGUCAUCAUGAUUUUAGUUUUCAAUUGGAUUAUGCCUCACAUGAUAAUUAUUUGUUGAGUUUGCUCCCACUACUAUUCAUGAGAAGAAUUUUGCUUACGUGGAGAGUAGUGAUUUUUUAUGCUUGUAGAUCAUGAAAAGAAUGCUUUAGGUGCUGGUUAUAUUGUUGAAUUCAUUCAUGAUGCUACUGAAAAUUAUUAUGAGGGAGGAAUAUAUGCUUGUAGGAAUUGCAAUAAUAUCAAGUUUCCUCUCUAUGUGCUUAAAAUCUUGAAGCUAUGCUUGUUUUGCCUUCCUAUGCUUGUUGAUUAUUGUUCCCAUAAGUUGUUUGCUCACAAAAUCCCUAUGCAUAGGAAGUGGGUUAGACUUAAAAGUGCUAGUCAUAUGCUUCAUGAUGCUCCCGUUAUGUUUCAAUUCUUAACUUGUACCUGAGCAUCAUUGCCAUCAUCAUGCCUAGCUAGAAAGGCAUUAAAGAAAAGCGCUUGUUGGGAGACAACCCAAUAUUUAUCCUUACUGUUUUUGUGUGUCCACAUGAUUAUGCUACUGUAUUAAUCAUGUUUUAUAUCUUUUGUUUCAAUAAAGUGCCAAGUAAGACCUUUAGGAUAGCUUACGGUGAUAGUUGUGUUGAUCCUGCUGAAAAUCAGAAACUUUUGCACCCAGUAAAUUAGUUUUGUUAUGGAUUUGCAUACGAAUUUCUUAGGACUUCCUAAUUUGGUAGGAAUUUUGGAGUUCCAUAAGUAUACGCUUGGUACAGAUUACUACAGACUGUUCUGUUUUUGACAGAUUCUGUUUUCUAUGUGUUGUUUGCUUAUUUUGAUGAAUCUAUGAGCAGUAUCGGAGGGUAUGAACUAUAGAUAAGUUGAAAUACAGUAGAUAUUACACCAUUAUGAAUUUAGAAUUAGUUCGUUACAGUACCUAAGUGGUGGUUUUAUUUUCUUAUACUAACCGAGCUUACGAGUUUUUUGUUGAGUUUUGUGUUGUGGAGUUUUCAAGUUUUGGGUAAAGAUUCGAUGGACUAUGGAAUAAGGAGUGGAAAAAGCCUAAGCUUGGGCAUGCCAAAGGCACACCAAGGUAAUAUUCAAGGACAACCAAGAGCCUAAGCUUGGGGAUGCCCCGGAUGGCAUCCCCUCUUUCGUCUUCGUUCAUCGGUAACUUUACUUGGACUAUAUUUUUAUUCACCACAUGAUAUGUGUUUUUCUUGGAGCGUCAUUUUAUCUUGUUAGUAUUUGCUUACUGUUAGUUAGAAUAAUGUUUUGCAUCUUUAGUUUCAAUAAAAAAGUCAAGGAUAGCCUUUGCCAUGCUUAUUUUGCUAGUAUACUUGUUGCUGUUUGAAAACAGAAAUUUUACCUUUGUUGCAAAAAUUCUCUAGAAAAGUCAGAGGACGAUAUAAUGUUGAAACUUUUUGCAUAAUGAGCUAUGAUAAAUUUAAUACAGUGGUAAUUUUCUUUCAUAAUUUUUGGAGUUAGGGAAGUAUUGAUACUAUUGCAUUCUUUACAGACUGUACUGUUUUGACAGAUUGCUGUUAUGGUUGCAUUGUUUGCAUAUGUUUGCUUGUUUAAUGAUUCUAUUUGAGGAUAGGAGUAUUAAAUAUGCAGAGGCAUUUAGUAUGCAAUGUUGAAUAAUAAUUUUAGUGAUUUUUUACAGUAGAAAAUGAUAAGGUUUUGCAUUGGUUUAUACUAACCUAUCUCACGAGUUCUUGUUGAGUUUGGUGUGGAUGAAGCUUUUGAUAAAAAGAAGAAACCAUGAUAUGAGAGGAAUUAAGGAGACACAAAAGUUCAAUCUUGGGGAUGUCCAAGGCACCCCAAGAUAAUAUUUCAAGAAGUCUCAAGCAUCUAAGCUUGGGGAUGCCCCGUUAGGCAUCCCACCUUUCUUCUUCAACAACUAUCGGUUAGUAUUGUGUUGAACCUAAGUUUUUGCUUCUUCACAUGAGUUGUGCUAUCCUUGCAAUGUCAUUUUAUUUUGUUUUGCUUGCUGUUUGAAUAAGAUACCAAGAUCUGAAUUUCUUAAAUGAGAGAGAGUCUUCACGUAGUUACAUAAUUAUUUAGCUACUCAUUGAUCUUCACUUAUAUGUUUUUGGAGUAGUUUGUCAUUUACUCGUGUGCUUCACUUAUAUCCUAUGAGUAAAUGGUUGAAUGAGUUGAAUGUCAUAAAUCUGAAAUUUAUAUAUGUUUCAUUUUCUUUUCCCAUGGGGAGUAAUGACUUCACAUCUAAGAAGUAGAGGUUGUAAAUUUAUUGAAGGUUAGCAAGCAUUGUAUUGGUCAUUUGAACAAUUUCAUGAAAGAAUAUUGAAGGAAGAGAGAUUUCACAUAUAAAAAUACACUAUCCUAGACAUCUUUUAUAAUUGGGAGCACUCAUUAAGUAUGACAUGCUAAAGAGUUGAUGUUGGACAAGGAAGACAACGUAAUGGUUUAUGUUUUCCGACAUCUCAGUUAAAGUAUAUUGUCAUGGAUCAUUCAAACAUGUUGAGCUUGCCUUUCCCCCUCAUGCUAGCCAAAAUUCCUUGCACCAAGUAGAGAUACUACUUGUGCUUCCAAAUAUCCUUAAACCCAGUUUUGCCAUGAGAGUCCACCAUACCUACCUAUGGAUUGAGUAAGAUCCUUCAAGUAAGUUGUCAUCGGUGCAAGCAAUAAAAAUGCUCUCUAAAUAUGCAUGACUUAUUAGUGCGGAGAAAAUAAGCUUUGUACAAUCUUGUUAUGGAAGCAAUAAAAGCGACGGACUACAUAUUAAAGGUCCAUAUACAAGGGGCAAUAUAAAGUGACGUUCUUUCGCAUUAGGAUUUUGUGUAUCCAACCCUAAAAGCGCAUGACAACCUCCGCUUCCCUCUGCGAAGGGCCUAUCUUUUACUUUAUGUCUUUCACUUUAUGCAAGAGUCAAGGUGAUCUUCACCUUUCCCUUUUUCAUUUAUCCUUUGGCAAGCACUUUGUGUUGGGGUGAUCCUGAUAUAUAUAUAUCCAACUGGAUGUAAGUUAGCAUGAACUAUUAUUGUUGACAUCACCCAAAGCUGAAUACGUUGGGAGGCAACACUAUAAGCCCCUAUCUUUCUCAGUGUUCGAUUGAAACUCCAUAACCAUUAGUAUUGCGUGAGUGUUAGCAAUUGUAGAAGACUACAUGAUAGUUGAGUAUGUGGAGUUUGUUAUUCCUGAAAAUAAGAUGAAUUGCAAUUGUUUGAUGACUGGGAAUGAAGUUUGCUAGUUUUCAAGACAGUUUAUGGUCUAUGCUUUGACAUGUGAAUUGCUUGUUACUUUAUCGUGAGAAGUUUUAUGAGAUGAACUACUGUUAUGACAUAUUAUCAUGCUAGAAAAGGUGAUUGAAAUUAUCAUUGAUCAAACUUGUGCACCUUCUAGCAUUCACACUUCAUAAAUUGUUUCUUUUAUCAUUUACCUACUCGAGGACGAGUAGGAAUUAAGCUUGGGGAUGCUGAUACGUCUCCAACGUAUCUAUAAUUUAUGAAGCAUUCACGCUAUUUUAUUAUCUGUUUUGAAUGAUUACAGGCUUUAUUAUACACUUUUAUAUUACUUUUGGGACUAACCCAUUAACCUGAGGCCCAACCCAUAUUGUUGUUUUAUUGCCUGUUUCAGUAUUUUGAAGAAAAGGAAUAUCAAACGGAGUCCAAACGGAAUGAAACCUUCGGCAGCGUGAUUUCUUGGAAGAAUAUGAUCCUGGAGACUUGGAGUUCACGUCAGAAGAUCCUCGAGGCAGCCACGAGAUAGGAGGGCGCGCCCCCCCUAUAGGGCACGCCCCCUGUUUCGUGGGCCCCUCGAGCACCUCCCGACCGACUUAUUUCGCCUAUAUAAGCCUACGUACCCUAAAAACAUCAAAAAUCAAGAUAGAUCGGGAGUUCCGCCGCCGCAAGCCUCUGUAGCCACCAAAAACCUCUCGAGAGCCUGUUCCGGCACCCUGCCGGAGGGGGAACCCAUCAUCGGUGGCCAUCUUCAUCAUCCCGGUGCUAUCCAUGACGAGGAGGGAGUAGUUCACCCUCGGGGCUGAGGGUAUGUACCAGUAGCUAUGUGUUUGAUCUCUCUCUCUCUCUCUCUCUCUCUCGUGUUCUCUCUAUGGCACGAUCUUGAUGUAUCACGAGCUUUGCUAUUAUAGUUGGAUCUUAUGAUGUUUCUCCCCCAUCUACUCUCUUGUGAUGAAUUGAGUUUCCCUCUUGAAGUUAUCUUAUCGGAUUGAGUCUUUGAUUUGAGAAUGCUUGAUGUAUGUCCUGUCGUGUUUAUCUGUGGUGACAAUGGGAUAUCACAUGCCACUUGAUGUAUGUUUUGGUGACCAACUUGCGGGUUCCACCCAUGAACCUAUGCAUAGGGGUUGGCACACGUUUUCUUGACUCUCCGGUAGAAACUUUGGGGCACUCUUGGAAGUACUUUGUGUUGGUUGGAUGAAUCCGAGAUUUUGUGUGAUGCAUAUCGUAUAAUCAUGCCCACGGAUACUUGAGGUGACAAUGGAGUAUCUAGGUGACAUUAGGGUUUUGGUUGAUUUGUGUCUUAAGGUGUUAUUCUAGUACAAACUCUUGAAUAGAUUGAACGGAAAGGAUAACUUUGAGGUGGUUUCGUACCCUACCAUAAUCUCUUCGUUUGUUCUCAGCUAUUAGUGGCUUUGGAGUGACUCUUUGUUGCAUGUUGAGGGAUUGUUAUAUGAUCUAUCUAUGUUAUUAUUGUUGAGAGAAUCUGCACUAGUGAAAGUAUGAACCCUAUGCCUUGUUUCCUAUCAUUGCAAUACCGUUUGUGCUCACUUUUAUCAUUAAUUACCUUGCUGUUUUUAUAAUUUCAGAUUACAAAAACAUUUAUCUACUAUCCAUAUUGCACCUGUAUCACCAUCUCUUUGCCGAACUAGUGCACCUAUACAACUUACCAUUGUAUUGGGUGUGUUGGGGAAACAAGAGACUCUUUGUUAUUUGGUUGCAGGGUUGUUUGAGAGAGACCAUCUUCAUCCUACGCCUCGUACGGAUUGAUAAACAUUAGGUCAUCCACUUGAGGGAAAUUUGCUACUGUCCUACAAACCUGUGCACUUGCAGGCCCAACAACGUCUACAAGAAGAAGGUUUUGUAGUAGACAUCAGCAGACGGAGCAGGGUGUGGGGUUUCGUCGUGGGUUUUCGCGGCCUUGGUGUAUGAAUGGGUGGGCGGAUGGGAUGGCAGUGGGGAACCAUGGCUUAGAGACGCACUUUUCCGAAAUGUGGGGUAAGUUACAAAAGUACCCCCCCCCACCGAUUUGAGGCGGUUCUUUCGGUUCAGGGGUACCACGGGCAUUUCGCGUGUCGGGAUUUCACAGGAGGUGGGAGUUUUCGCGCGCGUUGUAAUUUCGGAAUAGCAAGGCGUGGGUUGAGAUGGUGGGAGUUGUUGGAGCACAACGAGACAAAGAUAUAUCUUAAAUAUUUCGGGCUAACAAGGCGCGGGUUGAAGAGGUGGGAGUUUCGUAGCACGAUAGAUAGAGACGCUAGCUUCAAUUUGCGGCAUAACAAGGUGCGGCUUGAAAUUUCGGAAGAACAAGUUUAAUGUGUACCCAAAAAAAAGACAAUUUGCACCUCAACACACACAACACACACACAAACACCAUUUAGACUAGAGUAAGGUACAUGUGCAUUGCACGCAUGAGAUGUGGCAACCAAAUUAUGAAUAAAUACCACAUUAUAGCAUGCAAGCUUUGAGUCAUAUAUGCAUGAUGUAGAUGUUCGUUUAAUUCUUGUAGUCAUUUCAUUCAAAAUCAUCUAGUUUUUAUAAGAAAGCUAAUCUAUUUCAAGAUUCAUGGAAUUGUGCGUUGUAAGACAUAAAGUAAAAAAAUGGCAAAUCAUGUAGAAAAACAUUUGGGCAAUUCUGAUACGGAAGAUUCUAGAACAAAUAAGAAGUGCUUGUGUUUUGAUGUUUGUGUAUUAUGCUUAAGUUCAACCAUGGAGUCUUCUAGAUUAUACAUGUGGUGAAAUCUGGUGGAAUCUAAAUGAUAUCCAACGGCCAAUAGUGCUCAAAUUUGCCAUCUUUGGACCAUCGAUUCGCCUCAUCCAACGACCAUCUUUCAAAGUUAAAGUUACCUACACAAUAUAAAAAUAUAUAUAAUAUAAUAUAUAUAGGGGUAUAGAUAUAGAUAUGUGUUGCGAAAGCCGCCCAUCAUCUCCAAUUAGAAUAGUGUGUCCAUGCAUGGAUGUGACGUGGGCAAAUGAUGUUUGCCAUCGGUAUCUCAAAUUCAAAUCAGUCUGACCUUGUUCAAUGUGUAUACAUUACAACAUGCUCGUUUCCAAACCACACCGCGCAGAUCUCCGUUAUAUUCAUGCAUGCAUGGGUUUCAAACAUCGGGAUCUCUUAUUCAAAUAUUUAAAUUCAACUUUACAUUGAUUAUGACCUCACCUAUUCUUUUACACCCACACAGUAGUCUUCUCUUUAUAAUUGUACCACUAACUUUCUCUCGUGCAUGCAUGCACACACACUACCAGUCAGCAUUAUCCAUCGCACGCAUGCAAUCUUUUUCUUCAGGUCGGUCUCCCAUGAAGGCACACACCCACACACCCCCCUCUCCAUCAUAUCGGGCAUUCUUUAUCUCUCACGCAUGCAUGCACAAUGAUCGAUGUUCCUCUAUGUAUGUGUGUAUAUAGCUAGGUCUUUCAUAGUUUUCCACACAAACCGAUCAAUCGAUAUAUCCAGUGAGGUCUCACCCUCUUUCCCAUGUCCACAUCGAUCAAUCUAUACCUCUCUUUAUAGGAUUAACAUAUAUAGCUAAUACACGCACAUUAAUUAUAUAUCCAACGUCCCCCUCUCAUCAUCCAUGCCUUCGCUUCAUCUCUCAGACGCGUGCACAAUGGCGAAGACAGGGGGUAGUAAGGGCCCUGCCCCCCCUAACAUCACUAUAUAUCGAGGCUAAUAUGAAUGUGAUCAUUAGACAAUUGCUGCUAAAAGAGGUUUAAUUUCAUGAAUUGACCCUCCUCAUAAAGGAUUAGCAAUGCUUGGCCCCUAGCUCAUUUAUUUUUCAUGGCUCCGCCACUGCAUGCAACAGCGCACGUGUUUGCCCCCUCCCUCUAAAUAUUGAUCUCGCACUUGUGCAUUCCUUCAUAGUCUCCCUCCACUCGGCCCCUCGCACCAUCUUCUAGCCCCCACCAGAUUUUGCCACAUGUACAAUCUAGCAGACUCCAUGGUUGAACUUAAGCAUAAUGCACAAACCUCAAAACAACAGUGGUUCUCUUUUGUUCUAGAAUCUUUCGCAUCAUAACUGCCCAAACUUUUUUUCUAGUUGAAUUGCUAUUAUUUGUUUUUUACUUUAUGCUUUACAACGCACAAUUCCAUGAAUCAUAAAAUAGAUUAAGGGCUUCUUUGAUUCAAAGGAUUCUCAAAGGAAUUUUGGAGGAUUCUAAUCAUUAGGAAUUUUUCCUAUCUUGGUUGUUUGAUUCGUAGGAUUGUAAACCAUAGGAAUUUUUCCAUAUGAUUCAUUUGCACUAGAUUUCAUAGGAAACAUCCCAUCCACUCAAACCUCUUUGAAAGAAUUCUGCGUUUUUUCUAUGCACAAUCAAACACUCGUACAAUCCUGUAGGAUUCAAGACGACAUUCCACUAUAAUCCCAUGUUUUUCCUCUUCACGCGUUCUUAGCUUUUUUAUAAAAACUAAUUGAUUUUGAAUGAGAUCAACUAUAAGAAUUAAACGAAGGGCUACAUCAUGCAUAUAUGACUCAGAGCUUACAUGCUAUAGUGUGGUAUUUAUUCAUAAUUUGGUUGCAAAAUCUGAUGCAUGCAAUGCACAUGUACCUUACUAGUACUUCGAGUAUGUGCAAAACACGUAAAUUAGAAUACCAAUGGCACGCUACACAGUGUCUCUCUUAUAGUUCAUGAAGCCACGUGGCACAUGUGGAGGCGUUGUCGCGACCUCCUUGCGUGGAUUGACCACAGUGACGUGCUGCUCACUACAAGAAAUACAGUCAAUUAUGACUCCCCAUUUUGGUCGUUGAUUCGUCAUAUUUAUCGUUUAUUGACCUUUUUUUGACCAAAUUCAAAAGGUCAACAGUUGGCCGUCAAGAACGAACAAACUUGACCUUUUUGGAAUUUUGGUCGUAGCUAGACUAACGACCAAAAUUUCAGAAAGGUCACUACCCACUUGCUUUGAGCCACGUAGGAUUUGACAUGGCUGAGCUGACGUGGCAUUGUUAGUGACCAAAUGGAAUCAUCAUAAAUUUCAUAGCCCAGUCCACCAAUCUAGCCUACAUGGGCCUGGCCUAGUACCUAUUUUUUUAUUGAAAUGGUCUGAUUAUUUGGGCUGAUGCAUUUUUUUCAGAAGCAUGCAUAUCUCACGUAUGAAAACAAGUACAACCGAAUACAAUAUUGAAGAUAAAUUGUAUAUUUCAUUUCAGUAACACAUCACAUGAAAUCAAUACAUCAUCCAUUAACUCCUCUACACAUCAAGGUCCAUGGUCCAAUAAGUGCACAAGUGCACAGCAAAAUAAUGCUACAAGUGCAAGUGCACAGCAAAAAGACCCAACAAGUGCACAGGUGCACAAAAACAUAGUCCUACAAAGAUUGGACGAGAUGGGCAAAUUUUAGUUGGUCACACAUAACAUCAAUGAGAAACAAAGCUUCUUGUGCCAUUCACUUCUUUUGAGUGCUUCAGAUCAUACUGGUAAUUGGAACAAUCAAACAUAAGAAAGCACACAAAAUAUGAGCAAACAAAAUAUAAAUGGAGGUUUUACAUUCAGCAAUUAACACAAGGCUAAGACAUGCUCCCAUAGAAAUUUCAGGAAUUGCAAGAUUAUUCUUGUGUUAGCUCAACACUUUGUGCAAAAAAAGACUCACAUUAAUAAAUUCCAACAUGAAGAGAUGUGAAUCAUAUAUCUUUAACACAGUAAAAUAAACAACACCAACAUGAGCACCACAACACAACACAGCUCAUAUACCACCAAACCAAACUGAUCAUUGCAAACUAUAAGCUGACCUCAACACAAACAACACAUGCACACAAAGUAUGCAUGGCUGAAACAAAACCUCAUAUGUAGACUUUAACUUAAUUCAUGAGUUUGAAUCGAAGGAGUAACAAUCAGAACCAUUUCCUGUAGUGAUGUCAACCUUUAUUGUUGAACAGGAAAAUGCUAACAACUAGUUACAGAGAUAAACAUAAUCCUCCCAGAAGAGUCUUGGCAAUUUGCAUUAAAUAUUAACAUGGUUGCAAAACUUCAGUUUGAGGAUAGCAUGUUUCUUUAGCCUUUACUCGACUGGAAUUACAAAAUGAAGCACAUGAACAAAUCAUAUGAACAAGCAACCCCAUGAAGACCGCUCACUUGAAUCUUGUUUAUACUUUUCUUGAAGAUUAAGAUGUGGGGGAAGAACAUUACCUUGAUGGGAUCUCAGUAGUAGCAUACAACCUGGAUAGUGUAGACUAACUCCGGAGAAAAAAUAUUACAUUUUCUCAAAGGUGAGAUUGAGCUAGACAUUGCCAAAAAAUCCUUGCACUCAC
rnacentral:lncRNA from 1 species